GUGGGGUGGAGAGGGUGUUUUGGCAUCCACGAAGUACGAAUGGGAAAUGGAGGGAGAGAGGUAGGGGGAAUCAUGUCUUUAGGGCGCGCUUGUCUCAAAUGCGAGGAAAUUUACAAACUUAGCCCUCAUUUAAAAUUUCCUACAUCACAACAAUAUUAGUCGGUUGGGGAUAGGACGGUAAUCUCGCAUACACCGAAUAUUUGCCGACGAAAAUUUCGGCCGAGGAGAGUUUCUUUUGGCGCCUACCGUGUAUGAAUCGGGGAGGUGAGAGGCGAUUUCGGCUGAGGAGAAACUAUGUUUUGGCGCUCACCAUGUAUGAAUCCGGGGAGGUGAGAGGAAGAGGCGGUUAUGUUACAUUUGAGUGAAACUAUGCCGAUAGGCUUUGCGUGUCAUGGAUAGGCAGUAAUUUCCAUCUCGCAGAUUUUGGUUUCGGGCGGUUACUGCGAGUUUCCUCGCUUCGUUCAAACUUUUGCAGAAAAAGAGUGCACGCUUACCGUGCCAACUCAAUUCAAAUCCAUUUUGUAUUUUUUUGGGCAGGAUCCAUUUUGUAUUCGAAUACAAAUCUAUGUACAUCAUCUUUUUAUAUAUACUUUCAAAAGCACAACACCCUUUAUACAUAAAUAUGGUUUACAAAUGGCAUGAUCUCAGAUUCAUAAGACUGGAUCCAUCUUAAUUUGAAUUUUCAAAUAUUUGAAACCACUUUAUUUUGAAAUCCAAUGUAUGCAUUCCUCGCUAACUGUCUCCAAUUAAUGUGUGUUUCAUGCGGGUUUUUACUUCUCAAACACGUAUAAUGUGUUUGACACACGCAACAUAUAGUGUAAUCCCAUUUCGACAUUAAUUGCAUAUAAACCAUGCAUUAUCUCCAAUUAAAAAAAUCUAUGGAUCACUAAUAUUGAUAAACUAAAUAACAUUACAUGUGUCCCCAAAUUCAAAUGAAUGUGCAUGUUUGAUAGACCAAUUUUCGUUAUGAUAUUAUCGAUGUCGUGAUCUCUAGUUUAAAUAUUUGAGUCCCCUUUAAUCCACAUAUUCGUCUGAUAUAAUAUCUCUAGACCUAUAUGCCUUCACCGUCUCUCGGGUAUCUCUCGUGCUACUCAUACGUCGACAACAGUCUUUUAUCUUCGUAACACACUGACGGUACUCUCUUCCUCGACCUUCGCUCUAUCUCUCUCUAGGUAUAUCUCGCUCCCUGCAAUGUGUCUCUAACUAUGAUUCUCCCUAUGAAAUCUCCUUCUCUCACACAAACACAAACUUCGUCUCCUGGGGUCUCAUUUCUCUCUACUAUUCCCCUGUAUGCCGCUCGCACACCCCCUCUCACACAGAGAUGUCUCGCGCUCCUUAGGUCUGAGAAGCUACGACUAUCCCUUUUAAAUAUCUCUUUCUCACACACAAACACAAACUCUGUCUCCCAGGGUCUCAUAUCUCUCCACCAUUCCCUUGUAUGUUGCUCGCACACACACUCUCUCCCUAGGGAUAUCUCGCGUUCCCUGAUAUGUCUCUCUAGCUAUGACUCUCCUUGUAAAAUAUCUUUCUGUCUCGCAAACACAAAAUGCCAUAUCUUGGGAUCUCAUUUCUCUCUAAUAUUCGUUUGAAUGUGACUCACAUGCACCCUCUAUCUCUCUCUCUCAUCCACACACAUAACUUAGCCUUCUGAUCCACUCGAAUCUUAUCUCUAACAAACACACUAGCCGAUCUCCCUCUAGCUAGCAUCUCUACCUUUUUAUUUCUCUGUUUAUCCAUCAACAUUCUUUCUCGCCCUCACUCUUGUUUCCUAUCACACACACUAUAUAUGUUUGUCUCUACAUGCAGUCAUGCACCCUCUUUUUAUCUUUCUCUCACACACACAUAACUCACCCCUCUGAACCACUCAGUGGUUAUCUCUAACACACAAACUAGCCGAUGUCCCUCUAGCUAGCAUCUCUAUCUAUCUAUCUAUCUGCAGUUUCUCCAUCAACCUUUCUUUCUUGCACGCAGUCUUGCUUCCUAUCACGCACACUAUACCUUUCUCUCUAUACUUGCAUAUAUAGGUCGAUCUCUUUUGCACAAUUGUUGUGCAUCGCUCUCUCUACUCACCAUAGAUGCAUGCUCCUACCCACGCCACUAUCUCUUAAAGACAAAAACACAUCCUCAAUCACUGAGCGUUCUUCCCUCCACUCUCACAUGCAUGCAUACUGUCAUAUCGAUCCAUAUCUCCCAUAUCGUUGAUCUUAUGACUUAUGUCUUCUUUCUUUUAUCUCGAUCAUGCGCAUGCACGCACACACACAUCCCACGUAUACAUGUAUACCUCUCGCACAUGCACGUUCAAGGUCGCCUAUGUCUCCAUACGUAGUUAAUUACCCUCAGAUCUCACCCCACAUCGAAUCUUUCUCUUCUUGUGUGCACAUGACUUUCGCCUGGAUGGGUCUCUUCUCUAAAACACACAAUCUCACUUAACAAUCUCCUUCUAGGUACCCCCCUCUAUCACUCCUUCCCUAUAUCCCUGAAACCAAUAAGACUAUCCCUUCGUUUAAUUCCCGCCUACAUGCACCAUCGAUAUAUAGUAGUCUUCCUCGGUGUCUCUCGAACAAACUCGUUAUCUCGACGUCCAUUCCUCUCAUGCGCACACGCCUUCUCUUCCCUAUUUAUGGGCCUCUUCUCUCUCGCACCCCCCUCGUUGGAGGCCUCUGCCAUACACAUCACCUCUCUACAAUGAAGCCACACACACAUAAAUUACUUUCCCUAUCGAAGACUUCGCCACACACACACACACACACACUAAGACUCCAUUUCACACACACAUGCUCUAGGUGGAGCAUUUGUUCCUACCACCCUUCGUCCAACCUUACGUGUAUGAUAAUCAAUCACCUUAAUUUACUUAUAUAACACGGACAAAUUCCACUUUAUUUUAGUAGUUAGCAAACUUCUCAUAAUUAUAUAACUCAAAUCACGAGCAGGAAGUUACUAAUCGUAUUUCACGUUACUACGUGUGCUCAGUGGACAAUAUAUAUAACAUGUAGAGUAAAAGAGUGAUGCAACAAGUGUACAACCUCUUUGUCGAAACAAUGUCGAUCUCAGCAUGAUUGGGUUGGUCGGUGAGGAUGCUCCGGCUGAUGUGGCUGUCGGAGGAGGGGAAGAAGAUCUUAGGCGUCUGGAGAUGGAGCCGACAGUACUGCUCCACUGUGAUGGAGGGUUUCGUCGUUGGAGCAGCUCCGGUGAGUUGUACGAAGGCGAGGCUGAAGUAGGACAAGAGAGACAACGUUAACCUAAGUGCCAUUCUAAUAGCAUCUCCAAUAGAUGAUGUAAAAUACAUAACCACAAAGUGCUAGAUGUAAAAUACAUCAGCCGCUCAUCUCUGAACUUAACUGUCGAAACUGAAUUUAACUGUCGAAACUGAAUUUUAUUAUCGAAACUGGAUUUUGCUGUCGAAACUGAAUUUUACUUUUGAAACUGGACUCACUAGUGGCAGAAAAGCAGUAGCAGCAACAUCAGUACCCGGAGCAGCAGCAUGUGCGAGAGCCGGGGCAGCUGGUCGUGUAGCAGCAUCUCGGGUAGCUCAUGCAGGGGCUCGAGCAGGAGCAGGAUCUGCUGCUCGUGCAGCAGAAGCGCGAGCAAGAGUAGAGCAGCAGCGCAAGCAAGAGCAGCAGCAAGAGCAAGAGCAGACUAGGCAUGGGACCGAGAGCAAGAGCAGAGCAGCAGGGUGAGCGAGAGCCAAAGCAGUAGCAGCUCCUACUAAUGUGGAUGUCGCCGUCGAGGGAGCGACGCCAUGGAGAAAGUGGCCGGCAACGCCGCCGUAGAUGGAGCCGCGCCAUGUCGGUUUGGGACUGAGCGCUGGCAGCAGCGUGAGAUCGAAUCAAGAAGAAAAUGCAGUGAUUAGUGUAGAACCUCUUUGGUGGCGCCGAUUAGGACUCGGCUUCAUCCGAGGAAUCAGUGAUGGUCCUGCUCUUCCGGUGGUGCAAGGGAAGACGGCGCUAUGGGAAUGGAGGUGGAGUGAAAGACGAGGCAAACAUCAGUGCAGCUCCUUGGAGGUGGAGGACGGGGUUGCUAAACGGGAGGGAUGACGAGAUCGACGACGGAUCCUCAUCCGGUGUGGUGGAUGAGGGACGUCGAGGUGUUGCUGUGGAGGACGUCGUCAGGGAAGAGGCUCCGGCUGGGUGGCGGACGGAGGAGGGUGUGGGGCUUCGUGGGUUUUCGUGGCCUCGGUGUACGAAUGGGGGCGGAGGGGAUGGGAGGAGGAACCAUGGCUUAGGGACGCGCUUGUUCGAAAUGUGUGGUGUAAGUUACGAAAGUACCCUACCAAUUUGAGCUAGGUGGUUCUUUCGGUACAGGGGUAUCACGGGAAUUUCACGUGUCGGGAUUUCGCAGGAGGUGGGAGUUUUCGCGCGCGUUGUAAUUUUGGGAUAGCAAGGCGCAGGUUGAGAUGGAGGGAGUUUUCGGAGCACAACGAGACAAAGAGAUAUCUUAAAGUUUCUGGGUAACAAGGUGCGGGUUGAAGAGGCGGGAGUUUCGCAGCACGAUAGACAGAGAUGCUAGCUUGAAAUUUCGGCAUAACAAGGCGUGGCUUCAAAUUUCCGGAGAACAAGCUUAACGUGUACAAAAAAAGACAAUUCGCACCCCACUAGAGACAGCCAUGUCCCAUUUUACUAUAUUACUAGAAAUGCAUUCAAAUACAACAACAAAAAACUAAAAAAAACGGGACAACAAGCUUAACGUGUGUAGUAGCAAAUCAAUUUGCACUUCCCUCAACUAUAAAAAAAUAUUUCAUGUUGUCUAGCAUAAGGACUAAAUUUGAGUACAUUUUCCCUGUUUGAAUGGGAUUGUACUCGCAUUAGUUAAACAACCAUCUAAAUAUUAUCUUCACAACACAUGACAUGAAUAUAGGAGUAGUAAAUUCCCAUAUAGAUAAGAACUACAUGUACAUACAAUCUCGAAUUAAAAUAUAUGUAUCCAUUUUAUGUUGAAUUCAAAUCAUAGCACAUGUAUGCUCUAGCUAGAUGUUCGGAAUCUAAACCAUGUAGGAUACUAUGUACAAUGUGUUUAACACGCACAACACACACACACCAUUUAGACUAUAAGGUACACGUGCAUUGCAUGCAUGGGAUUUGGCAACCAAAUUAUGAAUAAAUAACACACUAUAGUUUGUAAGCUUUGAGUCAUAUAUGCAUGAUGUAGAUGUUCGCUUAAUUAAUAUUGUUCAUCUCAUUCAAAAUCAAUUAGUUUUUAUAAAAAAGCUAAUCUAUGUUAAGAUUCAUGGAAUUGUGCGUUGUAAAGCAUAAAUUAGAAAACAAAUAAUGGCAAUUCAUCUAAAAAAUUGGGCAAUUAUGAUACGGAAGAUUCUUGAACAAAGGAGAAGUGCUUGUGUUUUGAGGUUUGUGCAUUAUGCUUAAGUUCAACCAUGGAGUCUUCUAGAUUUUACAUGUGGCAGGAUCUGGUGGAAUGUAGAUGAUAUCCAACGGCCAGUAGUCCUCGGAUUUGCCAACUCUGCACCGUCAGAUUGGCUUCAUCCAACGACCAUCUUUCAAAGUUAUUUGCACACUAUGUAGGGGUAUAGAUAUGUGAUGCGGAAGCCAUCCAUCAUCUCCAAUUUGAAUAGUGUGUCCAUGCAUGGAUGCAAUGUGGCCAAACGAUGCGUGCCAUCGGUAUCUCAAAUUCAAAUCAGUCUGACAUUGUUCAAUGUGUAUAUAGUAUAGCAUGCUCGUUUCCAAACCACACCACGCAUAUCUUAGUUAUAUUCAUGCAUGCAUGGGUUUCAAACAUCAUGAUCUCGUAUUCAAAUAUUUGAAUUCAACUUUACAUUGAUUAUGACCUCACCUGGUCUUUUACACCCACGUAGUCGUCUUCUCUUUAUAGUUGUGCCACUAACUUUCUCUCGUGCAUGCUGCACACACACUACCACUGGUCAUUAUCCAUCGCACACAUGCAAUCUUUUUCUUCACGUCGGUCUCCCAUGCAUGCACACACACACCUCCCCCUCUUCAUCACUUCGGGCAUUCUUUAGCUCUCACAUGCAUGCGCAACGAUCUAUGUUCCUCUAUGUGUGUAUAUUUAUAGGUAGGUCUUUCCUAGUUUUCCAUACAAACCGAUCGAUCUAUAUAUCUAGUCAGGUCUCACCCUCUUUCCCAUGUACACAUCGAAUCAAUCUACCUCUCUAUAUAGGACUACAUAGCUAAUACACCCACAUAAUCUAUCCAUCGUCUACCUCUCGUCAUCCAUGCCUUCCGCUUCAUCUCCCAGUGUAACGCGCCUGGAUGGAGGAAGUAGUUUCAUGCAUGCGAAGUAGCCAAAAAAUGCUCAUUUAUAGUAGUCUGAAAUCUCCAAGGGCGCGACCACGCGAGCGAUGUGACGGUCGUGGUAGGCGCGACCAUGAUACGGGCUGGUGACAGCCCUUGGGUCUGAGAUCGAACGGUCGCACGCUAAGUUUUUGAAAAUUUGCAGAAUAGCCCUCUAGGACAGGAUAUUCACCCAUAGGUCUAGAAUCACGCCAUGAAACCGUUCGAUCGGAUCCAAGGGCUCUCGAAAGCCCGUAUCAUGGGAGCAUCGAAAGCUUCGUAUGACCUAUAAUUUUCCCGACGCUUAACGUGCGAACAUGCAGAUGCUAUACUGUCAGGCCUACGAAGUGGGUCUAGUAGACAUGAUAUCUAAUUGGCCCCCCAUGGUACUCUGCAUGUAACCAUUUAUCCACCGGGCAAGCCACUACCCUGCCGUUCGCACACCCCACUCAGCAUUUUUACAAUAAAAAACCGCUAGCAGUUUACUCCUAGUCGUCCCGUCCUUUCACAUUACAACAGUUUCACUAAUCCUAACCCUCCUCCAAAAUCCAUGGCGUACCAAAUCUCCCUGAUCGACGGUGAGUACAAGGUUAGAACUAUCAUCGGCGAUGAACCUGACAUCAUCUACACCCGUUCUUCCAUGACGUUGAAAGGAUGCCUUGCUCGCUUCAAACGCAUGUUUGAAAAGUCAGAUGGUGAUGAGUGGGCCGCUGGGCUAGAUAUUGAGUACACCACAGUCCUAGGAAAAGAAAAGAAUCUAAAGGAGGAAGAGAAGAAGUAGCCCAUCGUGAUCUAGGUUUGCGUGCAUAACUUGUGCUUGGUCUACCACAUAUGCCAUGCCAACGUUAAGUGCGACGAUUUUCAGAACUUCGUCGCGGAUGACAACGUCAAGUUCGUUACUGUCGACUUUUGUAAGGACGAGGAAGUCCUAGGUGGGAUAGGCCUCGUUGUAGUCCAACCCUUCGACCUCGAGAAGAAUAUGCUGGUGUCCUCUCGUUAGCCUUCAAUGCUGACCCUGGCAGGAGCCAUGAUUGAUCCUUCGUACGGCAAACUGACAAAACCUUGCCACAAGUUUCAUCUUGCAUGGGAGUGGAAUUUACUAGAUAAAGACCACAUCCAUUAUGCUGCAAUGGAUGCCUACCAUUGUUUCAAUAUCUACAAGGGUUGGAUGAAGAGCGAGAGCCUAGUGUGCGGUUCAAGCAAAGAAGUAUCAGCCAAGAGGAAGAGGGACAAGGACGAAGUCGAGGACGUGGACGAGGAGUCCGAGUAAGGUGGUAGUGUCAUUGCUCAUGGUGGUUCUAAUGCAGUGUCUGCCGAAUUAAUUGCUUAGUUUAAUUUCAGGGUGCUUAGUUUUAUUUCAGGAGUGUGUUGUGCUGAGCCCCCAGCAGAACUAUGUUAUGUUCUUUCUCGUUACUUUAACUCUUCGGUACGUACAUACUUGUAUUUCUUAUAGUUCAUCUUGUAGUUGGUAGUACUACCACUCUUUUUUCACAUUAUAUACGUACAAUAUAUAUGGCCAGCAUCAUAUAGCCAGCAGUUGGCUUUACAAUUAACCACGCUCUAAGCAUGCCACAUACGCAAAACACUUAAAUGGAUAUGUAAUUCUAGAAAAAAUAAAUGAGAGAAGUUUACCCAAAGCAUGAAGGGGUUUAGUUGUCAAAGAAUUAAAUAGGUAUGCUAAUUUCUUUAAUACACUUUACCACCCCAUCUAAGCACGUACUAGCUUUUUUAAUAGUACUAUAUGCAUAAUUUGGUGAUGAGCGCUCUCUAUAUGUACCACCUUUUUCUUUAAUUUCAUCUUGUUAGUUUUGCUCCAUGGCGCAAUCCAUCGAUACUACUACUGUACAAAAGUACAUUUAAAAGGCUAGAGGGAGGGGCAGCCUCGCUUGGUCGGCUCAUUACUACUGGAAGGUGGGGCCUUGUGAUUUGACUGCUCGUAUAAAUGUUGUCGACGACCUGAGGAGGAGCAAAGAACCAUGCGGCAUACUCAAGUUUCUACUGGAGUAGGCAUAGUACGACGGAGGAGCGUGAAACACGGCAGCCUAGUGCGAUAUAGUGAUAAAAAUGAUCUAAUUUUCUAGUCAUCGAUCCCACGACGCCGCUCAUCGUUAGCAUUGUUCUAUUCAUGCCUUGUAGAGAACAUGACACAUGCAGCGAAACACCAAAAGCAAAAGAAGAAACACAGGAGCAAAAGAAGAAGGAAGAUUACCCCCAAAAAAAGAAGGAAGACGCAGACACAAGUUUGGGGUGCGGCUCUCUACUUCAUGAAGAGUUAACCGCAGAGUCCUAACUGCUUCUUCAUCGCCUCCACGACCUUCAUCUCCUCGCUCGUCUCCUCUGCCAUCUUCUUCAUUCUGUCCAUGAGGCGGGAUUUCUCGAGGUGAGCGUUCAUCAUCUAUUCCACGGCCGCAUUAUGUACCUUGACAGCACCCGGGUGCUCGAUGCGGAGCUUCGCCAACUCCUCCUUCUGUUCCAUGACGAGGGCGUGCAGCAUCUUCACCGAGGAACUACUCUUCUCAUGCAACUUCUUCCAGCUGGUGUUCUCCUCCUUCAGCAGGUCGAGCUCGUGGCGGACAUCUUUUGUGAUUGUGAGCACUCAUUAAAAUAUGACAUGCUAAAAAGUUGAUGUUGGACAAGGAAGACAACGUAAUGGGUUAUGUUUUAUUAUAUCUUAAUAGAAGUUAUAUUGUCAUGGAUCCUCCAACAUGUUGGCCUUGUUUCCCCUCCUAUGCUAGCCAAAUCUUUUGCACCAAGUAGAGAUACUACUUGUGCAUGCAAACAUCCCUUAAACCAGUUUUGCCAUGAGAGUCCACUAUAUCUACCAACGGAUUGAGUAAGAUCCUGUAGCGACCAGACCUCAAAUGGUCUGUGCUGCUGUGCACCAGUGUCAUCCCUGGAUCAGUAAUGCUGACACGCACAGUACAAAUGGAGGAUUUAUAACAGAGUAGCAAUCACACACUUAUUACAUCGAAUAUCUCCAAAGAGAUUAAGUAUGAUAAACAUGGCUUAAGGCCAUCUAAAACGAUAACAGCGGAAGACUUGGAAGAUAAGUGAGUCCAUCAACUCCAGCGGCAUCACUGAGUAUAAGACCACGACCUAAGGCACCUUACUCGUCGUCUGUAAAGUCUGCAACAUGAAACGUUGCGGCCCGAAAACGGGUCAGCACAUAGAAUAUGCUGGCAAAGUAACACAUAGAGGAUAAUGAACAAUAACAAGGCUAUACUACAUGCAUAUAAGGCUGGUGGAAAGCUCUAUGGUUAAGUUUUAUGCAAAAAGCCAAUUUUUCCCUACUUCAAAGGAAUAAAUUUUAUUUAACUAUCAUGGUGGUUGUUAAACAUUGAGAAGGUACCUCCAACUCAAUCCCAAUUAAGUGUCAUCAUUAACCCACAAAAUUAAUUAAAAGUAACAUGGUGAUGAGAUUCAAAUGAUAAUCCAGGUACUAGAUACUCAAGUUGUCCAUAACCGGGGACACGGCUAACCAUGAUUAGUUUGUACACUCUGCAGAGGUUUGCGCACUUUUCCCCACAAGACUCGAUCGCCUCCGUUUUAUUUCUCGCACUGCAUGGUGUUUGAGAAACGGAUGACCGAGACACAGUCUUUCAAAAACAAUCACUCUUUACUCUGGAUGGACCGGUACACCUACUUUCCCCUACAUCUGCUAGCCCACCUCUUCAAGAGAUCAUGUAACCUACUCAACUAUGCUAGAGCCCAUAAUAGCUUGUGGCUGCACACGGAAGUUUCUAGCAUGAAUAAUCUUAUGAUCCCUUUGAGUCUGGGUGGCGGUCCUUAUACAAACAGACAACACUGGGUUCUCCAGGUGCCUCAAUCCACCCAGAUGUGAGUUUUAGUUGCCACCUUAGGUAAACCAUUAUUAACAAUCUCACAUCUGUCAUGAAUAUCUCUCAAACCCAAAUCCACGUCUACGAGCAUAGCAUGGCAAGAUAAUAGCAACGUAGAAGUAACUCCCAAGGGUUUGAUAAUUAAACAAGUAAUAGGUACUACCUCAACUACUUCCCAGAACCCACAGUUUAAUUAGAUCCUAAUCAUGCAAUGUUUGAGGAAUUGAUCUAAUGCAAUAAAAACUGGGUAUGGAAGGUAUGAUCAAAGUGUUACUUGCCUUGCUGAUGAUCCGCAAAUCCUAGCGAUUCGAAGUAACAAGCGGCACACUCCGGGUACUCUAUCGCAAACAAACAAGCAAACAAUAAGUACUCAUCUAAUGCACAGGUAAAACUCAAAUGAAAGAUCCAACCAGAAAGUUCAACUUAAGAACUCCGGUUUGCAAAAAGAAUCAACUCGAAAGAAGCAACGAAAGUCAAACGGCGAAAGAAACAAGCUUCGUUUACUAAUCUGGAUCUAGGUCAAAUUUUACUGUAGUAAAAACUUGUUUGAGUAGGUUAAACGGAAAGAGAAUUUCGAGACGAAACUCUAGGCGCUUGAAUCGCCCGAUUCCGAUAGACGAGCGAGAAGUUAAACAGAAACGAAGAUUCGAUCAGAAAUCGAGUCUGAGAAAAUAGCGGAAUAAUCCAACGAAAAAGGAAAACGGACGAACGGUUAAAGAACGGACGUUCGUUAACAGAGAAAAACUGACGAACGCAUUCGUUAAAACGAACGGUUCGGUGAACGCUCGCAAAAAUAAUAAAACCGAAAAAAACCGAUCUAGGGUUUUUUUGUUUUUUUAAAACGAAUGGUUUUUUUAAGAAAAACCGGCAACGAACGGGGCAGUACCUCGUCGGGGGCGGGGCUCCGGCGGGGCUCGGNNNNNNNNNNNNNNNNNNNNNNNNNNNNNNNNNNNNNNNNNNNNNNNNNNNNNNNNNNNNNNNNNNNNNNNNNNNNNNNNNNNNNNNNNNNNNNNNNNNNNNNNNNNNNNNNNNNNNNNNNNNNNNNNNNNNNNNNNNNNNNNNNNNNNNNNNNNNNNNNNNNNNNNNNNNNNNNNNNNNNNNNNNNNNNNNNNNNNNNNNNNNNNNNNNNNNNNNNNNNNNNNNNNNNNNNNNNNNNNNNNNNNNNNNNNNNNNNNNNNNNNNNNNNNNNNNNNNNNNNNNNNNNNNNNNNNNNNNNNNNNNNNNNNNNNNNNNNNNNNNNNNNNNNNNNNNNNNNNNNNNNNNNNNNNNNNNNNNNNNNNNNNNNNNNNNNNNNNNNNNNNNNNNNNNNNNNNNNNNNNNNNNNNNNNNNNNNNNNNNNNNNNNNNNNNNNNNNNNNNNNNNNNNNNNNNNNNNNNNNNNNNNNNNNNNNNNNNNNNNNNNNNNNNNNNNNNNNNNNNNNNNNGCGGCGAGCGGCGGCGGCUCGGGCUUCGGCUCCAGCGGCGGCGAGCGAGGCGGGUGCGGGCGGCGGCGGGCGAGGUGAGGUGAGAGGAGGGGGGGCUAUAUAUAUAGGAAGGGGGGCAGCAGCUUGGGGGAGGGGCAAGGUGCGGCGGCGGCGUUCCCGUGUCCGCCAUGGACACGGCGCGGCGGCGACGUCGUGCGAGGAGUGGACGACGCGGGGCGGGCCGGCCUGCGGCUCGGCUGGGCUCGGCCCAGUCGGGCGCAAUGCAAUUUUUUUUUAAACAUUCCGCGGAAAAUAAUUCGUAGAAAAAUAAAUAAAAGUCCAAAAAAGAUAAAACAAAUUUUCCCCGUCUAGUUAGAAAAUCUAGAAUAGGGUGAACAUUUUUUAACACAAAAUAAAUUUUUUGAAAACAUGCAAUAUUUUUAAUGCAAUUAAAAUUGCAAAUAAAUUCCAAUAAAUGAUUUUAACACUUUUCCUCCAGUAUUUCAAUUGUUUUGGAGAAGUCAUAUUUUCUCCUCUCAUUUAUUUUUAAAAUGAAAUAUUUUUCCGGAGAGAAAAUAAUUAAAACCAAAAUCCUCGUUUUAUUAUUUGAUGAAAAUCAAAUAUGAAAAUUCGAGAAAAUCCCCAACUCUCUCCGAGGGUCCUUGAGUUGCUUAGGAUUUAUCGAGGAUUUGUCAAAAUGCAAUAAAAUAUGAUAUGCAAUGAUGAUCUAUGUAUAACAUACCAAAUUAAAAAUUUGGGACGUUACAAACCUACCCCCCUUAAGAUGAAUCUCGCCCUCGAGAUUCGGGUUGGCUAGAAAACAGGUGGGAGUGGUCCUUCCGUAGAUCUUCCUCUCGCUCCCAGGUGGCUACAUCUUCCGUGUGGUGACUCCACUGGACUUUGCAAAACUUGAUAACCUUGCUGCGGGUAACUCGGCUGGCAUACUCAAGAAUCUUAACUGGUUUCUCUUCAUAGGUCAAAUCACUUUCCAGCUGAAUCGCUUCCAGUGGCACAGUAUCUCUCAGUGGUAUCUCAGCCAUCUCUGCGUGGCACUUCUUCAACUGAGAAACGUGAAAUACAUCAUGAACUCCAGACAAUCCUUCGGGCAAUUCCAGCUUGUAGGCAACCUCUCCCAUACGUUCCACAACUCUGUAUGGUCCGAUAAAACGGGGCGCUAACUUUCCCUUAACUCCAAAGCGCUUCACUCCUCGAAGUGGUGAUACUCGAAGAUACACUCUGUCUCCGACUUCGUGGACUGUCUCCUUUCGUUUAGAAUCAGCAUAACUCUUCUGCCUGGAUUGGGCUACCUUGAGCCUAUCGCGAAUCAACCUCACUUUCUGUUCAGACUCCUUAAUCAAAUCUGGUCCAAACAACUGACGGUCUCCAACUUCGUCCCAUAACAACGGUGUUCUACACCUCCUUCCGUACAAGGCUUCGAAAGGGGCCAUCUUCAAACUGGUCUGAUAACUGUUGUUAUACGAAAACUCCGCAUAUGGCAAAUUGUCGUCCCAACUAGAUCCAUAAUCUAGUGCACAAGCUCUCAACAUGUCCUCCAAAAUCUGGUUGACUCUCUCGGUCUGUCCAUCUGUCUGCGGGUGAAAAGCAGUACUAAAUUCCAGCCUGGUUCCCAAUGUUUCAUGUAACUGCUUCCAAAACUUCGAGGUAAAUUGGGUUCCUCUGUCUGAUACAAUGGUCCUCGGAACUCCAUGCAAACAUACGAUCCUGGUCAUGUAUAUCUUUGCCAACUUAGCACUGGUGUAAGUGGUCUUCACUGGAAUGAAAUGAGCCACUUUCGUCAAACGGUCGACUACAACCCAUAUUGAGUCAUAGCCUGAACGAGUCCUGGGCAAUCCUAUGAUAAAAUCCAUGCCUAUUUUAUCCCACUUCCAUUCGGGUAUCGGCAAUGGUUGUAGCAAUCCUGCUGGCUUCUGAUGCUCUGCCUUCACUCUCUGAGACACAUCUCAAACUGCUACAUACUCCGCAAUAUCCUUCUUCAUUCCGGUCCACCAGAAAGUAUUCUUCAGAUCCAAAUACAUCUUGGUAUUCCCUGGGUGAAUCGAGUACGGUGAAUCAUGGGCUUCUUGCAAAAUCAACUUCCUGAUCUCCGGAUCAUUUGGCACAUAUACGCGGUCCUCAAACCAUAGGGUAUCGUGCUCAUCCUCACGAAAUCCCUUGGCUUUUCCUUUGCUCAUCUUCUCCUUUAUCUCUUCAAUCUCCUUGUCUGUCUUCUGAGCUUCUCUGAUCCUUUCCAUCAAGGUAGACUGAAUCUCCAAUGUCGCUAAAUAGCCUCUUGGGACUAUCUCCAAACAUAGCUCGCGAAGGUCCUCGGCUAACUCCUGAGGUAACUCUCCUGUCAUGAGGGUGUUGACAUGACUCUUGCGGCUCAACGCGUCUGCUACUACGUUAGCCUUUCCUGGGUGAUAAUGCAAUCUCAUAUCAUAGUCCUUAAUGAGCUCCAACCAUCUCCUCUGUCUGAGAUUUAACUCCUUCUGCGUGAAAAUAUACUUCAAACUCUUGUGAUCCGUGUACACCUCACAAUGGUUUCCGAUGAGAAAAUGUCUCCAUGUCUUCAAUGCAUGCACCACGGCUGCUAAUUCCAAAUCAUGCUUAGCAUAAUUCUUCUCAUGGGGUUUAAGUUGUCGUGAAGCAUAUGACACAACUCUUCCUUCCUGCAUAAGCACUGCUCCAAGUCCUCGACGAGAAGCGUCACAAUAAACUUCAUAAUCCUUGCGUUGAUCUGGCAGAAUCAACACUGGUGAUGUAACCAAUCGUUCCUUCAGCUCUUGGAAACUAGCUUCACAUUCCUCAGUCCAAUUGAAUUUGGUGUCCUUCUUCAAUAGCUCAGUCAUGGGCUUAGCAAUCUUCGAGAAAUUCUCGAUGAAUCUCCGGUAGUAUCCUGCAAGUCCAAGAAAACUCUAGAUUUCUCCAACUGUCGUGGGUGAUUCCCAACUUGUCACUGUGUCAACCUUGGCAGGGUCCACUGCUAUUCCUUCUCCAGAAAUAACAUGUCCGAGGAAUCCAACUUCCUUCAGCCAAAAUUCGCAUUUGCUGAACUUGGCAUAUAACUGGUGUUCUCUGAGCUUCUCAAGUACCAAUCGUAAAUGCUCCUCAUGCUCUUCCUCAUCCUUGGAAAAGAUUAAAAUAUCAUCAAUAAACACCACGACGAACUUAUCCAAAAACUCCAUAAACACUUUGUUCAUCAGGUUCAUGAAAUAGGCAGGUGCGUUAGUCAGACCAAAUGACAUAACGGUAUACUCAUACAAUCCAUAUCUGGUGGUAAAUUCCGUCUUGGGUAUAUCCUGCUCUCGAAUCUUUAACUGAUGGUAUCCUGAUCGUAGAUCGAUCUUGGAAAAUACUUUAGUUCCUUGUAGGCGGUCAAACAAAUCAUUGAUCAUCGGCAGUGGGUACUUGUUUUUGAUGGUCACUUCAUUCAAUCCGCGGUAAUCAACAACCAUCCUCAGCGAUCCAUCUUUCUUUUCCACUAAAAGUACUGGUGAUCCCCAAGGUGACGAACUUGGGCGAAUAUAGCCUUUAUCCAGUAACUCCUUGAUCUGCUUCUUAAUUUCCUCCAAAUCUUUUGCGGGCAUCCUGUACGGUCUCUUAGAUAUUGGCCCUGUGCCUGGCAAAAGUUCAAUCAAGAACUCGAUGUCUCUAUCUGGUGGCAUGCCUGGCAACUCUUCUGGAAAUACAUCCGGGUAAUCCUUCACCACAGGUACUUCCUCCUGUACAACUCCUGAUAAGGAAUUCACUUGAGUCCUUUUCGGCAUAUGCCGGGAUACAUACUUGAUCCUUUUUCCUUCCGGGGUGGUAAGCAAAAUCGUCUUGCUGGCACAAUCGAUGUUUCCUCCAUACAACGAUAGCCAAUCCAUUCCCAAAAUCACAUCCAAACCUUGCGACUCCAAAACUAUGAGGUCUGAGGGGAAAACAUGCCUACCAAUGGCCAAUGGUAUCUGAAAACAUCCUUGGCUGGCCAUAUACUCUGCUCCUGGCGAGGUUACUAACAUAGGGGUUUUGAGAACUUGGGUGGACAUCUUAAACUUAUUCACGAAUCCCCUUGAUAUGUAUGAAUGCGAUGCACCAGAAUCGAAAAGAACGGUUGCAGUAAAUGACUUAACCAAAAACUUACCUAUUACUGCAUCCGGCUGAGCUUCAACCUCCUCCACGCUCACGUGGUUCACAUGUCCUUUGUUGAACGGGUUCGGCUUCUUCCCAGAGCUUCCAUUGCCAUUUCCAUUUUGGGCUUCAGGACAAUCAGUUGCAUAGUGUCCGGUCUUCUGGCACUUGAAACAAGUAAUGUGACUUAGAUCCCUCUUGGUUGGGGUGGAUGGGUUGGGGCGGUUCUGUCCGUUGCUUCCUCCAUUCCCAUUACCAUUCUUGGAGCCAUUAUGGUUGUGCGAACUACCUCCUCCAUGGGUAUGCUGAAACUGUCCUCCCGGCUUCGGGGUAAAUCGUGGCUUCUGUUGAGCUCCAGUAUUGUACUUCCCUUGUCCAUACUUCCUCUUACGAUUUUCAAUCUGCUGUUGCUUCCCUUCAAUCAUGAGAGCUCUGUCUACCAGCUCCUGGUAGUUGUUGAAGGUUGCUACCAUCAACUGCAUACUCAGUUCAUCAUUCAGCCCUUCCAAAAAUUUCUCCUGCUUGGCAGCAUCUGUAGCAACGUCAUCUGGUGCAUAACGUGCUAACUUACUGAAAUCCUCCACAUACUGGCCUACGGUGCGUCCUCCUUGGCGUAGGUUGCGAAACUCGCGCUUCUUCAUAGCCAUAGCUCCUGCUGAAACAUAAGCUGUAUGGAAAGCUUGCUGAAACUGGUCCCAUGUGACAGUGUCAAUAGGGUGUGUGGCUGUAUAAUUCUCCCACCAUGAUGUUGCGGGUCCAUCAAGCUGAUGUGCGGCAAAAUGCACUCUUUCCGCAUCUGUGCAUCCUGCAGUGGUCAACUCCCUUCCAACUUUGCGGAGCCAAUCAUCUGCAACAAUCGGCUCGGUGCUACUAGAAAACACCGGCGGGUUUAGCCUUAAGAAACGGGCUAAGUGAUCAACAGGUGGUGGUGGCGGUGGGUUGUUGUUGUUGUUGUUGUUGCCUUGGUUCUGCACUAACACUUGCAUCAGGGCAUUCUGUUGCUGAAUCAACUGGGUGAUCUCUGGUGGGAAAACAAAUCCGGUGUCGCGUCUCGGAGGCAUCUGAUAGGUUUAGAAAAGAUGAGAGUUAAGAAUAGAAUGGGGUCUAGAGAGAAAACACUACCCAUAUGCUCAUGAGACAAAUACAAUCAAUAUCACUCAAUCAAUUCAAACAAGGCAAAACAAUCGAUCUAACUAGCAUUACAAAGUGCUUGAACUAUACUAUUAAAUGGGGGAAAACUACUACUGAUAUGGUGGUCUACUAGAAAUUCUGAUCCGUCGAAGACUCCAUGAUGUCUGCUCCAGCUUCGUCAACAAAGUCAUCUUCACUUGGUUCCGAGUCGGUGUCGUCGAUGAUGAUGUAGUUAUCCAGACAAGUGCAUUCGUCUACUUCUGCUUUUGGCACUGGAUUUCCCAUGAAUACUCCAAUCUUCUUCUCCAGGUCAUCAUUCUUCCCUACUAAUGCGAUGAUUUACUCCAUAUAAUCCUCGCGUGUAGCCUUGAGUUCUUCUUGGAGCUCCUUGAUCUUCGUCAAUGCCUUCUUCAGUUCUUCCUUGUCCGUGCACAUCUGGUUCCCCUGGCGACGAAUAUGUUGGUUUUGCUCCUGGAUGAGAGCUGCAAUUGAUCCAUCCUUCUUGGUUCUGAUCAUCUCCCAUUGCACGUCUCGGCGUCCACAAAUUUGGUAAAUUGUAUCCUUAAGCUCCUGGUGAUAGACUUCUCCAAUGCGUCCCAUGGCGAUGUGUGCGGCCAUGCUCUUCCCUAAACUCCAGGUUGGUGCUUCGAAAACCAAUCUUAUGGGUUCAGUAACUGGCACAAACGUCCUUCCUGGAAUGUGAACUUGAAUCUUCCAGCUCUCCUCUUCGGGUAAUGUGGCGUUGUAGGUUCCCGUGAUGCUUGGUAUUCCUAUGUUCAAAUACUUGGUGACUUCCUUCAAGUGUCGACCAAAAGGCGUGUCUUCAUCUGGUUGCAUGAACUUGCUCCUUGCAUCCGCCAUUCCUAAAAGAGUAGAAAGUGGAGAGGGGUCAGAAAUGAGAAGAGAGAAGCUUUCUAGGGCUUAAGCUUAGUGAUCGUGUCCUAUAGUCAGCGUGUGCUCUGAUACCAACUUUGUAGCGACCAGACCUCAAAUGGUCUGUGCUGCUGUGCACCAGUGUCAUCCCUGGAUCAGUAAUGCUGACACGCACAGUACAAAUGGAGGAUUUAUAACAGAGUAGCAAUCACACACUUAUUACAUCGAAUAUCUCCAAAGAGAUUAAGUAUGAUAAACAUGGCUUAAGGCCAUCUAAAACGAUAACAACGGAAGACUUGGAAGAUAAGUGAGUCCAUCAACUCCAGCGGCAUCACUGAGUAUAAGACCACGACCUAAGGCACCUUACUCGUCGUCUGUAAAGUCUGCAACAUGAAACGUUGCAGCCCGAAAACGGGUCAGCACAUAGAAUAUGCUGGCAAAGAAACACAUAGAGGAUAAUGAACAAUAACAAGGCUAUACUACAUGCAUAUAAGGCUGGUGGAAAGCUCUAUGGUUAAGUUUUAUGCGAAAAGCCAAUUUUUCCCUACUUCAAAGGAAUAAAUUUUAUUUAACUAUCAUGGUGGUUGUUAAACAUUGAGAAGGUACCUCCAAGUCAAUCCCAAUUAAGUGUCAUCAUUAACCCACAAAAUUAAUUAAAAGUAACAUGGUGAUGAGAUUCAAAUGAUAAUCCAGGUACUAGAUACUCAAGUUGUCCAUAACCGGGGACACGGCUAACCAUGAUUAGUUUGUACACUCUGCAGAGGUUUGCGCACUUUUCCCCACAAGACUCGAUCGCCUCCGUUUUAUUUCUCGCACUGCAUGGUGUUUGAGAAACGGAUGACCGAGACACAGUCUUUCAGAAACAAUCACUCUUUACUCUGGAUGGACCGGUACACCUACUUUCCCCUACAUCUGCUAGCCCACCUCUUCAAGAGAUCAUGUAACCUACUCAACUAUGCUAGAGCCCAUAAUAGCUUGUGGCUGCACACGGAAGUUUCUAGCAUGAAUAAUCUUAUGAUCCCUUUGAGUCUGGGUGGCGGUCCUUAUACAAACAGACAACACUGGGUUCUCCAGGUGCCUCAAUCCACCCAGAUGUGAGUUUUAGUUGCCACCUUAGGUAAACCAUUAUUAAUAAUCUCACAUCUGUCAUGAAUAUCUCUCAAACCCAAAUCCACGUCUACGAGCAUAGCAUGGCAAGAUAAUAGCAACGUAGAAGUAACUCCCAAGGGUUUGAUAAUUAAAAAAGUAAUAGGUACUACCUCAACUACUUCCCAGAACCCACAGUUUAAUUAGAUCCUAAUCAUGCAAUGUUUGAGUAAUUGAUCUAAUGCAAUAAAAACUGGGUAUGGAAGGUAUGAUCAAAGUGUUACUUUCCUUGCUGAUGAUCCGCAAAACCUAGCGAUUCGAAGUAACAAGCGGCACACUCCGGGUACUCUAUCGCAAACAAACAAGCAAACAAUACGUACUCAUCUAAUGCAUAGGUAAAACUCGAAUGAAAGAUACAACCAGAAAGUUCAACUUAAGAACUCCGGUUUGCAAAAAGAAUCAACUCGAAAGAAGCAACGAAAGUCAAACGGCGAAAGAAACAAGCUUCGUUUACUAAUAUGGAUCUAGGUCAAAUUUUACUGUAGUCAAAACUUGUUUGAGUAGGUUAAACGGAAAGAGAAUUUCGAGACGAAACUCUAGGCGCUUGAAUUGCUUGAUUCCGAUAAACGAGCGAGAAGUUAAACAGAAACGAAGAUUCGAUCAGAAAUCGAGUCUGAGAAAAUAGCGGAAUAAUCCGACGAAAAAGAAAAACGGACGAACGGUUAAAGAACAGACGUUCGUUAACAGAGAAAAACCGACGAACGGGUUCGUUAAAACGAACGGUUCGGUGAACGCUCGCAAAAAUAAUAAAACCGAAAAAAAACGAUCUAGGGUUUUUUUGUUUUUUUUAAACGAAUGGUUUUUUUUAAAGAAAAACCGGCAACGAACGGGGCAGUACCUCGUCGGGGGCGGGGCUCCGGCGGGGCUCGGCUGCUCCGGCGAGGGCGGCGGGGUGNNNNNNNNNNNNNNNNNNNNNNNNNNNNNNNNNNNNNNNNNNNNNNNNNNNNNNNNNNNNNNNNNNNNNNNNNNNNNNNNNNNNNNNNNNNNNNNNNNNNNNNNNNNNNNNNNNNNNNNNNNNNNNNNNNNNNNNNNNNNNNNNNNNNNNNNNNNNNNNNNNNNNNNNNNNNNNNNNNNNNNNNNNNNNNNNNNNNNNNNNNNNNNNNNNNNNNNNNNNNNNNNNNNNNNNNNNNNNNNNNNNNNNNNNNNNNNNNNNNNNNNNNNNNNNNNNNNNNNNNNNNNNNNNNNNNNNNNNNNNNNNNNNNNNNNNNNNNNNNNNNNNNNNNNNNNNNNNNNNNNNNNNNNNNNNNNNNNNNNNNNNGGCGGCGAGCGAGGCGGGUGCGGGCGGCGGGGGGCGAGGUGAGGUGAGAGGAGGGGGGCUAUAUAUAUAGGAAGGGGGGCAGCAGCUUGGGGAAGGGGCAAGGUGCGGCGGCGGCGUUCCCGUGUCCGCCAUGGACACGGCGCGGCGGCGGCGUCGUGCGAGGAGAGGACAACGCGGGGCGGGCCGGCCUGCGGCUCGGCUGGGCUCGGCCCAGUCGGGCGUAGUGCAAAUUUUUUUAAACAUUCCGCGGAAAAUAAUUCGUAGAAAAAUAAAUAAAAGUCCAAAAAAGAUAAAACAAAUUUUCCCCAUCUAGUUAGAAAAUCUAGAAUAGGGUGAACAUUUUUUAACACAAAAUAAUUUUUUUGAAAACAUGCAAUAUUUUUAAUGCAAUUAAAAUUGCAAAUAAAUUCCAAUAAAUGAUUUUAACACUUUUCCUCCAGUAUUUCAAUUGUUUUGGAGAAGUCAUAUUUUCUCCUCUCGUUUAUUUUUAAAAUGAAAUAUUUUUCCGGAGAGAAAAUAAUUAAAACCAAAAUCCUCGUUUUAUUAUUUGAUGAAAAUCAAAUAUGAAAAUUCAAGAAAAUCCCCAACUCUCUCCGAGGGUCCUUGAGUUGCUUAGGAUUUAUCGAGGAUUUGUCAAAAUGCAAUAAAAUAUGAUAUGCAAUGAUGAUCUAUGUAUAACAUGCCAAAUUGAAAAUUUGGGAUGUUACAUAUCCUUCAUGUAAGUUGUCAUCGGUGCAAGCAAUAAAAAUUGCACUCUAAAUAUGUAUGAUUUUUUAGUGUGAAAAAAUAAGCUUUAUAUGAACUUGUGAUAUGGAAGAAAUAAAAGCGACGGAUCGCAUAAUAAAGUUAUUUAUCACAAGCGACAAUAUAAAGUGACAUUAUUUUGCAUUAAGAUUAUAUGCAUCCAACCAUAAAAGUGCAUGACAACCUGUGCUUCCCUCUGCGAGGGCCUAUCUUUUACUUUUACUUUCUACCCUUAUACAAGAGUCAUGGUGAACUUCACCUUUCAUUUUCACACCUUUUCUUUUUGGCAAGCACUAUAUGUUGUGGAAAGAUCCAUAUGCAUAUAUCCACUCGGAUGUAGGUUAUCAUAAAGUAUUAUUGUUGACAUUACCCUUGAGGUAAAAGGUUGGGAGGCGAAACUAUAAGCCGCUAUCUUUCUCUUUGUCCGGUUGAGGCUUUGAUCUCAUAAGUAUUGUGUGAGUGUUAGCAAUUAUGAAAGACUAAAAGAUGGUUGAGUAUGUGGACUUGCUAUACAAAGUCUCUUACAUUGACUCUUUCCGAUAUUAUGAUAAAUUGCAAUUGCUUCAAUGACUGAGAUCAAAGUUUGCUAGUUUUCAAUAAAGUUUUUGAUUCAUACUUUACAUAGUGAACGAAUUGUCACUUUAGCAUAAAAAAUUAUAUGAUGUUGUUCUUAAGAUGAUCAUGAUGCCCUCAUGUCCGUAUUUUAUUUUAUCGACACCUCUAUCUCUAAACAUAUGGACAUAUUUAUCGAUUUCGGCUUUCGCUUGAGGACAAGCGAGGUCUAAGCUUGGGGGAGUUGAUACGUCCAUUUUGCAUCAUGCUUUUAUAUUGAUAUUUAUUGCAUCAUGGGAUGUUAUUACACAUUAUGGUACAAUACAUAUGCCUUUUCUCUCUUAUUUUACAAGGUUUACAUGAAGAGGGAGAAUGCCGACAGCUGGAAUUCUGGACCAGAAAGGAGCAAAUCUAAGAGACCUAUUCCGCACAACUCCAAAAGUCCUGAAAAAUUACGGAGAAUUAGUUUGGAAUAUAAUAAAAAUAUUGGGUGCAAAAAAUACCAGAGGGGACCCACCAGGUGGCCACAAGCCUAGGGGCGUGCCCUACCACCCUAGGCGCGCUCCCAGGGCUUGUGGGCCCCCUGGCAGGUCUCCGGUGCCCAUCUUCUGCUAUAUGGAAGGUUUUGAUCUAGAAAAAAAUCAUAAGGAAGCUUUCGGGACAAAGCGCCGCCGUCUCGAGGCGGAACCUAGGCAGAAGCAAUCUAGGGCUCCGGCGGAGCUGUUCUACCAGGGAAACUUCCCUCCGGGAGGGGGAAAUCGAAGCCAUCGUCAUCACCAACGAUCCUCUCAUCGAGAGGGGGUCAAUCUCCAUCAACAUCUUCACUAGCACCAUCUCCUCUCAAACCCUAGUUCAUCUCUUUUAUCCGAUCUUUAUCUCAAAACCUUAGAUUGGUACUUGUGGGUUGCUAGUAGUAUUGAUUACUCCUUGUAGUUGAUGCUAGUUGGUUCAUUCGGUGGAAGAUCAUAUGUUCAGAUCCUUAAUGAUAUUCAAUACCCCUCUGAUUAUGAACAUGAAUAUGCUUUGUGAGUAGUUAUGUUUGUUCCUGAGGACAUGGGAGAAGUCUUGUUAUAAGUAAUCACGUGAAUUUGGUAUUCGUUCGAUAUUUUGAUGAGAUGUACGUUGUCUUUCAUCUAGUGGUGUUAUGUGAACGUCAACUACAUGUCACUUCACCAUGAUUUGGGCCUAGGGGAAGGCAUUGGGAAGUAAUAAGUAGAUGAUGGGUUGCUAGAGUGACAGAAGCUUAAACCCUAGGUUAUGCGUUGCUUCAUAAGGGGCUGAUUUGGAUCCACAUGUUUCAUGCUAUGGUUAGAUUUAUCUUAAUUCUUCUUUCGUAGUUGCGGAUGCUUGUGAGAGGGUUUAAUCAUAAGUGGGAGGCUUGUCCAAGUAAGGACAGCACCCAAGCACCGGUCCACCCACAUAUCAAAUUAUCAAAGUAAUAACGUGAAUCAUAUGAGCAUGAUGAAAACUAAAUUGACAAUAAUUCCCAUGUGCCCUCGGGAGCGCUUUGCUUUAUAUAAUAGUUCGUCUAGGCUUAUCCUUUUCUACAAAAAGUAUUGGGCCACCUUGCUGCACCUAAGUUACACUUGUUACUCAUUACACGUUACGAAUUAUCUUAUCACAAAACUAUUUGUUACCGAUAAUUUCAGUGCUUGCAGAGAAUACCUUACUGAAAACCGCUUGUCAUUUCCUUCUGCUCCUCGUUGGGUUCGACACUCUUACUUAUCGAAAGAACUACAAUAGAUCCCCUAUACUUGUGGGUCACCAAGACUCUCUUCUGGCGCUAUUGUCGGGGAGUGAAGCGCCUUUGGUGAGUGGAAUUUGGUAAGGAAAAAUUUAUAUUACGUGCUGAAAUUUACUGUCACUUGUUACUAUGGAGAAUCAUCCUUUGAGGGGCUUGUUCGGGGCAUCUUCACCUCGACCGGUAGAGCAAGAAGUUGCUCCUCAACCUACUGCACCUACUGAAAAUAUUUAUUAUGAAAUUCCUUCGGGUAUGAUACAGAAGCUGUUAGCUAAUCCUUACGCAAGAGAUGGAACACUACAUCCUAAUAUGCAUCUAAUCUAUGUGGAUGAAGUUUGUGGAUUAUUUAAGCUUGCAGGUUUGCCCGAGGAUGACGUCAACAAGAAGGUUUUCCAUUUAUCUUUGAAGGGAAAGGCAUUGACAUGGUAUAGGCUAUGUGAUCAUAUUGGAGCUUGGAACUACAACCGAUUGAAAUUGGAAUUUCAUCAGAAGUUUUAUCCUAUGCAUCUGGUUCAUCGUGAUCGGAAUUAUAUAUAUAAUUUUUGGCCUCAUGAGCAGAAAUGUCGGCUCCGCAUGAGAGGGACCAAAGACCCAGUGGUGCCGUCUUCAUCCCGGGCUGGGCCCAAGGUGAAGAGGACGACCACUAAGAACAGCAAGGAGGAUGUGGUGCACUGGCACUCAGCCCGCCUUGCUCCGGCCUCGACUCCGGCAGCGGGUGGUGAAGGGUGUCGACCCUACUCCACCAUCAAGCCCGGCACCAUCAGCAAGCAGGACUCCUCCACCACUUAAGAGGGCGAGGGAAUCACCCUCGCCUCCUAUAUAUGAGCUGGACGCCAUGUUCGACGAUUCAGAGUGAGAACAAUUAUUUGCUUCUCUUGAUUUCAGUAACUUUUUCCUUCAGUUUAUGUUGAUCUUGUGAUGUUGGCCUUGACAGGGAUGACGAGACUUUGGCCCAGUGGGCCAAGCGCGCUGAUGCGUCCAUUUUGCAUCAUGCUUUCGUAUUGAAAUUUAUUGCAUUAUGGGCUGUUAUUACACAUUAUGGUACAAUACUUAUGCCUUUUCUCUCUUAUUUUACAAGGUUUACAUGAAGAGGGAGAAUGCCGACAGCUGGAAUUCUGGACCGGAAAGGAGAAAAUCUGAGAGACCUAUUCUACACAACUCCAAAAGUCCUGUAAAUAUACAUAGAAUUAUUUUGGAAUAUAUAAAAAAUAUUGGGCAAAGAAAAUACCAUGGGGGACACACCAGGAGGCCACAAGCCUGGGGGGCGCCCUACCCCCCUAUGUGCGCCCCUAGGGCUUGUGGGCCCCCUGUCAGGCCUCCGAUGCCCAUCUUCUGCUGUAUGGAGGGUUUUGACUUGGAAAAAUCAUAAGGAAGCUUUCGGGACGAAGCGCCACCGUCUCGACGCGGAACCUGGGCAGAAGCAAUUCCGACCAUUGUGAAUGUGUCGGUUGGCCAUUGGCUGAACCCCGUGUCCAAAAUGGUCAUUUCCCAUCUGGGAAGUCUAUAAAUAGCUACCCUGCGCCGGCUUUGCCCGGUGGCUGCUCUGUUUGAUUCUGAGAAGAUUGUUGAGCAACCCACUCUCUGAGCGAUUUGAGUUUCAAAUCCACCGUUAGAAAACCCCUAGAGCCGAAGAACUAGAUAGUGGUUAGCGUCACUCAAAUCUAAGUCUUGUAUGCUCCGCUUAUUACUCUUGAGAGCUUCAAACUCUCUAGACGGUUAGGUGUCAAUUUCUUCAGAGACCAUGAGUGAUUGUGGUUCUUGAAGAAGUCUGGAAAGGUUCGGAGAUUGCCUUCAAGUAUCUACCACGAAUAAUCAGCAUCGGUUGACGAAUCGAUUGUCGAGGAGAAUAGGGUGAAGAGAGUUUAUCUUCCAUGUUAAGUCACAACCCCUCCAACUAGACGUAGUCCUUGUGCAGAAGGAAGAACUGGUGGAACAAAUACCCUGUCGCCAUCGAGCACCACUGGUUACCUCUGUUACCCUUGUUUUCUUACCAUAUGUUUUCCAUCAUGUGAUUUGUCUCGAUGCAUGUCUAGUUUCCUUUCGGUAAUUAGUUUUACCUCAGUGUAGUUCUAUUUUUUCAUUCAUUUCCGUUGUUGGGUUUUGGGAGUUUUGAGUUUUCCAAAGAAAAUUUAAAACUCCCAUUCACCCCCCUCUGGUAGACAUACUUCGUUCCUACAAUUAGUAUCAGAGCAAGGUACUCCUUGACUCUGCUCAUUUUAGUCUAACGACUUUGGAGUUUAAGUAUGUCUUCAAUGAACUACAAAUCGCAUCUCAAUAUUCCAAUAUUCGAUGGGACGGACUACCCCUUCUGGAAGGAGAAUAUGAAGAUCCGUCUCCGAGCAAUAGAUGAUAAUAUGUGGAACGUUGUGCAAGUCGGGCUCACAAUCGGUGUACCGCAAGCCCCUACUAACGAAGAAAAGAAGCUCAUUCAGCUGGAUGCUCAAGCCAAAGAUGAUAUUGGCCGCCAUCUAUCUCGAGCACAAUUCCUUCGGUAUCGCUAGUGUGAAACUGCGAAGGAAUUGUGGGAUGUCCUCGAGAAGAUCAAUGAAGGAGUUUCAACUCAGAAAAAAGCUCGAAUUGAUACUCUACAAGUGAAAUUCAAUCGCUUCAAGCGCAUUGGAAAUGAAAGCUGUCAGCAAACCUUUGACCAUCUCAGUGACAUAGCAAAUGAACUUCAAGGUCUCGGUGCCAAAUACAUCACCGACCAUGAAGUUGUGAAGAAGCUGCUCCGAUCUUUUGACAGUUCAUUUGACACCCUUGUUCUGAUGAUUCACGAACGUCCUGAUUUCAAAUCCCUCAACUCUGCUGAUGUCAUGGAAGACUGAACACUCACGAGGAACAAGAGGAAGGGAAGAGAGAUCUGUAUGGCUCAAGUCAGCGCAAGAAUCAUGCUCUCAAAGUUGUGACUGAUUCUUCCUCCGAUGGAAAUGCCGAAGAAGAUUCAGAUGAUCCAGAAAUGCUUAGCAAAGAUCUCGCACUAACCACGAGAAGAUUAUAGCAUCUUCAUAAGAAAAAACAGUUUCAGAAGAAAGGUUCAAGCAACUCUGGCGGUUCAAAAUCCUCGUCAAAAUCUACAGGAGAAUACACCUGCUUCAAGUGCAAAAAGCCUGGACACUUCAUUUCGGACUGCCCUCUCUGGGAAGCUGAAAUCUGUGCUACUGGAAGGUAUGAUUCUGUCAACUAUCGAAGCAAAAGCAAGAGCAAGAGCAAGAACUAUGACUCCAGUGAAGAAAAGAAAACAAAGAAAUUCUUCAAGAAUAAGGACAACACCACUUCAAAAUCUUCGUCAAGAUCUUCAUCAAGGAACCCUUCCAAGUCCUCCUUCAACCGCAAGAAUAACUUCGUAAGGCCAAGGCGUACAUCGGCAAGGAGAUGGAUUCAGAAGAAGAAGAAGAAGAAUCGUCUGCCUCCGAAGAAGCUGAUGAAUCCGAUGAGGAUUCCGGCUCGGGCAUGGCUGGCAUAGCACGUGCCUCUUCUCCUAGGACAAAUUUCUUCGGGUACCCGUCAAGCGAUGAUUAAUCUCCUACCUACUGCUUCAUGGCCAAGGCCUUAAAAGAAAAGGUGCCAUCCAAACAUCACAAGGUUCACUCCAGUGAUCAAUCUUCUUCUGAUGAGGAUGACCAUGCUAAGUUGAUCAAAAUUGUCAAUAUUCAACAAAACUCGCUUGAGAAAAUUGAGAAAACCCUCAGGAAAUCUGAAGGGUUGUUGGUUGAGGAGAUGGAGAAAAUCAGUCAUUGACCAAAGAGUAUUCCACUCUCAAGUCACGAAUGGAUGAACUAUCAACUCAUCAUGAUUUUCUCUCAGCUGGCCACAAAAAAUUGACCUAUGAUUAUCUUAAGAGGAAACAGGAAAUCGAGGCGCUGAGAGAGGCUCUUGAGGACUUGAGCAGAGAAAAUUCUCUUCUCACCCAACAACUCAAGGAUAAACCUGAAGUGUUUGUGUCAGCUUGCUUAUAAUGCCUUGAAUGAACCAAUGCAGAAUCAAAUGUUGAAUCAUUUGUUAGUGCUAACCCCUCGGUCGAGGGAAAUGGUUCUGUUUCUGAUGAGAACGCUAGGUUGAAGGAUCUUCUUCGGAUGGGAAUGCUCAAAUCUCUCAAAGGGAAUCAAACCCACUGUGAUGUUUUGAAGAAAUCCAUUCUUCACAAAAAUCCCAGGAAAGAAGCCAUCGGUUUCGAAAGAUAACUGAAUGAAAAUGGUUCAUACUGGGAACCUCAUCAAUAUCCUCACACUGUGUGGGUGCCUUCCAAGAGCAAACUGCUCGAUCCAGCAUUACUUUCAGGAUAUAACUCUCCUAUUCCUGAAUAUCUUGAUGAUGAUUCUCUAGACAAUUAUAAGUUGUUCAAGAAUCAACAUGGUGAGGCUGUUGCUCGCUAUGUUGGACCUAACAGCAGAAAUGGCCCCCCAAAGAAAGCUAUUUAGGUGCCUCAGAAAACUGUUGAUGCUUUGCCUAUUACUGUUCGACUAACCAUGCAGGCAGAAAGAGUUCGACAGAAUCAGUAUAUGCAUACCACAUACAAUCACUAUGCUCAUUUGUGUGGAAGGAAUUUCAAUGCUUAUUCUUUAAACUAUGCUCGCACCUCAUCGAGCAAUAACUAUUUUUACUAAAAGAAUUCAUAUCCUGCUCGCUUAUUUGUUUCGAAGCCACCUGCAAAGACAUGGGUGGUUAAGAAAGCCUAAUUCUUCUGCGGGGCUAUGUGUCCGGGUGUACAGAAUGGAUAAUGGAUAGUGGAUGCACUAGUCAUAUGACUGGAGACAAGUUGUUGUUUGACGACCCCAACUUAACUGCUUCUCCUCUCAAGUAUAUUACUUUUGGCGACAACAAUAAAGGAAAGGUAAUUGGGCUAGGUAAAAUUGCCAUAUCCAAGAACAAGUCCAUUGAUGAUGUUUUACUUGUUCAAUCUCUUGGAUUCAAUCUUAUGUCAGUUGGCAAGCUAUGUGAUUUAGGCAUUCUAGUUCUAUUUUCCAUAUCCAAAUGCAUUGUCUUCAUGGCCUCUGACAAUUCCUUCAUCUUUGAGGGACUUAGAAAGGGUGAUCUUUAUAUUGUGGAUUUCUCUAAGGGUCCCUCAGUCCAAACUUGUUUCCUUACAAAAGCAACCGAAGGUUGGCUGUGGCACCGAAGGCUUGGUCAUGCUGGUAUGAGGAAUUUGCAGACCCUGGUGAAGACAAAUCAUCUCUGUGGUACCACUGAUAUAAAAUUCGACAAGAAUCAUCUUUGUGCUGCAUGUGAGGCUAGUAAAUUGGCCAAGAAGCAUCACUCAUCCAAGGUAGUUAUGACCACAACAAGACCACUGGAAAUUCUUCAUAUGGAUUUAUUAGGUCCUCAAAAUUAUGCAAGCUUCGGUGGCAGUCAUUAUGGUCUAGUUUUUGUUGAUGAUUUCUCUCGAUACACUUGGGUAUUCUUUCUCGAAGACAAGACCUGCACCCAAGAUAUCUUCAGAAGUUUCGCUAAGAAGACCCAGAAUGAAUAUGAUGUCUGAAUUAAGCAUGUCAGAAGUGACAAUGGAACUGAGUUCAAAAAUACUCAUAUUGCUGAAUUUCUCGAUGAACAUGGUAUUACUCAUGAAUUCUUUGUUGCAUACACUCCCCAACCGAAUGGAGUUGUUGAACGAAAGAACAGAACUCUCAUUGAAAUGGCGAGAACAAUACUCAGUGAGUACAAAACUCCCAUUCACUUCUGGACUGAUGCUAUUAACACUGUGUCAUGUUAUCAAUCGUGUUUAUUUUCACAAGUUCCUUAAGAAAACUUCAUAUGAGCUUAUCGCUGGCAAGAAACCGAAUGUUUCUUAUCUACGUGUUUUUGGUGCACCUUGCUAUAUUCUUGACAUGAAUCGUUCUUCCAAGUUUGCACCUAAGGCACAUGAAGGUUUUCUUCUCGGUUAUGGCUCAAACUCGCAUACGUACCGUGUCUAUAACUCUCACCACAAGAAAGUUAUGGAAACGGUAAAUGUGUGGUUUGAUGAAUCUAACAACUCCCAAAAGGAGCACCUGCCAAAUGCGAUAGCUGAACCACUGAUUUCAGAUGCUAUUCGGCAAAUGGCUAUUGGGAGCGUCAAGCCUAUUGAAGGAAAUGCAUCUGAAUCCUCUAAUGUUGAUGCUCUGAUGAAUCGAAGCAGAACUCGACAAGCCACCGCCGAAGCUAAUGCUCCUCCGAAUGGAAAUGGCAAUCAAAAUCAAAAUGCCGAUCAAAAUGGCAAUCCUAAAGGAAAUGAUGAAGUUGAUCCUUGACUAAUUCUCAAUGAAAUUGAGAAUCUUAGUUAUCGACCCAUGAUAACCCACAAGUAUAGGGGAUGAAUUGUAGCCUCUUUCGAUAAGUAAGAGUGUCAAACCCAACGAGGAGCUAAAGGUAGAACAAAUAUUCCCUCAAGUUCUAUCGACCACCGAUACAACUCUACGCACGCUUGACGUUCGCUUUACCUAGAACAAGUAUGAAACUAGAAUUACUUUGUAGGUGAUUUUGGAUAGGUUUGCAAGAAAAUAAAGAGUGAGUAAAUAAAAGCUAGGGCCUGUUUAAAUGAAGACACAACUAAAUUAUUUUUAGUAGAGAGCUUUUUCUCACAAGAAAGUUAUUUGUCCCUAGGCAAUCGAUAACUAGACCGGUAAUCAUUAUUGCAAUUGUAUUUGAGGGAGAGGCAUAAGCUAACAUACUUUCUCUACUUGGAUCAUAUGCACUUAUGAUUGGAACUCUAGCAAGCAUCCGCAACUACUAAAGAUCAUUAAGGUAAAACCCAACCAUAGCAUUAAAGUAUCAAGUCCCCUUUAUCCCAUACGCAAACAACCUACUUACUCGGGUCUGUGCUUCUGUCACUCACGCCACCCACCAUAAGCAAAUCAUGAACAUAUUGCAAACCCUACAGCGGGGAUCCCUCACGCUUGCGCGACACGGAGAGCACCAUAGGACAGCACCAAUAAUAAAACAUGCAACUCAAACCAAUCUUGAUCAUCAAGUAACCCAUAGGACAAAACGGAUCUACUCAAACAUCAUAGGAUAACCAUACAUCAUUGGGAAAUAAUAUAUAGCAUUGAGCACCAUGUUUAAGUAGAGAUUACAGCGAGUAAGAGAGAGGUUACACCACUGCAUAGAGGGGGGGAAGAGUUGGUGAUGAUGGCGGUGAAGUUGUUGGUGAAGAUUGCGGUGAUGACGAUGGCCCCCGGCAGCGUUCCGGCGCCACCGGAAGAGAAGGGGAGAGGGAGCCCCUUCGUCUUCUUCUUCCUUGACCUCCUCCCUAGAUGGGAGAAGGGUUUCCCCUCUGGUCCUUGGCCUCCAUGGCGUGGGAGGGGCGAGAGCCCCUCCGAGAUUGGAUCUGUCUCUCUGUCUCUCUCUGUUUCUGCGUUCAGGGAUUCUGCCCUGGCACCGUUUCUUUUAUAUCUGGAGAUCCGUAACUCCGAUUGGAUUGAAACCUUCGCCCAGAUCUUUUUCCAAAAAUUAGCUUUCUUGCGGCCAAAGUAGAGCAUCAACCGCCUUACGAGGGGCCCACAAGGGUGGGGGCGCACCCACCUGGAGUGGGCGUGGGCCCCACCCUCGUGGCCACCUCGGGCACCGUCUCGCGUUGAUUUCACUUCCCAAAAAAUCAUAAAUAUUCCAAAAUAAUUCUCCGUCCGUUUUUAUCCCGUUUGGACUCUGUUUGAUAUGGAUAUUCUGCAAAACAUAAAACAUGCAAUAGACAGGAACUGGCACUAGGCACUGGAUCAAUAUGUUAGUCCCAAAAAUAGUAUAAAAAGUUGCCAAAAAGUAUAUGAAAGUUGCAUCAUAUUGGCAUGGAACAAUAAAAAAUUAUAGAUACGACGGAGACGUAUCAACCCACAACUCGUUCACGCACUCGUUUGGCUAAUUACUGUGGCAGUUUCUCCUUUGUCACAUUGGCAGAACCUACCAACUAAGAAGAAGCCAUGAAUGAUCCAGAUUGGAUGAAUGCAAUGCAAGAGGAGUUGGUGUAAUUCAGACUGACUGAUGUAUGGGAACUGGUUGACAAACCAAAUCCCAAGAAGCACAAUAUCAUCGGCACAAAAUGGAUUUUCCGCCAUAAGCAAGAUGAAAAUGGCAUUGUGGUGAGAAACAAAGCACGACUUGUUGCUCAAGGGUACACACAGGUAGAAGGUAUUGAUUUCGGUGAAACAUAUGCUCCUGUUGCACGCCUUGAGGCAAUUCGUAUUCUUCUCGCUUAUGCAAAUUACAAUGAUAUCUCGCUUUAUCAACUGCAUGUGAAAAGAGCUUUCCUCAAUAGUGAAAUUGAUGAGGAAGUUUAUGUUAGACAGUCACCUGGCUUUGAACACCCUGAGUUUCCUAACAAAGUUUGCAGGUUGAAGAAAGCUUUAUAUGGGCUGAAGCAAGCCCCUCGAGCUUGGUAUGACACCUAGAAGAAGUUUUUGCUCGACCAAGGGUUCAAGCCAGGAUCCAAUGAUCCCACACUUUUCACUCGAGUUGUUGAUAAUGAUCUAUUCGUAUGUCAAAUCUAUGUGGAUGAUAUUAUCUUCGGCUGUACUAACAAUGCUUGCAGUUUAGAAUUCGGGAAAAUGAUGUCCAAUAAAUAUCAAAUGUCUAUGAUGAGUGAACUCAAGUUCUUUCUCGGACUGCAAAUUCGUCAACACGCAAAUGGCAUUUUCAUUUUUCAGGAGAAAUAUCUGAAAGAAUGCCUGGAGAAGUUCAAAAUGCAAGAUUCCAAAAUGAAGGGCUAUAAAGCUCCUAUGCCCAUGAAUGGUAAGCUGGAUGCAGAUGUGUAAGGUAAGGAUUACCAUCAGAAAGCUUAUCGUUCGAUGAUUGGUUCUCUUCUUUACCUAUGUGCUCCAGACCUGGUAUCAUGUUGAGUGUUUGGAUGUCUGCCCGCUAUCAAGCUGCACCGAAAGAAUCGCAUCACCAAGCGGUCAAUCGCAUUCUGAGAUAUCUGGCUCACACCCCCACCUUAGGUUUAUGGUAUCCUAAGGGAGCACAGUUUGAUCCUGUUGGAUACUCAGACUCGGAUUGGGCUGGUGACUUGGUUGACAGGAAAUCUACUUCGGGGACAUGUCAUUUCCUCAGUAGAUCAUUGGUCUGUUGGUCAUCAAGGAAGCAUAAUUGUGUAUCUCUUUCCAUGGCUGAGGCUGAAUAUAUUGCUGCUGGCGCUUGUUGCACUCAGUUAUUGUGGAUGAAGCAGACUCUGAAGGAUUAUGGCAUGAAGGUCAACCAUAUCCCUCUAUAUUGCGAUAAUGGAAGUGCCAUCAAAAUUGCACAUAAUCAUGUGCAGCAUUCUCGCACGAAGCAUAUUUCCAUCACACAUCAUUUUAUUCGCGAUCAUGUUGCUCGAGAGGAUAUUGUCAUCAAUCAUGUCAAGACCGAAGACAAUCUCGCUGAUAUUUUCACCAAGCCUCUCGACGAGAAAACAUUCAGUGUGUUACGGUGUGAGCUAAAUAUCCUGGACUUCAGAAACAUGCAUUAAGCUGGACUUGGCACUCGUGCUAACACUUCCACAUCUUUAAAGGAAUGGGUGCAUAACACUCGAAGAGUUUGGAAAUUUCGACAAAGUGAAAUUUUCUUCCUGAGAGUGAAUACAUUAACGAAGAACUAGACUAACCAUGUGCCACGAUAAUUAUGCGAUGCUCGGGGUCAUACAGUUCUUAUACGAUGGGUUACGCCACCACAAUUCUCUUUCAUUGAGUUUCUUUGUGAUCGAAAGUUUUUGUGUUUGUCCGAAUGCAUUUCCCUCAUAGCUAUUUGCUCGAGUGUUUGUGUUUAUCUGCAUGAGUGAAAUGCCUAGGACCCUGUUUUCUCUCUAUUCUAUCUCUUCCAGUCUAUGCUAUUCCAUUACAAAUGCUCAAUUUUAUCUGGAACGAAACUUUAUCUGGUGUCCUUGACCACGAUUAAGAAUCAGUCCGAACAUUAAUCUGUUUUGGCGAAAGCUAUCCAAAAUUUGGGAUUUCCCGCCCAAUUCAGGACCAUGAUCUUUAUGAUGGUUGCCACGUUCAAUACAUCAUAUGCCACUCCAUCAUGUCCAUUGAAUCGCAAUAGUCUCUGAAUAGGGGUCGUUCGAUCAUAAUCCACUGCGUGCGGUUAUUUCCAUUCGCAUAUAAAAACCGCACACCCCUUUCUUCUAGUUCACUUCCUUUCUCUUUGCCUCCUCCUCGCCGAAACCCUCGCCGAGGCGCUCCACCUUGAGCUCGACGCCGAUGAACUCUUCACCGCUUCACUGCCGGAAAGUUGUCACGGGACUCCUUCCUCGCCGCCGCAGCACAUCCUCUUCCCCGGGCCGCCGUAGCUGCUACAUGUCACCAUGCUAGGGUACGUGUGGUUCAAACUCGGUCCUCCAUCCUUCUUGAUUCGAGUUCGUCUGCGGUUAUUUUCUUCUGAUUUUACCGCAUAUCUUAGAUCUAGCUCUUUAGCCUUACUAGUGUGGAUGUGGUUUGUAGUUGUCCCUCGCAUCCGAAUCCCUUCAUAUCUAGAGUUUGUGUUAUGUUUCGCUCGAAUGGAAUGCCUAGCACGCUGACUAGUAUUUUCUUUGAACCUACUGACCCGUCCUAUACAUUUGGUUCAUUCGAAACAUACCUCAAAGUAUGCAUCUAAUUCUUGCUCAAAAUGUUUUCGUUCGGAAAAAUAUUCGCUGUGAGCAUUUGUAACCAUGUCCCCAUUUUCCCUCAUAUCUAUUCUAAUUCACAGGUGUAUGCAUUCUGUUGUGGAUUCUGCUCGACCAAUGAGCAUGGUCGAUGAAGAUGAGGUAAUCAUGGGUACAACGGGCAAGUCUAAGGCACCAAAUGCAAAGGGCCCGACGGUAGGCCCAUCCACCAGCAAAAGUAAAAGGCAUGAGAAACAUCCAGAUGAGCAAGAAGAAAAUGCUCUGAAGAAAAGGAAAGGUGGUAGGCAACCUUUCACAAAUUCAUCUCAGUAUAUCUCUCAUGACAACUACAACAUUGUUCCUCGAGAAGAUUCUCCACAAAGAAGAAAGCGUCUGCAAAGGAUUCGACGCCACUGGAUGCGGAAGUGGUUCCACUAUAAAAUGGUUCAUCCUCGAUUUGCCAAGAACUUUGCUUUCCAUCCUCCGUGCAAGUGAUCCCGAGGAAAGACCGCCACCUCCACUGAUGUUGAUGGGUCAUCUCUCAAGACUCCCGAGUCUUAUCCUGAUGAAUUGGCCAAGCGCCUGAAGAACACCGAAAAGAGAGCCAAGAAGGCUAAAAAGGAAACAACUAGAGAAGAAGAAAAUCGUCGUCUCAUCAAAUCAGACGUCGAAAAGAAAAGGUUCAAGGAAAAGCAGAAUGACAUUCUAAACUCAAGCAUGAUCCCAGCUCUGCUUUAAAGAAAUAGAGCGCACCAAGUGGAUCAUGGAAUGGAUGUCUGAAUGGAAAUGCAUAAAAUGCUCUACAAUGGAUUUUGUCUCUCAUUUUCAUUUCCCUCGAUUCGAGCAUGGCAAGACGGAAAUUCAAGUUCACAACAUUGAUGCAAUUUCCAAUGAAGAUUUCCGGUGCACAAUGGAUCAAGAGAAAAUUCUUGAUUAUAGUAGUCCUCCCUUGCCUGAGCAUUUGACCUUUGACAAUCAGACCUUAUAUCAAAUUCUCAUGUAUACCAUAUGUCCUCUGGCUGGGAUGAACGCUGAAAAUGCUAUAUCUAAUGUUCUUCACACCACCAUUCAUGCCAUCUCCCAAGGAUACUUCUUGGAUGUCGAAGACAUGUUUCUGUGCAUACUGAUGGAUUCUGCUCAGCACCCAAAAACUAUCAAAAUAUUUGCACCAUGGAUUCAGAAAAGUGGUUGACUAUGCAAUGCACACUGAAUAUUUGGCCAAAGUCAGUCACAAAAGCUUCAUUCCUCCUGUGUGUGAUGCUCUGGGGGUAAUGGAAGAUUUUUCCUCGGGGAAAGCACCAGUGUCAAGUCCUCCUAAUUAUCAUAAUACAUUUGAUGGGCCACAACUACCUCAGCGUGAUCGACAACCAAAUACUCAACCUCCUUCACACCUUGAAGUGAGCUUCCAUACUCAACAGCUACCGUUGGAGCACAUGGCUGAGGAUCGCUGAGAAAAAGAACAUUUGGCUACUGAACUAAAUGCAAUCAACAACCGAACAAAAGUUGUGCACAUGAUCAUGGCUGAAAAUAAGAAGCGCCUAUGGAUAUUGCUUCGGAAGUUCUUCUCCAAGAAGAAAUUGAGCAACUCUGAUCUCAAAGAACUCUAUGAGUAUACUGAUCAAGGGUUCUCUGCCGAAGACUAUCAAGAUCGUCUCACUCCUCCACAGUCAGCUCGUGAGCCAACAACUGAUUUACUUCGGUUUCAGCUACGUAAAUUGCUCGACGAAUCAGAAGCAACCUCGCCCACUGAGAAACCUGCUGAAGGAAAUGUGUUGUCUCACAAGAAUCAAUCCGCUGAUCCCAAUGUGCCUUCAUCCUCCCAGCCCAAAGCCAGUCUUGAAGGAACUUCUGCUGCUACUAACGAUGAAGAUGUACCAGCCACUUCCGAAUCAGAAACAUCUUCGGGGGGCUCUUCGGGCGAUGCCUCAGAGUGAAUCGAAUUCACCUCAUUUGCACUCAUGAUAUUCGUCACCUUUUUGCACUAGUUGACAAAAAGGGGGAGAAUUACAUCAAGAGUUUCGAUAGAUUUGCUUUGUUGGAUUUGGUCUCUGUGUUAAUUUGCUGUGGUUUAUGACACUUUUGAGCCCUAUGCCUUAAGACUAUUUGUUCUCUGAUGUAAAAUUUCUAAUCUGCGAUGUAAUAUUAAUAACCCCGCCUGCUGCACUAUUUCUCUCAAAGCAUUUGUCUUGCAGAUGGAAUUAUUAUCAUAAGCUAUGAAUGAUUGCACUAUAUACUCGAUGGAUUACAUAUCAUCAGUGCAAGUCAUUGCCUCGAAUGAUUGAAAAAUCCUCCAAAUACUUCAAUGAAUUGCAGUGAAUUUUAUUUCAUAUCACUAACCCUGCAUACAUCAUGGGAGAGCAUAUUUCAUCAUCGAGUCAAGUUACGCAAGAUCACUCUUGUUCAAUUUACGUUUCACUUAUCUAUCUUCACUUUGCUGAUUAUCUAUUUUGUCAACAACCGUCCAAAAAGGGGUAUUGUUGAUGCAAUGAUAGGCCCCUUAUGUUUUUGCAGUUUGUUGACAUAAACAGUAUGGGACUUAUGUGUUUGCUAGUGCACAUAGAGUAGCAGGUCCCUGAGAUGUCGAGGAGUUUGAUGCAAGCGACGACGAUAUUCUCCCUGCGUUGCAGCGAAGGUUAUCACCGAAGGUGAUGCUAAAAAAGAGUGACCCCUAAAAAUUGUUGAAUCAAGCAAUUGGUUCGGUGUCUAUUUGAAGAAAAUGACUGCGUUCGAGGAAGAAUGAAGACGAAGUGAAGACGUAGCAUUUGUUUCGUUCUUCUUCUUCUUUCAUUGAGUCAUAGGACGACCAUACUAUUAAGAGGGGUGUAGCAUUUGAAACUUUGAUACUCUGAUGCUAAACCCAAGUCCUAUGAAAAUUGUGAGAGAAAUCUCUUUGUGCUCUGAGCAGAUACUUGCUAGCAAGAGAUUGUGAUCUUCUUCGCUGCGUGAGAUUUGUCUCGAACCGAGGAGUUAGCAUUACUUGUUCUUCAAGUAAUGUUACCGUUGCUCCAAAUCCGGCCGUUGUGAAUGUGUCGGUUGGCCAUUGGCUGGACCCCGUGUCCAAAAUGGUCAUUUCCCAUUUGGAAAGGUUGCGGCUAUAAAUAGCCACCCCGCGCCGGCUUUGAACGGUGGCUGCUCCAUUUGAUUCUGAGAAGAUUGUUGAGCAACCCACUCUCUAAGCGAUAUGAGUUUAAAAUCCACCGUGAGAAAACCCCUAGAGCCGGAGAACUAGAUAGUGGUUAGCAUCACUCGAGUCUAAGUCUAGUACGCUCCGCCUGUUACUCUUGAGAGCUGCAAACUCUCUAGACAGUUAGGUGUGAAUUUCUUCAGAGACCAAGAGUGAUUGUGGUUCUCGAAGAAGAAGUCUGUAAAGGUUCGGAGAUCGCCUUCAAGUAUCUACCACGAGUAAUCGGCAUUGGUUGACAUAUCGAUUGUCGAGGAGAAUAGGGUGAAGAGAGUUUAUCUUCUGUGUUAAGUCACAGCCCCUCCAACCAGAUGUAGUCCUUCUGUAGAAGGAUGAACUGGUCAAACAAAUACCCUAUCGCCAUCGAGCACCAUUGGUUACCUCUGUUACCCUUGUUUUAUUUCGAUGUGUUUUCCAUCAUGUGAUUUGUCUCGAUGCAUGUCUAGUUUCAUUUCGGUAAUUAGUUUUACCUCAGUGUUGUUCUAUUUUUUUUCAUUCGCUUCCGCUGUUGGGUUAUGAGAGUUUUGAGUUUUCUUAAGAAAGAUUAAAACUCCCAUUCACCCCCNNNNNNNNNNNNNNNNNNNNNNNNNNNNNNNNNNNNNNNNNNNNNNNNNNNNNNNNNNNNNNNNNNNNNNNNNNNNNNNNNNNNNNNNNNNNNNNNNNNNNNNNNNNNNNNNNNNNNNNNNNNNNNNNNNNNNNNNNNNNNNNNNNNNNNNNNNNNNNNNNNNNNNNNNNNNNNNNNNNNNNNNNNNNNNNNNNNNNNNNNNNNNNNNNNNNNNNNNNNNNNNNNNNNNNNNNNNNNNNNCCCCUCUGGUAGACAUACUUCCUUCCUACCCCACGUGUCGACGUAUCAUAGGCACGUCUCCUCCACUGGAUGGACGUCAUUUGUCCCAACGCUGAGCUGACAUGUGGAUCGUCCAGCGAAUCAGAAUUUUACACGUUGAAAAUCCCCAUUGGUCCGGGCUGUUAACGGGUUAUCAGAUCCAAACCGGAACCCGAUAGCUUAACGGCAACCCAUUACAGUGGAUGCCACGUGUCGGUUACCCUUGACAAAAGCACUCCGAUGACGCGUCAUUUAUCGUCAUGGAAAUGGACUCUUCUGUGAUGAUAAUUUUGGUAUUGUCAUGGAACACUUCUACGACAACACAGGUAUGACUAUCUUGAUUCUAUCAUAAAAUCAUCAUGGAUGUACAUGCAUGACAGAAAACGUGACCUACUGUGACAAACACGUGUCAUCACGGAAGUGUAUUUUUUUAGUGUUGAUCUACAACAUAAAUUUUUCAAAGACUAUAAAGACUAAGUUCAUGAUAAUUAGUUCAGUUAAUCAAAUUACUAAUGAACUCCCAUUUAAAUCAACAUCCCUCAAGUUGUUUAAGUGAUACAUGAUCCAAAUCAACUAACCCAUGUCCGAUCAUCACGUGAGAUGGGCUAGUCAUCAAUGGUGGACAUCUCCAUGUUGAUCAUAUCUACUAUAUGACUCAUGUUCGACCUUUUGGUCUCCUAUAUUCUGAGGCCAUGUUUGUACAUGCUAGGCUCGUCAAGUUUAACCCAAGUAUUCUGCAUGUGUAAAACUGGCUUACACCCGUUGUAUGCAGACGUAGAGUCCAUCACACCCGAUCAUCAUGAGGUGCUUGGAAACGAGGAGCUUUUGCAACUAUGCAUACUUAGGGAGAACACAAUUUCUUGAAAUUAAGUGAAGGGAUCAUCUUAUAAUGCUAUCGUCGUUCUAAGCAAAAUAAGACGCAUAAAAAGAUAAACAUCACAUGCAAUCAAUAUGUGAAAUGAUAUGGCCAUUAUCAUCUCGUGCCUUUAAUCUCCAUCUCCAAAGCACCGACAUGGUCUCGUCACCGGCAUAACACCAUGAUCUCCAUCAUCAUGAUUUCCAUCAUCGUGUCCUCACGUGGUCGUCUUGCCAACUAUUGCUUCUACAACUAUUGCUAACACAUAGCGAUAAAGUAAAGCAAUUACAUGACGAUUGAUAAAUUAAACACAACCCGAUGGCUCUUGCAGGUUGUCGUACUCAUUAACAUGAAAAUCAUGAACCUAUUACAAAACAUGAUCAUUUCAUACAUCAACAUAUAUCACAUCACGUUUUGGCCAUACCACAUCAUAACAUGCCAUGCAAAAACAAGUUAGACGUCCUCUCCUUUGUUUUUGCAAAAUUUAUGUGGCUGUUAUUGGCAACUAGCAAGAAUCGUUCUUGCCUACGUAAAGCCACAAUGGUGAUAAUCAAGUUGCCUUUUAACCUUCUACAAGGACCGCCUUUGACAAAUUAGAUUCAACUAAAGUAGGAGAUACAGACACCCGCUAGCCACCUUAUGCAAAACGAGUUGCAUGUCUGUCGGUGGAACCAGUCUCUUGUGCGUGGACAAGUAAGGUUGGUCUGGGCCACUUCAUACCACAAUACCGCCGAAUCCAAAUAAGACAAUAUAGUUAAUCAAUUUGAGCAUCAACGCCUACAACUCUUUGUGUUCUACUCAUGCAUAUACAUCCACGCAUAGACCUAACUCAUGAUGCCACUGAUGGAGAACGAAACAUGAAAAUGAAAAAAUUCCUACGAACACCCAAGAUCUAUCUAGGAGAAGCAUAGCAAUGAGAUGGGAGAGUGUGUCUACGUACCCUUGUAGACCGAAAGCGGAAGCGUAUAUACUGCGGUGGAUGUAGUUGUGCUCUUCGUGAUCCAAUCACGAUCCAACCGAUCUAGUGUCGAACGGACGUACGACACCUCCGAGUUUAGCACAUGUGUGGCUCAAUGAUGUCUCCUCCUCCUUGAUCCAGCAAGAGAAGGCGAACAAGUAGAUGGGAUCACAACCAGCAUGACGGCGUGGUGGUGGAGCAUUGGCAGCACUUCGCUAAGCAAAAAAUCGUGGACGAGAACUAUGUCGGGAGGGACAGACGGGGCAACAGCCAAAGCCAAUGUGUUAGGGUGCCUUGCUGCGCCCCCUCCCCUAUAUUUAUAUGUGUGGGAGGGCUGGGAGUCCAGCCCUACUCCUAAUAGGAGUUGGUGCCACGGGAGAGGACUUGGACUUCAAGUCCAAUCCUAUUCCUAGUAGGACUCCCCUUUUUUCCCAUCCCUAGCCGCAUGGGCUUUUGAGGACUUGGUGCGCUUGGCACAACAAGGCCAGGGGCCUCCCCUAAGCCCAUGCCAGCCCUUGGGAUGUGGUGGACCCACUUGUGGACUUUCGGACCCCUCUUGAAUCGUCCGGAAGCUUCCCGGUACAAUACCGAAAAAACUACACCUUUUCCCGGAACCCAAAAUAUGACUUUCCAUAUAUAAAUCUUUACCUCUUGACCAUUCCCAGAAUCCUCAUGACGUCCGGGAUCUCAUCCGGGACUCCGAAAAACAUUCGGUUACCAAUCAUCAAAUAUCCCAAUACUACUCUAGCGUCAACAAACGUUAAGCGUGCGACCCUGCGGGUUCGGGAAUCAUGUAGUCAUGACCGAGACACCUAUCCGGUCAAUAACCAAUAGCGGGACCUAGAUACCCAUAUUGGUCCCUACAUGUUCGAUCGAUAUGUUACUUGCCCAAGAUUCGAUCAUUGGUAUCUCCAUACCUACUUCAAUCUCAUUACCGACAAGUCUCUUUACUUGUUCCGUAAUACAAGAUCUCCUGACUAACUCAUUAGGCACAUUGCUUGCAAGCUCUUUACGAUGUUGUAUUACCGAGAGGGCCCAGAGAUAUCUCUCCAUCACACGGAGUGACAAAUCCCAGUCUUGAUCCAUGUCAGCCCAACAAACACCUUCGGUGAUACCUGUCAAGCACCUUUAUGAUCACCCAGUUAUGAAGUGACGUUUGGAUACACACUGAGUUGAACGAUCUCAUGGUCUUAGGAAUAGAUACUUGACAUGAAGAAAGUUAUAGCAAUAAACUGAUACGAUCAACUGCUAAGCUUACAGUUGGGUCUUGUCCAUCACAUCAUUCUCCUAAUGAUGUGAUCCCGUUAUCAAAUGACAACUCAUGUCUAUGGUUAGGAAACCUUCACCAUCUUUGAUUAACAAGCUAGUCUAGUAGAGGCUCACUAGGGACAUAGUAUUUCUUUAUGUCACUGGUGCAGAGACCUGCUAUACAAAUGGUUUUUACCCCCUUUCCGCGAUGGAGUUUUAAACCGUAGCCUAGUGAAGUAGUGAGUGUGUGCGAUAGGGGGGUCCUUCCCACACGACCCAAAAACCGUCGGGGAUAGGCCCUCCGGCCACACAGGCUGAGGAAAAAUGAGCUCGUGUGUGAUCAGGCGAGGCAUCAAAACCCAAUCGUUUCCGUUCAUAUGUACAUCCCACAUGGUGAAUCCCAAAAUAUUUCCAUUCUUAUGCAUAUCGCACAUAGUUUUUUGUGUGGAAACAUUUGUGCAAGGUGGCCUAACGUAAACAGUUCCCUGCCGGAAGCUGUGUGUGAUUGUUAGUUGAUCAAACAUGCCUACUUUCUAGAAACCGUGUGGGUUGUUUGAUUUUAUCGCCCACGGUGGUGCCUGAGUAACCGUAUGCAAUAGAAAACCCCAAUAAGCAGGGUAAUUAGCCUAUUAUUGAUAAUCCAUGUAGUAAUCAAAUUGACAUUUCUUAUAAAACACACCAGAUAUUUCAUAUCCGUAUAAUGGCAACCAGGAUUUCAUAAUCGAAUUACAUCAUAUAGCUUCAGUACUCAGUUACGCCAUUACACAACAGCACCAAGUUUCACAUGCAACAUCAGAAACCUUUGGAAAGUAGCAUCAUACACGGUAACUAGACAGAUGAAUCUCAUCUGGGAAACUGCAGAAGCGGAAGGCAAAUAUUGAGCCUUCACUGAUGUUGAAUGUCCCUGCAACUUUAGGCCAGUGGAUAAGGAUAAUUGCCCGCCCAACCUUUGUCCUCUUCAGGAAGACUACAAUAUUGUACCGUGGGUGUUCAAUGAAUACCUUCCUCGCCUCUUGACCAUGCAGGUGGUUUGAGAGGUAAUCAUCGGUGAACUGCUUUGCAAAGUACCGAAAACAAAGAUAUGCAUAAAUCGUUGUAACAAAUUUGGAAAUGGCGCAGGGGGUAAAAACAAGGUAAACACUACUGCAGGAUGGUCCAAACGUGACACUACGAUCAGAGACCCUUCGACGAAACUGCGUGCAAUGCCAUAAUCACAAACGGUGGUGUAAAAAACCCGUCAAAAAAGGUGCAAAACGUUUGCGAUGACGGAUGCAUCAAAUACGGUUCAUAUUUUGGGAUGAGGAGGAACAAAAGAAACGGCCAGCCAGAUGAAGGUGUGUGCGAUAUACAGCAUACGGUUCACUAGGAUGAACUGUGUGUGAUUAGGCAACACAAUGGAAACGGUUCAACUGAACAAGAUGUGUGUGAUACGCGGCAAACAGGUCCGUAAUCAGAAAUGUGUGCGAAGACCAAUAAUAACACAGACGAUUGCUGCUAAUAAGCCGUGCGAUUUGCUCUGUCUACAGAAGAAUAACAUGUGUGUGUGUGUGUGUGUGUGUGUAACUGAAAUAAACACCCAAUUACAUAAGUGACUAUACAGAUCAUUCGCACACACCUCAAUAAACAAUUGCAUGCAUCUAAAGUAGGAGAAAACGAUCGUCUAGUCAUCUACUUCUUGUGACGCUCCCGCCACUGCUAUGUGGCUCGAUCCCUCGUCUGGGGCAGGAAGAAGACAGUUCCUCAUGUCAACGAUCCGCCUGUACAUCUCGUAGCUUGUGUACGCGUCCUUGGCCGCGUACUUGACGUGUUAUUCAUCCAGUCUCUCAUGCCAAACACUGUGCCAAGCGUUCUUGUCCUUCUUGCUCCCUUCCUUCAUCUUCGCGUGGUAGGGGUUGAUGAUGGCCGAGGCAAGGUCAACCAGGAGUUCAGUUUGUUGUUGUCGCUCCCCCAGACCUUGUAGUGGUGCUGGAUGUUGACAAGAUUCGGGCAUUUCAAGCCCGAAACCUUGAGCGCUUUUAGAUCGUUGGUGGUGUCCACCGUAGCGAAACUAUAGCCGGAGCUGUUGAUAAACCUGGAGAAACGCUCGCAAGGCCUUGUGGCCAGGUGGUAGUGGUAGACGAGGACGUCAUGUCGCACGCACAACUGGGCGACGACAACCUUCUCAUCGUGCCCAGCACGACCCAUGGUAUACUCGUGGUCGAAUCCGACCACUUGGUACUUGCCCUCGGCAAGGAACUGCUCUAUAGUUUGGAUGGAACUCUCCACCAAGACCGGAUCAUUCGUGUACACAACCGAGAGAGCCUUCCCCCUCACGUGGGUGUCCACGACGUGUUGCAUGGUGAACUGCCCGCCGUUGUCAUCGUCGGCCGCCGGGAGCGCCAUUGGAACAGUUGGAUGUCCUCUCUGUAUGUGUCCUCGUGGGUGUGCUUAUUUUGUCAUGUGACACGAGAGAUGAAGGCAAAUGGCCGCAGGAAUAAAAUGGGGCCGGGCGGCCUGGAUUCUCGGCGCGUCCGCAUGGUAGUUUUUGCAGCGGGUAACUGCAUCGUCAUGCCGCGCCCGGUGCAACCGCAUGCACACGAACGUGCGUGAUCGUGAGCCGGACCCAAACACUGGCAGCAUGCAUGGAGGGACGAGGGUAGAGCACCCGGAGGGACGCGAGAGCAGAGCGCGUGCGGCGGGACGCGAGAAGAGUGCGCCGUGGCCGCCUCAACCGCAAGCAACCACAUGCGUAGAGCCGUUGAACACGCAGGAAAUGGUCGCCUACAAGCCGGCCGACAGUUGCGUCACUUCUUAGUGAGCGGCCGUGUACUACUACCUCUGUCUUGGUCUAUAGUCCCCAUUCUGUGCCAUACUUUGCCCUUAAAUUUAACCAACAAAAUGUUAAUGCAUGUUAUAAAAAUUAUAUAAUUGGGAACUAUGUUCGAAUACGAAUCCAACUAUAUAAUUUUUGGCGACAUGCAUUCGUAUUUUAUUAGUUAAAUCCUACUUAUAAACCAGGAUGGGGGUAUAGUAGGUAAUUAAACUACAAACGUUUUCUUUUUGUAUUAACCGUAUGUGUAUGUAGCCUUUCGUCCUCCUCUCGCACGUCUUGUCAACCCGCUGUCGUAGACGGCUUACGGCGCAAGCUUGCGCAGCGCGCGAGGGCGUUCUUUUGGCCAAACGGUGGCGCCAAUGAAUCAUCGGUGAGCCCGUUCCCACGCAACCUUCCUGCCCGACUCAGUGAAAUCCCCCAAAAUCCCAAUGCUUACCGGCCUGCUAUAUAAACCCUCACGGCCGGCGAGUCCUGCGUCGCAUUUUCCCCUCCCUCCCUGUAGCUUAUCUCGUCUGCUUCUCCCACAAUCGCCAAUGGCACCGGCCAUCGUCAUCGCUCAGCCACUCCGCUGUCAUCAGAGGACAGCUCCAGCUAGGAGGCUACACCGCGGCGGCGGCACAGUCCCCGGUGUAGUGUAGUGCGCGUGGCGUCCCUGUUGGCUGUGCGCGGAACACCCACCACACGCUCCGCCGCCGCUGCCAGUCGGCAGCUGUUGCCGGCCGCCAUUGCUGCCACACCACCGCCGAAAACCAAGGCCAUCGCUCGCUCCGCCGCCGCCGCCCGAAGGCAGGAGGUGGCCGUCAUGGCCGCCACCCCACUGCCUGUCGUCGUGGUCAUCACCCGCUCCGCCACCGCGGCUCGAAAGCGGGAGGUGGUGCUCGUGGCCGCCACCCCAUCAUCGGCCGCCGUGGCCGCCAGCCCACCGUCGACCGCCGGGGUCAUCACCCGCUCCGCCACCGCCGCCCGAAGGGGGGAGGCGGAGGUGGAUGCCCGCACGUGCGUCAGCGACCUUGCACGCUACACCAAGUUCCUGCGGGAGGAGGACAAGCGUCGCAUCGAGCACGCAAAGAGCCUUGCCGCCGCCGUGGCCGCGGCACACAUCGCCUCAGAGGCGAGGAAUCAGGAGAUCUAUGAGGAGAACCACCGCUUCGAGAGGGGUCGUCUAGAGUGGCAGAGGGCGUUCGAGGUGAGCAUCGCUGAAGCUGCAGCAGCGACAGGCACCGUAUUGCGGUUGCCCAGCUCGUCGAUAGGCUCCUCCUCCUCUGCCUCUUACUGAGCGUGCUCGGCAGAGGAGAGGCAGUCGGAAGUAGUACAAAGCCCCUCCGUAGUAGUAGUAGUAUUUAGGGGCUAUUUUGUUCAGUUCAUCUGACUAUAGAUGUGGUGGAACUGUACAAUGUACUUAAAAUUAGCUAGUAUAUAUAGUUGAACUAACUAUUUCAGUACGUGGUUAGCAACAAUUGGGGAAAAGUUUGGUCGGUUCAGCUGUCGAGUUGAACUGUUUGUAUAAAUUAAGAACGACUACUUAAUCUAUGAAUGAAAUCUAUGCUUAAUUACUGAAUUUUAGUUGCAAAAAUUAGAUACUGCUAGUGAUUUUUAGCUUCAUAUUUUGACAAAUCGCAGUGUUACAAGGUUGACAAAUGACAAUGUUACUAGAUCAACAAAUGUCAAUCUUUCCAGUUUGACAAAUGGCAACAUACCCAAAUUGUUUGUAAGUGGUUGCACACGGGUCAUCCAAAAGAACCGUUUGCGUUGAAGAGAUGCACAAAUCCUACCCUCACUUUGCAUACGGGUGUUCUAUCUAAAAUGUAUGCGAUCAAGUGCUGCAUAAAUCCUAAUCGGCACAUUUUCCCUUGGCUUCCUGGGGAAGCUGUCGAUUUGCAUACAUGUGUUCUAACUAAAACGUCUGCGAUGAGUGUUUUAUAUUUCAAAACCCCUGGCAUUUUUUAAAAGAAAAUCGUUUGAUAAGUCUGUACGUUAAGAGAGAAAAAUGCAAGUUCGUUCAAACCAUAUCUUUCAUUUAGACAUACUGCGAAUUUAUAUUCAUAUGAUCGAGAUACAGUAUUAAACCCAGAAAAAAACUAUUUCCGACGGCGGCGGAGGCGGAGCGGGUGAUGACCCCGGACAGCUUGCACGCCUCUCGGUCAGCCUGCGCACCGGGCUGCGCUCGCAUGCUUCCCGUUCAGUCAAGGUCAAGCAGUUGUCCGAACGGCACCUCUUAUAGCCAUUAAAACCAAGACACGUGGCGUCACGUGAAUGGUUAACAGAACGCACACGGUUUGAAUUAUACAAACAUUUGAGAUAUUAAAGUGGCAGCUGUUUUUUCAAAAUGCCUUUGUUGGCUGUUAUUCGAGUGUGCCUUCCCUCAAAAUGGACACAAAAAAUACCACAGCAUGUCGGGUGCCAUUCCAUGAUAGCAUGCCAAGUUUCAUGAAUUUCAGACGAGUUUUGGAUUUACUAGAAUUUAAAAUCAAAGUAUCUCAACGUUUUGCCGGCAAUUGCUGGUGCCCUGGUGUUUGAAAUUCAUUCCCAUUUCUUGCAUUGGACCUAAGCAUGCACUCAAGGACAAAGAUUUGAUUUUUCAACCAAUUUAUAUGCACUGGAGCAUGUGCAUGUAGUUCAAAUUUGAAUUAUGCACAUAAAUGCAUUGAAAACUCAGUUAAUGCAUAAUAAUGUCCAAACGAACCCCAAAAAAUCACAAAAAUUGACACAACACUCCUGUUAUUCUAUGUUGACAUGAGAAAAAAUUUGAAAGCAAUAAGAAGCAAUGGAUAUCGUUUCGUCCCCAAAGGUGGGACGUUCCCUACCGAAACCAUCAUGCUUGUUGUGAGAAGCUUUGGUUUGUGAGAAGCAUAUACCCAAACCUGCUCCAAAUGGGACAAAAAUUUUACCACGGCAUGUUGAUGCCGCUCCAUGAUAGCAUGCCAAGUUUCAUGAAUUUCAGACGAGUUUUGGAUUUACUAGAAUUUAAAAACGAGGUAUCUCAAUGUUUGCGGCCGAGUGACGGUGGCAGGGUGUUUGAUAUUCAUUCCCAUUUCUUGCAUGGGACCUAAGCAUGCAACCAAGGAUACAGAUUUGAAUUUUCAACCAACUUAUAUGCAUUAGAGCGUGUGCAUGUAGUUCAAAUUUGAAUUAUGCACAUAAAUGCAUUGAAAACUCAAUUAAUGCAUAAAAAAUGUCCAAACGAACCCCGAAAAAUCCCCAAAGUUGACACAACACUCCUGUUGUUCUAUGUUGACACUAGGAAAAAAAUUGAAAUCAAGAAGAGGCAAUGGAUAUCGUUUCGUCCCAAAAGGUGAAAUAUUCCCUACCGAAACCAUCAGGCUUGUUGUGAGAAGCUCUGGUUUGUGAGAAGCAUAUACCCAAACCUGCCACCAAAUGGGACAAUUUUUUACCAUGGCAUGUUGAUGCCACUCCAUGAUAGCAUGCCGAGUUUCAUGAAUUUCAGACGAGUUUUGGAUUUACUAGAAUUUAAAAAUAAGGUAUCUCAAUGUUUGCGGCCGAGUGACGGUGGCAGGGUGUUUGACAUUCAUUCACAUUUCUUGCAUGGGACCUAAGCAUGCAACCAAGGACACAGAUUUGAAUUUUCAACCAAUUUAUAUGCAUUAGAGCAUGUGCAUGUAGUUCAAAUUUGAAUUAUGCACAUAAAUGCAUUGAAAACUCAAUUGAUGCAUAAAAUGUCCAAACGAACCGCAAAAAAUCCCAAAAAUUGACACAACACUCCUGUUGUUCUAUGCUGACACUAGGAAAAAAGUUGAAAUCGAGGAGGCAAUGGAUAUCGUUUCGUCCAGAAAGGUGAACGUUCCCUACCGAAACCACCAGACUUGUUGUGAGAAGCUCUGACUUGUGAGAAGUAUAUCCCCAAACCUGCCCCAAAUGGGACAAAAAAAUUACCACGGCAUGUUGAUGCGGCUCCAUGACAGCAUGCCAAGUUUCAUGAAUUUCAGACGAGCUUUGGAUUUACUAGAAUUUAAUGUGUAAAAUGUUCAAACGAACCCUGAAUAAUUCCAAUUAUUUUAUGACACACAUAUAGUUGCAUGUUCACUGCAGAUAAAAGGUCUAGCAAUUCAAACACCGUCCAUUGCCGUUGUGACCCCAUUAUGUAAUUCAAAUCAAGAUGAAAAUCAAGUAGAUCCCACAUAGUUUAUUAUCACCAACCGUGUGAGAUGCAGCACAAAAUAUCCCAGAGCACCGUCGGUGUAUAGUACGCCUAUGGCUUACGCGAGAAGGUGCAUCAGCUACAGUCCACAGCCGGCAUUUCAAGCACACUAGCUCGCUCCCCAAAUAUCAUUUCACUGUUCAAUCAUCGUCGGCGAAAGAUGGGCACGUUGACCUGCGUCGUGAGGGCAACUUCGGGGCCCACUCCGGCGAGAGCGCGGCCGCAGCUGCCAUGCACGUGCUAACAAGGUGCAUGAGCGCGGCCGCAAUCUGCGACCGGGCGGCCAAGGCAGCCCAAACGGCCGCUGUUGCUUCUCAGGUGGCGGCAGCAACAUCUGCCUCGGGGAUAGCAACUGGCGAGAGCGGCACAGCAGUUGUCCGUUCCGUAGCGAUAGCCUUAGCCCUGAUGGAGGCCGCCCAUGACCAUGUCGAGGCCGCCCACGCCCAGCUCGUGGCGGUCACCGCACAAAUCGAACGAAGCUUCUCCGACAACGGUCGGCAACCCACGACCGAAGAGUUGGCAAUCGCCGAGAGCGUUCGAGCAGUCAUCCGUUCCUCCGCCGCAUACCUUGCGACGACGGAGCCCGUCCAAGCCCAGAUCGUGGCCGCCCACGCCCAGCUCGUGGCGGCCUUUUUCGAAGAGAUGGCGGACGCGGAUGGCGAGAUGCUUGCCGAGUAUGGUGCGAUGGAUGCCAUGGAGCCCCUUCCCCAGGAGACCGUCGGGCGCGAGCUGGACAUGGAGGCGGCGGCGGAGAUCGACGAGCACCAGCUGUAGUAGUACUCUUUGUUUUGUUUAAUUAAGAGCGCUGGUCUUUAAUUUGUUAGGGUAAUGUUUAGGUCAGCUAGCUCUGUUUAGUUACUGAACUUGCUCGAUUAAGAAGUAUGGGUGUGCUAUAGUCUCCUUUGUGUACCCAAAUUAUGCAAUGACCACUUUAACCAGGGAAAUUCGAACCAAAAUUUUUGACGUUCAAACUCAUCACACACGAGUUAAGCUAUCUGAAUCAUUUGUGAUGUUCACAUAUCGUACACAGUUCUGAAUAAGGGACCGUGUCUGAUGACACUUUGCGCGCCGGUUUUUUCACUGAAGUAAUUCCAAAAUUUUGGCUUCCGCGGAAAUAUCUACCUCCCCGCCCCCUCCCCCUUACCAAAAGCCACAUUCCCCUGUUUCUGCCUUCCUUUCCAAGUUGAAACCUUCACUCCUUGCUUGCAGCGCUGCCUCCUCGCUGGCGGCCCUCCUUCAUGUUGCUCUGCCUCGUCUAUCGAGGCAGGUAAUCCACACCCGACCCCCAUCCUCCUCCUCCUUCCACAUCCCACAUGCCCCGACCGCCGGUGCGACACCUUCCACCCAAAUCACCGACCCCUCCACCAAAUAAGCGCCGCCCUAAGCCAUGGCGCGCGCAGUAUAGCUAGGAUCUCAAGGAGCAUUUGGCAGCAGAGGAGCAAAUCGUGGCCGCACGCGCGGAUGAGGUCACGAUGGCAGCCAUUCGUGCCGACCCCCAGAUCUUGGAGGAGCACCUUGCCAUUUUCUAGCUAUGUCGGUUAAGCAUGCUCGGUUUACCCAUUGCGUGUGCUUCUCUUGCCUUUCCUUCACAAAUUCUAGUGAAUUGUGUUAUCUAAUUUUACCAUGCAAUUUGUUGCUCUAGUGUAUAUGUUCUAUAUGUUGUGCAGUGUGGUUCUCACUUAUUAACUAUUUUGUGAAUUAGUUGUCGUCUUCAGUUAACUGUUUGGUUCAAUUCUGCAAAUGUGAUGUUCAAUUCUUCAGGCUGCAAUUUUGUAUUGUCUUCCAUGUGAGAAAUAAAUCAAAUUUAUCUUUACAAAAUACAUGAGAAACGAAUACAAUUGCUAUAUUUCCAAGUUGUCAAGCAUGCUUGGUUUGGUUAUACAUUGUGAAAUGUGGUGCUCGUUUAAUGUUUGGUUCAUUUGUGUUGUGGUGUUUAGUUAACUGUUUGGUUCAAUUCUGCAAUGCGAUGUUCAAUAGUUGUGGGUGCAUUCUGUUAUUGUAUACCAUGUGAGAAAUAAAUUAAAUUUGGUUGUAGUAAAUACAUGAGAAACAAAUACAAUUGCUAUAUUUCCAAGUUGUUAAGCAUGCUUGGUUUGGUUAACUAUCUGAUCUUAUAUUAGGAGUAUGUUAUAUUGUGCAAUGUGGUGCUCAAUUAAUGUUUGGUUCAUUUGUUGUGGUGCUUAGUUAACUGCUUGGUUCAAUUUCUGCAAUGCGAUGUCCAAUUUUCGUUGGUAGAAUUUUGUAUUGUUGUGCAUGUGAGGAACAAAUUGAAUUUGGCUGCACUUAAUACAUGAGAAACAUAUACAAGUGCUAUAUUUCCUAGUUCUUAAUCAUGCUUGGUUUGGAUAAAUGGGUUUUCCAUGUGGCUUGAAUUAAUCUGAUGAAUCUGCAAUGUGCUUAUUUUUCAUCAACAUAUUUUACUAAUAGCAUGCGAACCCUCACUUAACAUGAUGACUAACUACCUUAUAUGUGUUGCAGGGAAACAAUGGGAAGCAUUGAGGUUUACAAUCGAGUUAGCACGUGCAUGGUCCGUUGUCUAAUAGCACAUUAGUGUGCAAUUGCAGGAACCAUGUAUUCUAAUAUUUAGGUUUAACAAUUUGGUCUUGCACAUGUAGGUCCUACUGUCAGAGGUUUUGACCCACUGUUUGACCCUUUUUGCAUAUGGGGAAAUGAGAUGUCCAUGAAUAUCAAUCAAGUCAAGAAACUCACAAAGAUUGUUAGGAUAAAGAAAUUAGCGACAAAAAACAACAAGAUCUUUGUGUGCACAAUGAAGAAGACAUCAGUUCACUACAAGAUGGUACUAACUAUUAUACCUUGCCUUUUUUUAUUCAUUUGCCCCAUUUCCAAUAUAGAGAAGAUAUUUAUGCACAUUCUUGUUUUCAGGCCUUUCCAAAGCAGUUCACUGAUAAUUACCUCUCAAACCACCUCUAUGGUCAGGAGGCGAGGAAGGUUUUCAUACAACACCCAUGGUUCAAUGUUGAUGUGUUCCUGAAGAGGACGAAGGACGGACGGUCAAUCAUCGACAGGCACUGGCCUAAAGUUGCAAAGACCUUCAACAUGAAUGAAGGCUCAAUAUUCGCCUUCCGCUUCAGCAGUUUUCCACAUGAGAUGCAUCUGUCUAUAUACCGUCUAUGAUGCUAAUUUUGAAAGGUUCUACAUGUUGCAUGUGAAACUUGGUGCUGGUGCAGUUGUGUACUGGGGUAGCUGAGUGCUGAAGCUAUAUCAUGUUGUACUCUGAUGUAUUUCAAUUAUGAAAUCCUGCUUCCUUAAUAUGGAAACGAAAUAUAUUAUGUGCUUAAUAUGAAUGUCAAUUAGAUCAAUAAAUGGAUUAUUAAUAAUAGGGCAAUUAGCUUGCUAAUGGCGAAUUAGCCCGCUAAUUGGGUUUUGCUAUUGCAAACAGUUAUUCAGAAAAUACCGUGGGCGAUGACCUCAGGCAACGCACACAGUUUCUAGGAAUAAACCGUGUUGGAUCAAUGAACAAUCACACUGUAGCGACCAGACCUCAAAUGGUCUGUGCUGCUGUGCACCAGUGUCAUCCCUGGAUCAGUAAUGCUGACACGCACAGUACAAAUGGAGGAUUUAUAACAGAGUAGCAAUCACACACUUAUUACAUCGAAUAUCUCCAAAGAGAUUAAGUAUGAUAAACAUGGCUUAAGGCCAUCUAAAAAUGAUAACAGCGAAAGACUUGGAAGAUAAGUGAGUCCAUCAACUCCAGCGGCAUCACUGAGUAUAAGACCACGACCUAAGGCACCUUACUCGUCGUCUGAAAAGUCUGCAACAUGAAACGUUGCAGCCCGAAAACGGGUCAGCACAUAGAAUAUGCUGGCAAAGUAACACAUAGAGAAUAAUGAACAAUAAUAAGGCUAUACUACAUGCAUAUAUGGCUGGUGGAAAGCUCUAUGGUUACAAUUUUGCGAAAAGCCAAUUUUAUCCUACUUCAAAGGAAUAAAUUUUAUUUAACUAUCAUGGUGGUUGUGAAACAUUGAGAUGGUUGACAGCAUCUCAAUCCCAAUUAAAUGUCAUCAAUAACCCAACAAAAUUAAUUAGAAGUAACAUAGUGAUGAGAUUCACAUGAUAAUCCAAGUACUAGAUACUCAAGUUGUCCAUAACCGGGGACACGGCUAACCAUGAUUAGUUUGUACACUCUGCAGAGGUUUGUGCACUUUUCCCCACAAGACUCGAUCGCCUCCGUUGGAUUACUCGCACUACAUGGUGUUUGAGUAACGGAUGACCGAGACACAGUCUUUCAGAAGUGUUUGCACCUUACGUAUGGGUAGACCGUUACACCUACUUUCCCCUACAUCUGCUAGUCUACCACUGUAAGAGUUCACACAACUUAGUCAACUAUGCUAGAGCCCAUAAUAGCUUGCAGCUGCACACGGAAGUUUCUAGCAUGAAUAAUCUCAUGAUCCCUUUGAACCUGGGUGGCGGUCCAAAAGAAAAACAGGCAAUCCUGGAAUACCCAGGUACCUCAAUCCACCCAGAUGUGAGUUUUAGUUGCCACCUUAAGUAAACCAUUAAUUAACAAUCUCACAUCUGUCAUGGAACUCUCUCAAACCCAAUCCACGUCUACGAGCAUAGCAUGGCAAUAUAAUAGCAAACGUAGAAGUAACUCCCAAGGGUUUGAUAAAUAAAACAGGUAAUAGGUACUACCUCAACUACUUCCCAAAACUCACAAUUUAAUUAGAUCCUAAUCAUGCAAGUGUUUGAGGAAAAUAGAUCUAAUGCAAUAAAAACUGGGUAUGGAAGGUAUAUGAUCAAAGUGUUACUUGCCUUGCUGAUGAUCCGCAAAACCUAGCGAUUCGAAGUAACAAGCGGCACACUCCGGGUACUCUAUCGCAAACAAACAAGCAUACAAUCAGUACUCAUCUAAUGCACAGGUAAAACUCGAAUGAAAGAUCCAACCAGAAAUUUCAACUUAAGAACUCCGGUUUGCAAAAAGAAUCAACUCGAAAGAAGCAACGAAAGUCAAACGGCGAAAGAAACAAGCUUCGUUUACUAAUCUGGAUCUAGGUCAAAUUUUACUGUAGCAAAAACUUGUUUGAGUAGGUUAAACGGAAAGAGAAUUUCGAGACGAAACUCUAGGCGCUUGAAUCGCCUGAUUCCGAUAAACGAGCGGAAAGUUAAACAGAAACGAAGAUUCGAUCAGAAAUCGAAUCUGAGAAAAUAGCGGAAAAAUCCGACGAAAAAGAAAAACGGACGAACUGUUAAAGAACGGACGUUCGUUAACAGAGAAAAAACCGACGAACGCGUUCGUUAAAACGAACGGUUCGGUGAACGCUCGCAAAAUAAUAAAACCGAAAAAAAACCGAUCUAGGGUUUUUUUUUCUACAAACGUUUUUUUAAAGAAAACCGGCAAAACCGAACGGCAUCGAGGUAUACCUCGUCGGGGCGGCUCCGGCGGGGCUCCGGCGGGGGCUCCGGCGAGGGCGGCGGGUGCGGCGGUGGUGCGGGGCUCGGGGAAAGGCGAGGGGCGGCGAGGGGGCGGCGCACGGCAAUGAAAGGCGNNNNNNNNNNNNNNNNNNNNNNNNNNNNNNNNNNNNNNNNNNNNNNNNNNNNNNNNNNNNNNNNNNNNNNNNNNNNNNNNNNNNNNNNNNNNNNNNNNNNNNNNNNNNNNNNNNNNNNNNNNNNNNNNNNNNNNGGGGUGGGUCGGCGGCCUGGCGCGGCUGGGCUCGGCCCGGCGGGCGCGCGCGUUUUAAAAAAAAAACGUUCCGCGGAAAAAUAUUCGUAGAAAAAUAAAUAAAGGUCCAAAAAAUAUAAAAUAAAUUUUCCCCGUCUAGUUAGAAAAUCUAGAAUAGGGUGAACAUUGUUUUAACACAAAAUAAAUAUUUUGAAAACAUGCAAUAUUUUUAAUGCAAUAAAAAUUGCAAAUAAAAUCCAGAUAAAUUCCAAUAAAUGAUUUUAACAUUUUACCUCCAGUAUUUCAAUAGUUUUGGAGAAGUCAUAUUUUCAACUCUCAUUUAUUUUGUUUAAUGAAAUAUUUUUCCGGAGAGAAAAUAAUUAAAACCAACAUCCUCGUUUUAUUAUUUGAUGAAAAUCAAAUAUGAAAAUUCGAGAAAAUCCCCAACUCUCUCCGAGGGUCCUUGAGUUGCUUAGGAUUUAUCGAGGAUUUGUCAAAAUGCAAUAAAAUAUGAUAUGCAAUGAUGAUCUAUGUAUAACAUACCAAAUUGAAAAUUUGGGAUGUUACAAACCCACCCCCCUUAAGAUGAAUCUCGCCCUCGAGAUUCGGGUUGGCUAGAAAACAGGUGGGAGUGGUCCUUCCGUAGAUCUUCCUCUCGCUCCCAGGUGGCUUCAUCCUCCGUGUGGUGACUCCACUGGACUUUGCAAAACUUGAUAACCUUGCUGCGGGUAACUCGGCUGGCAUACUCAAGAAUCUUAACUGGUUUCUCCUCAUAGGUCAAAUCACUUUCCAGCUGAAUCGCUUCAAGUGGCACAGUAUCUCUCAGUGGUAUCUCAGCCAUCUCUGCGUGGCACUUCUUCAACUGGGAAACGUGAAAUACAUCAUGAACUCCAGACAAUCCUUCGGGCAAUUCCAGCUUGUAGGCAACCUCUCCCAUACGUUCCACAACUCUGUAUGGUCCGAUAAAACGGGGCGCUAACUUUCCCUUAACUCCAAAGCGCUUCACUCCUCGAAGUGGUGAUACUCGAAGAUAAACUCGGUCUCCGACUUCGUGAACUGUCCCCUUUCGUUUAGAAUCAGCAUAACUCUUCUGCCUGGACUGGGCUACCUUGAGCCUAUCGCGAAUCAACCUCACUUUCUGUUCAGACUCCUUAAUCAAAUCUGGUCCAAACAACUGACGGUCUCCAACUUCGUCCCAUAACAACGGUGUUCUACACCUCCUUCCGUACAAGGCUUCGAAAGGGGCCAUCUUUAAACUGGUUUGAUAACUGUUGUUAUACGAAAAUUCUGCAUAUGGCAAGUUAUCGUCCCAACUAGAUCCAUAAUCUAGUGCACAUGCUCUCAACAUGUCCUCCAAAAUCUGGUUGACUCUCUCGGUCUGUCCAUCUGUCUGCGGGUGAAAAGUUGUACUAAAUUCCAGCCUGGUUCCCAAUGUUUCAUGUAACUGCUUCCAAAACUUCGAGGUAAAUUGGGUUCCUCUGUCUGAUACAAUGGUCCUCGGAACUCCAUGCAAACAUACGAUCCUUGUCAUGUAUAUCUUUGCCAACUUAGCACUGGUAUAAGUGGUCUUCACUGGAAUAAAAUGAGCCACUUUCGUCAAACGGUCGACUACAACCCAUAUUGAGUCAUAGCCUGAACGAGUCCUGGGUAAUCUUGUGAUAAAAUCCAUGCCUAUUUUAUCCCACUUCCAUUCGCGUAUCGGCAAUGGUUGUAGCAAUCCUGCUGGCUUCUGAUGCUCUGCCUUCACUCUCUGACACACAUCACAAACUGCUACAUAUUCUGCAAUAUCCUUCUUCAUUCUGGUCCACCAGAAAGUAUUCUUCAAAUCCAAAUACAUCUUGGUAUUCCCUGGGUGAAUCGAGUACGGUGAAUCAUGGGCUUCUUGCAAAAUCAACUUCCUGAUCUCCGGAUCAUUUGGUACAUAUACUCGAUCCUCGAACCAUAAGGUAUCGUGCUCAUCCUCACGAAAUCCCUUGGCUUUACCUUUGCUCAUCUUCUCCUUUAUCUCUUCAAUCUCCUUGUCUGUCUUCUGAGCUUCUCUGAUCCUUUCCAUCAAGGUAGACUGAAUCUCCAAUGUCGCUAAAUAGCCUCUUGGAACUAUCUCCAAGCAUAGCUCGCGAAGGUCUUCGGCUAACUCCUGAGGUAACUCUCCUGUCAUGAGGGUGUUGACAUGACUCUUGCGGCUCAACGCGUCUGCUACUACGUUAGCCUUUCCAGGGUGAUAAUGCAAGCUCAUAUCAUAAUCUUUAAUGAGCUCCAACCAUCUCCUCUGUCUGAGAUUUAACUCCUUCUGCGUGAAAAUAUAUUUCAAACUCUUGUGAUCCGUGUACACCUCACAAUGGUUUCCGAUGAGAAAAUGUCUCCAUGUCUUCAACACAUGCACCACGGCUGCUAACUCCAAAUCAUGCGUAGCAUAAUUCUUCUCAUGGGGUUUAAGUUGUCGUGAAGCAUAUGACACAACUCUUCCUUCCUGCAUAAGCACAGCUCCAAGUCCUCGACGAGAAGCGUCGCAAUAAACUUCAUAAUCCUUGCGUUGAUCUGGCAGGAUCAACACUGGCGAUGUAACCAAUCGUUUCUUCAACUCUUGGAAACUAGCUUCACAAUCCUCAGUCCAAUUGAAUUUGGUGUCCUUCUUCAAUAGCUCAGUCAUGGGCUUAGCAAUCUUCGAGAAAUUCUCGAUGAAUCUCCGGUAGUAUCCUGCAAGUCCAAGAAAACUCCGGAUUUCUCCAACUGUCGUGGGUGAUUCCCAACUUGUCACUGUGUCAACCUUGGCAGGGUCUAUUGCUAUUCCUUCUCCAGAAAUAACAUGUCCAAGGAAUCCAACUUCCUUCAGCCAAAAUUCACAUUUGCUGAACUUGGCGUAUAACUGAUGUUCUCUGAGCUUCUCAAGUACCAAUCGUAAAUGCUCCUCAUGCUCUUCCUCAUCCUUGGAAAAGAUUAAAAUAUCAUCAAUGAACACCACGACGAACUUAUCCAGAAAUUCCAUAAACACUUUGUUCAUCAGGUUCAUGAAAUAGGCAGGUGCGUUAGUCAGACCAAAUGACAUAACGGUAUACUCAUACAAUCCAUAUCUGGUGGUAAAUGCCGUCUUGGGUAUAUCCUGCUCUCGAAUCUUUAACUGAUGGUAUCCUGAUCGUAGAUCGAUCUUGGAAAAUACUUUAGCUCCUUGUAGGCGGUCAAACAAAUCAUUGAUCAUCGGCAGUGGGUACUUGUUUUUGAUGGUCACUUCAUUCAAUCCACGGUAAUCAACAACCAUCCUCAGCGAUCCAUCUUUCUUCUCCACUAGAAGUACUGGUGAUCCCCAAGGUGACGAACUUGGGCGAAUAUAGCCUUUAUCCAGUAACUCCUUGAUCUGCUUCUUAAUUUCCUCCAAAUCUUUUGCGAGCAUCCUGUACGGUCUCUUAGAUAUUGGCCCUGUGCCUGGCAAAAGUUCAAUCAAGAACUCAAUGUCUCUAUCUGGUGGCAUGCCUGGCAAUUCUUCUGGAAAUACAUCCGGAUAAUCCUUCACCACUGGUACUUCCUCCUGUACAACUCCUGAUAAGGAAUUUACUUGAGUCCUCUUCGGCAUAUGCCGGGAUACAUACUUGAUCCUUUUUCCUUCCGGGGUGGUAAGCAAAAUCGUCUUGUUGGCACAAUCGAUGUUUCCUCCAUACAACGAUAGCCAAUCCAUUCCCAAAAUCACAUCCAAACCUUGAGACUCCAAAACUAUGAGGUCUGAGGGGAAAACAUGCCUACCAAUGGCCAAUGGUAUCUGAAAACAUCCUUGGGUUGCCAUAUACUCUGCUCCUGGCGAGGUUACUAACAUAGGGGUUCUGAGAACUUUGGUGGACAGCUUAAACUUAUUCACAAAUCCCCUUGAUAUGUAUGAAUGCGAUGCACCAGUAUCGAAAAGAACGAUUGCAGUAAAUGACUUAACCAAAAACUUACCUAUUACUGCAUCAGGCUGAGCUUCAACCUCCUCCACGCUCACGUGGUUCACAUGCCCUUUGUUGAACGGGUUCGGCUUCUUCCCAGAGCUUCCAUUUCCAUUUCCAUUUUGGGCUUCAGGACAUUCAUUGGCAUAAUGUCCAUUCUUCUGGCACUUAAAGCAAGUGACUUGGCUCAGGUCCCUCUUGGCUGGGGUAGAUGGGUUGGUGCGGUUCUGUCCAUUGCUUCCUCCAUUCCCAUUACCAUUUUUAGAGCCAUUAUGGUUGUGCGAACUACCUCCUCCAUGGGUAUGCUGAAACUGUCCUCCUGGCUUCGGGGUAAAACGAGGCUUCUGUUGAGCUCCUGAGUUAUACUUCCCUUGUCCAUACUUCCUCUUACGGUUUUCAAUCUGUUGUUGCUUCCCUUCAAUCAUGAGAGCUCUACCUACCAGCUCCUGGUAGUUGUUGAAGGUUGCUACCAUCAACUGCAUACUCAGCUCAUCAUUCAGUCCUUCCAAAAACUCCUCCUGCUUGGCUGCAUCUGUAGCAACGUCAUCUGGUGCAUAACGUGCUAACUUACUAAAAUCCUCAACAUACUGGCCUACGGUACGUCCUCCUUGGCGUAGGUUGCGAAACUCACGCUUCUUCAUAGCCAUAGCUCCUGCUGAAACAUGAGCUGUACAAAAGCUUGCUGAAACUGGUCCCAUGUGACAGUGUCAAUAGGGUGCGUGGCUGUAUAAUUCUCCCACCAUGAUGCUGCGGGUCCAUCAAGCUGGUGUGCGGCAAAACGCACUCUUUCCGCAUCUGUGCAUCCUGCAGUGGUCAACUCCCUUCCAACUUUGCGGAGCCAAUCAUCUGCAACAAUCGGCUCGGUGCUACUGGAAAACACCGGCGGGUUUAGCCUUAAGAAACGGGCUAAGUGAUCAACAGGUGGUGGUGGCGGUGGGUUGUUGUUGUUGUUGUUGUUGUUGCCUUGGUUCUGCACUAACACUUGCAUCAGGGCAUUCUGUUGCUGAAUCAACUGGGUGAUCUCUGGUGGGAAAACAAAUCCGGUGUCGCGUCUCGGAGGCAUCUGAUAGGUUUAGAAAAGAUGAGAGUUAAGAAUAGAAUGGGGUCUAGAGAGAAAACACUACCCAUAUGCUCAUGAGACAAAUACAAUCAAUAUCACUCAAUCAAUUCAAACAAGGCAAAACAAUCGAUCUAACUAGCAUUACAAAGUGCUUGAACUAUACUAUUAAAUGGGGGAAAACUACUACUGAUAUGGUGGUCUACUAGAAAUUCUGAUCCGUUGAAGACUCCAUGAUGUCUGCUCCAGCUUCGUCAACAAAGUCAUCUUCACUUGGUUCCGAGUCGGUGUCGUCGAUGAUGAUGUAGUUAUCCGGACAAGUGCAUUCGUCGACUUCUGCUUUUGGCACUGGAUUUCCCAUGAAUACUCCAAUCUUCUUCUCCAGGUCGUCAUUCUUCCCUACUAAUGCGAUGAUUUACUCCAUAUAAUCCUCGCGUGUAGCCUUGAGUUCUUCUUGGAGCUCCUUGAUCUUCGUCAAUGCCUUCUUCAGUUCUUCCUUGUCCAUGCACAUCUGGUUCCCCUGGCGACGAAUAUGUUGGUUUACGAGCAUAGCAUGGCAAUAUAAUAGCAAACGUAGAAGUAACUCCCAAGGGUUUGAUAAAUAAAACAGGUAAUAGUACUACCUCAACUACUUCCCAAAACCCACAAUUUAAUUAGAUCCUAAUCAUGCAAGUGUUUGAGGAAAAUAGAUCUAAUGCAAUAAAAACUGGGUAUGGAAGGUAUAUGAUCGAAGUGUUACUUGCCUUGCUGAUGAUCCGCAAAACCUAGCGAUUCAAAGUAACAAGUGGCACACUCCGGGCACUCUAUCACAAACAAACAAGCAUACAAUAAGUACUCAUCUAAUGCACAGGUAAAACUCGAAUGAAAGAUCCAACCAGAAAGUUCAACUUAAGAACUCCGGUUUGCAAAAAGAAUCAACUCGAAAGAAGCAACGAAAGUCAAACGGCGAAAGAAACAAGCUUCGUUUACUAAUCUGGAUCUAGGUCAAAUUUUACUGUAGCAAAAACUUGUUUGAGUAGGUUAAACAGAAAGAGAAUUUUGAGACGAAACUCUAGGCGCUUGAAUCGCCUGAUUCCGAUAAACGAGCGAAAAGUUAAACAGAAACGAAGAUUCGAUCAGAAAUCGAAUCUGAGAAAAUAGCGAAAAAAUCCGACGAAAAAGAAAAAUGGACGAACUGUUAAAGAACGGACGUUCGUUAACAGAGAAAAAACCGACGAACGCGUUCGUUAAAACGAACGGUUCGGUGAACGCUCGCAAAAUAAUAAAACCGAAAAAAAACCGAUCUAGGGUUUUUUUUCCUACAAACGUUUUUUUUAAAGAAAACCGGCAAAACCGAACGGCAUCGAGGUAUACCUCGUCGGGGCGGCUCCGGCGGGGCUCCGGCGGGGGCUCCGGCGAGGGCGGCGGGUGCGGCGGGGGUGCGGGGCUUGUGGAAAGNNNNNNNNNNGGCUCCGGCGGCGGCGAGCGAGGCGAGUGCGGCGGCGGCGAGAUGAGGGAAGAGGGGGGUGCGGGGGGUAUAUAUAGGGGGGUGCUCCGGUGGCUUGGGGAGGGGCAAGCUCCGGCGGCGGGGCUCGGACUCCCGUGUCCAUGGCGGACACGGUGGCGGCGGCGUUCCCGUGCUGGGGAAGGAGAGGGGCGCGGGGUGGGCCGGCGGCCUGGCGCGGCUGGGCUCGGCCCGGCGGGCGCGCGCGUUUUAAAAAAAACAUUCCGCGGAAAAAUAUUCGUAGAAAAAUAAAUAAAGGUCCAAAAAAUAUUAAAAAAAAAUUCCCCGCUAGUUAGAAAAUCUAGAAUAGGGUGAACAUUUUUUAACACAAAAAAAAUAUUUUGAAAACAUGCAAUAUUUUUAAUGCAAUAAAAAUUGCAAAUAAAAUCCAAAUAAAUUCCAAUAAAUGAUUUUAACAUUUUACCUCCAGUAUUUCAAUAGUUUUGGAGAAGUCAUAUUUUCUCCUCUCAUUUAUUUUGUUUAAUGAAAUAUUUUUCCGAAGAGAAAAUAAUUAAAACCAACAUCCUCGUUUUAUUAUUUGAUGAAAAUCAAAUAUGAAAAUUCGAGAAAAUCCCCAACUCUCUCCGAGGGUCCUUGAGUUGCUUAGGAUUUAUCGAGGAUUUCUCAAAAUGCAAUAAAAUAUGAUAUGCAAUGAUGAUCUAUGUAUAACAUACCAAAUUGAAAAUUUGGGAUGUUACACACACACGACCUUCUCUUCAAAACUGUUUGCGUUAGGCCACCUUGCGCAAACGUUUACCACAUAAAAACUGUGUGUGAUGGACAGACUUUGCCACACAGUUUCUUCUAUGCACCGUGUGUGAUGCAUUCAAUAAAGCAAACGAUAAAAUUGUUAAUAUCGUGUGCAAUGGCAACGCUAUCACAAACGAUUUAACAGGGAAAAUUAUUUGUGAUGUACCUGUGAACGGAAACAUUUUCCUUGGAGCGACUGUGUGGGAUGUACAUACGAAUGGAAACGUUUAGCGGGGACUGACUGUGUGGGAUGUACUUGCGACCGGAAACAAUUUCGCUUGUAUAAUUGUUUUUUAGCUCUACUUCACGUAUUUCCAUAUUUGAGCGCUCGCCGGUCGCACACGACCUCAUUUUGUUGAGCGUGUGUCCCAGGAGGGUAUAUCCCCGACGGUUUCUUGGUCAUGUGAGAAGGACCCCCCUAUCGCCGUCACUCACUAGGUGAUGGUUCCAAAUGUCGUCGCGGAAAGGGGUUAAAAACCAUUAGUAUAGCACCGACGCGUACCAGUGAAAAGAGUUAGUACCAUCCUAUAGUUGACUGAUGUCUUCUUCAUUAUGCAAACAAAGAUCUUGCUGUUAUUCGUCACAAGUUUCUUUAUCCUAACAAUCUUUCUGAGUUUCUUGACUUAACUGAUAUUCAUGGACAUCUCAUUUCCCCAUAUGUAAAAUGGGUCGAACAAUGGGCCUAAGCCUCUGACAGCAGGACCUACAUGUGCAAGACCAAAUUGUAAGAAACCUAAAUAUUAGAAUGAUUUCUGCAACUGCACAAUAAUGUGCUAUUAGGGAAAGGACCAUGCAUGAGCAAACCUCGAUGGUAAACCGCAGUGUCUCCCAUUGUUUCCCUGCAACACACAUAAGGAAGAUCUUGAUCAGGUUAACUGAGAGUUGUCAUACUAUCAGUAGAAUAUGUAUUGAGUACAUCCCAAUUCAAUUUAUUUCUCACAUGCAUAACAAUACAAAAUUGUACCCACAACAAAUGAAAAUCAAAUUGCAGAAUUGAACGAAACAGUUAAAUGGAUAGCAGACCAAAUGAACCAAAACAGUUAACUGAGCACGACAUUGCAGAAUAGAAACAUGUACUAGAAGAUAAGACAGUUUACAAAACAAAGAAUGCUUGAGAACAAUACUACGAAAUGUAGAAAUUGUUGGACCAAACUGUUAAAUGAACAUUACAUUUCAGAGGACCAAACAGUUAACUAAACAUCGGAUUGCAUAUUAACAUUACAGAGGACAAAUCACUACAAGGCACUGGCGGUGGCCUCGAGAAAACAACACGAACUGUAUUUUAAAUUAGACAACCGCGUGGUGGUGUCGACGGUGGCCUCGAAGACGAGGUGCUCCUCCAAGAUCUGGCGGUCGGCACGCAUGGCAGCCAUAGCGACCUCGUGCACGCGUGCAGCCGCGAUUUGCUUCUCCGCUGCCAGAUGCUACUGAGCUCCACGUUAUACUAUGUGCAAAAUGGUUGUGGGCGGCGCUUAAUUGGAGGACAGGGCCAGUGAUUUCGGCGGAAGGUGUCGCGCUGUCGAUCGGGGCAUAUGGGGCGGGGAAGGAUGAGGAUGGUGUGGGUGGGGUGUGGAUUACCUAACCAUAUCUAUGAGGCCGUGCAGCAAGAAGAAGGGUCGGCAGCGAGGAGGUCGCGCAACAAGAAGAAGGGUCGCCGGCGAGGAGGUGGCGCUGCAAGAAGAAGGGUCGCCAGCGAGGAGGCGGCACUACAAGAAGAAGGGUCGCCGGCGAGGAGGCUAAGCUGCCAGUAAGUAGCAAUGAAGGUUUGAACUUGGAAAGCAAGGAGGAACAGUGGAAAUAUGGCUUUUGUUGGGAGGGAGGGGGCGGGGAGAUAGAUAUUUUAACGGUGGCAGAAAAAUUUCGCUCAGUGCCACGAGAAACUGGCGCGCAAGUGUGGUUCAAGCACGGGCGAUGGACUAUAGACGACGAAGCUUUCUGCGUAAGCCAGACAAGACGGUGCGCCAAGAUAUUUUAUAUCGCAUCCCACACGAUUCUUGCUAGUAAACUGUUUGUGGUAUACCUGAUUUUUUUCAUUAUGUUUUGAAAGACAAAAUGAUGUUACAAAGGGAAAGGAUGGUGUCUGAAUUGGUAGAACAUUUAUGUACAGUGAACAUGCAAAUACAUGAGUGUCGUGUUCAAAUUUGGAAUUAUUUCGGGUUUGUUUGGCAUUUUUAUGCAUUAAUUGAGUUUCUAGGCAUUUAAUGUGCAUAAUUCAAAUUUGAACUACAAGCACAUGCUCCAAUGCACCAAAGUUUGUUAAAAAUCACAUGUGUGUCUUUGGGUGAAUUUAUAGGUCCCAUGCAAGAAAUGGGAAUGAAAUUCAAACAUCUGGGCGUCGUGGCUCGGCCGGGAACAUUGAGAAACUUGGUUUUUUAAUUCCUGUAAAUUCAAAACUCGCCUGAAAAUCAUGAAACCUGUCAUGGUGUCAUUUCAUGGCACCAACAUGUUGUGGUAAAAAAAAUUGGCCGCAUUUGGAGAAGUUUUGGUAUAAGCUUCUUGCAAACCGGAGCUUCUCUCAAGAAGACUUGUGGUUCCCGAGGGGGGGUGUGUCACUUUGUGUGCGGAACGAUAUACGCUGCCUCCCCCCCUGAUUUUUUACAAAGGCAACAUAGAACUAUAUGAGUGUUGUGUUAAAAUUUGGAAUUAUUCCGGGUUCGUUUGGACUUUUUUAUACAUUAAUUGAAUUUCUGGUCAUUUAAUGUGCAUAAUUCAAAUUUGAACUACAAGCACAUGCUCCAGUGCACCAAAGUUGGUUGAAAAAUCACAUGUGUGUCCUUGGGUGAAUUUGUAGGUCCCAUGCAAGAAAUGUGAAUGGAAUUGAAACAUCUGGGCGUCGUGGCUUGGCCGGAAAUAUCGAGAAACUUGGUUUUUUAAUUCCUAUAAAUCCAAAACACGCCUGAAAAUCAUGAAACUUGGCAUGGUGUCAUGACAUGGCACCAACAUGUUGUGGUAAUUUUUUUGACCGAAUUGGGACAAGCUUUGGUAAAAGCUUCUUGCAAACUAGAGCUUCCCUCAAGAAGGCUCGUGGUUCUGAGAGGGAACGUGUCACUUCCGUGUGCGAAACGACAUACACUACCUUCUCCCGCCUUGAUUUUUUUACAUAGGCAGCUUAGACCAAAUAGGAGUUUCGUGCUAAAUUUUGGAAUUAUUCCGGGUUUGUUUGUCCUUUUUAUACAUUAAUUGAUUUUCCAGGCAUUUAAUGCACAUAAUUCAAACUUGAAGUACAAGCGCAUGCUCCAGUGCGCAAAAGUUAGUUGGAAAAUCAUUUAUGUGUACUUGGGCGAAUUUAUAGGUCCCAUGGAAGAAGUGGGGAUGGAAUUCAAACAUCUGGGCGUCUUGGCUCGGCCAGAAACAUCGAAAAACUUGGUUUUAAAAUUCCUAUAAAUCCAAAACUCACCUGAAAAUCAUGAAACUUGGCAUGGUGUCAUGACAUGGCACCAACAUGCUGUGGUAAUUUUUUUGGCCGAAUUGGGACAAGGUUUGGUAUAAGCUUCUUGCAAACUGGUGCUUCCCUCAAGAAGGCUCGUGGUUCCGAGAGGGAACGUGUCACCUCCGUGUGCGAAACAAUAUACAGUACCUUCUACCGCCUUGAUUUUUUUACAUAGACAGCUUAGACCAAAUAGGAGUUUUGUGCUAAAUUUUGGAAUUAUUCCGGGUUCGUUUGGCCUUUUUAUAGAUUAAUUGAUUUUCCAGGCAUUUAAUGCACAUAAUUCAAAUUUGAAGUACAAGCGCAUGCUCUAGUGCGCAAAAGUUAGUUGGAAAAUCAUUUAUGUGUACUUGGGCGAAUUUAUAGGUCCCAUGGAAGAAGUGGGGAUGGAAUUCAAACAUCUAGGCGUCUUGGCUCGACCGGAAACAUCGAGAAACUUGGUUUUAAAAUUCUUGUAAAUCCAGAACUCGCCUGAAAUCAUGAAACUUGGCAUGGUGUCAUGACAUGGCACCAACAUGUUGUGGUAAAUUUUUUUGGCCGAAUUGGGACAAGGUUUGGUAUAAGCUUCUUGCAAACUGGAGCUUCCCUCAAGAAGGCUCGUGGUUCCGAGAGGGAACGUGUCACCUCUGUGUGUGAAAGGACAUACACUGCCUUCUCCCGCCUUGAUUUUUUACAUAGGCAGCUUAGACCAAAUAGGAGUUUCGUGCUAAAUUUUGGAAUUAUUCCAGGUUCGUUUGGCCUUUUUAUACAUUAAUUGAUUUUCUAGGCAUUUAAUGCACAUAAUUCAAAUUUGAAGUACAAGCGCAUGCUCGAGUGUGCAAAAGUUAGUUGGAAAAUCAUUUGUGUGUACUUGGGCAAAUUUCUAGGUCCCAUGGAAGAAGUGGGAAUGGAAUUCAGACAUCUAGGCUUCUUGGCUCGGCCGGAAACAUCGAGGAACUUGGUUUUAAAAUCCCGUAAAUCCAAAACUCGCCUGAAAAUCAUGAAACUUGGCAUGGUGUCAUGACAUGGCACCAACAUGCUGUGGUAAUUUUUUUGGCCGAAUUAGGACAAGGUUUGGUCUAAACUUCUUGCAAAGUGGAGCUUCCCUCAAGAAGGCUCGUGGUUUCUAGAGGAACGUGUCACCUCCGUGUGCGAAACAACAUACACUACCUUCUCCCGCCUUGAUUUUUUUACACAGGCAGCUUAGACCAAAUAGGAGUUUCGUGCUAAAUUUUGGAAUUAUUCCAAGUUCCUUUGGCCUUUUUAUACAUUAAUUGAUUUUCCAGGCAUUUAAUGCACAUAAUUCAAAUUUGAAGGACAAGCGCAUGCUCCAGUGCGCAACUUGGGCGAAUUUCUAGGUCCCAUGGAAGAAGUGGGAAUGGAAUUCAAACAUUUGGGCGUCUUGGCUCGGCCGGAAACAUCGAGACACUUGGUUUUAAAAUUCCCGUAAAUCCAAAAAUUGCCUGAAAAUCAUGAAACUUGGCACGGUGUCAUGACAUGGCACCAACAUGCUGUGGUAAAUUUUUUGUCCAAUUUGCGAAGGCGCACCAACAAGUGUUGUCGUGUUACAAAUUGGAAACACAAGUGUUACUGAAACCGUGGGCGUUCUACUUAUCAUUUACGUGCCGCCACGCGUCCCCUUUUUUUAUUGGCUACGAGGUGUCGUGCGGGGUAGCUGUUUGAGUAUGGGAGGUGUGCGAUCAGACCCUGCGCGUGCUCAGUAGGAGGAGAGCCCUUUGACCUCUAUCCGCCGCCCACCUCCCUCCCAACAUCUUCAUUAAUGCCGCCCGAGCCCCUGUUUCAUGGCGUGGCUAUGUCUCACUCGACUGAGAUUUAAGAGAGAAAAAAUAAAUCUGAAAAGAAAAUUUUGCAUGGAUCUUGAUGUAAGAUCCGACGGACCUAUAUAGCAUCGACUGCGACUUAUAAUAAGACUGAUGAAUAUAAGGACGAUGGCGGUGGAUAAUAAUUGUCUUACAUAUUUAGGAAGAUAAUUAAAAAAGCCACAUGCGGCAACGCCCGAAAUAUACAAGGGCAAAAGAAGAAGGAAGACAACGAUCUGGCUCGUUGAUCUCUACUUUCUUGAUGCGUUGCUGCAGGACGCGGGAACUAGUCUCCGCGGCGAGCGGCGAUGAUCUCUUUCGUGUCUUUAAUACGCUGCUCGGCAACAUCCACGGAUUCCUCCACCAGCCUUUGGCGUUCGAUGCGGAGCAUGUCAUUCUUGUCCAUAAGUUUCUUGACGAUGACGCCGGUCCUCUUCAAUAAGGCAGUGGUCUCCUCCUCCUGCUCCGCACUUCCGACGAUUUUCUCCCUCAGCAGGUCGCGCUCGGCCCGGAGCUUCGCAUUGCCCUCACUUAGUUGCCGGAUGACACCGGUAGCCUAUUCAAACGAGGAUUCCAUGUCGUCCUGCAACCCCGCCCAGCCGGAGAUCUGAUCCAUCUGGCUAUGGACGAUCGCAUUCAUGUGCCUGUAAGAGUCCUCGCCUGCCCGUGAGACAUUUUCCCAGGCCGCCGCAGCCUGGGAGGACACCUCUGCUGCAUUCGCGACGCGGCAGGACAUCUCUGUUGCUUCCGCGGCGUGGCCAGACCAGUCUGCUGCAUUAACGGCGCGGCGGGACCUCUAUGCUGCUACGACUGCGCGGCAUGACAUAUCGGCUGCUUUCGCGGCGAGGCGAGACAUCUCUCCUGCUCCUGCUUCCAUGCUCGCCUCUCCCUGGUGGUAAUCUCUCGACCCAAAACUCACGCUGGCCAUGGCAGACGCAAGGGAAGGAUGAUGAAUGACUUGUUUGUUUUUGUGGAUGAGGAGUUGAGGAGGAAUGUGCAGUCAUCUUGGAGUAGUAGUAUUUAUAACCGAGUACUAAUACGCUCCUAAGUGGAAAACCGUUUAGGUUUUGAUCGGUGUGAACAGGUUUGCAAUUAAAUAUAGCAUGGUAGUAUUUUGGAAUGUGACGGGACGCAGACUCAAAAUUUAUUGACGGUUCUAUAAUUUCUUAGUGCAGCACUAGUCCCGGACGGCGUAACGUGGGCACGCUUUCUCGACCGCAUAUGUGACGUUUGCACCAUAGGGUGCACCGCAAUAGGCAAUGUCAGCACACAUCUUGUUCCAACAACUAUGCGCGCGUGUUAUUACCAUCGCGCAUGCUUCUUUUAAUUAGAAUGUAUGCCCAUCUAGUGCACACACGUUGAUUUGUCUAACUGUUUUUGUUUAUUGUGGCUAAUCGCAAAUAGUUCAUCCGUGUGAAGUGUAUGCCGUCAAUCGCAGACACUUUGAUCUGGCUGACCGUUUCUGUUGUGUUGCCUAAUCGCAAACAGUUAAUCCUUCUGAAGCGUAUGCCCUCAACCACACACACACCUUCAUAUGGUUGCCCGUUUAUGUUGUUCCGCCUAAUCACAAACAGUUCAUCUGAGUGAACGGUAUGUUGUAUAUCACACAGGCCUUUAUCUGGCUGCCCGUUUCUGUUCUUCUGCCUCAUCCCAAAUAGUUCACUGAACUGAAUUGUAUGCCCCUCAUCACACACGCAACUAAAUUCUGAACCGUGCUUGAUGCAUCCGUCAUCACAAACGUUUUGUAUCUUUUUUGACGGAUUUUUUACAUCAUCGUUUGCGAUUAUUGCAUCGCACAUAGUUUCGUCGAAGGAUCUCUGAUCGUAGUGUCGCAUUAGCAGCAUCCUGCAGUAGCGUCUAUUCACAUAUGUAUUUAAGUUUCCGGUCAAUACAAUUCUAGCAUGAAUAAUAAACCUUUAUCAUGAAUAAGGAAAUAUGAUAAUAACCAAUUCAUUAUUGCCUCUAGGGCAUAUUUCCAACAGAAAGCCGAUGUCGAAUUCACCGCCGAGGCCGCGGCCAUGCUACACAAGGCUGCCGUCGAGGCCAACGAGGCCAUCGUCGCCAAGGCCACGCAGGUAGUGACGACGCACGCCCUCCUCAUGCCAGGGUUGUGCCGAUCCUUGCCGACCAUUCUCUCCAUCGACGCCAUGGCCACGGCGAGCACAAGCUCGUCGACCGUUCACCCUCCAUAGUACGAGUCGCUGAACUCCUCUGUAACACCGGAGAUGACCGGUUUUCAUCUGUCACGGCAGCAUGCUCAAACUCAGUUCUCCAUGUCAUCGGACGACAGCGUGAUCGCUCCGGCCACCCCUAGCGCCACGUCUAUCAUCAACCCCAACGUCACACCUGGGUACAAUGGCGCUGGCCAGUCGUCCGCCGGGAUGCAAAGGAAGCAGCCCGGUGGAUUCCUACAGCCAACCUUCCCGAUGCCUGCAACCUGUUCGACGAAAUGCCAAUCCCGACGCCGGCAGCCGACGACCCUGACUACAACAUGUUCAUGGAGAACGUCAUCUACGAGGGUCAUGGCCAGGCCUUCCACACCAAGGGCCAAGGCCAAGGCUACAACCUCGAUGAGACCCAAGGCCAAGAUGGUCGUGACCAAGAUUGUGCCGACCACUAUGGUGUCGACGAAGAAGAAGAGGCCGACGACCAUGGCAACUCAUGGCAUGAAGAUGAGGACAUCUAUUGCGAAAGAUGAGGAAGAAGAGGGCGUCGACAUUGCGGAGAAACCAUUGUUUAUCGAUGAGCUCGCCCAAAGAGCCGACGCACAAAGGAGGAAGCAGAGCAUUCACACGGGACCAUAAACCUAAGAAGAGGGCAUGUUGAUUUGCGAGAGUUGGAUGGAGAUAGGCCAAGAUCCCAAGACCAAUGCCAAGCAAAAAAAUAAUAUGUUUUUUGGACGAGGAGUUCAUACAACCUUUCACCGUGCAAGUUUGCGAGCAACCGUGGCAUCAACUCAAUCCAAAAAAGAUGGGGGUUUAUUCAACAAGUAUUGUGCCGCACUUGAGAGUGUUGAAGUCCGUCCCGUGAGUGGCCUAGGCAUGGGCGACUUGGUAUGCCCUCUCAUCUUUCAUUGCUAUGCCAUGUUCAUGUUUGUUGUAUCUUGUGUCCUUCACUAUUACAUUUGUAGCCUUCUCUUUGAUUGCAUAGGCAUUCCGAUCUUUGGAAACCUUCAAGACCCGACAUAAGAAGAAGACAUUCACUCUGACCCAUUGUUGGUCUCUCAUCAAAGAUUACCCCAAGUUCAAAGAUCAAUAUGUCACUCUAAAGAAGAAAGGAGGGGUCGGCGACUGUGGCUGCGAUUGGAGAUGUGGUGAAGAGGCUGAGGGGCAAGACCAAAUCGAAGAUUGACGAUAAGCGUGAUGCGGCAUCUAUCGCGGCAAGGCUUCCCGGCGGCCGCCUGACGCUCGAAGAUGAUCCUCUCUGCCUUCUCCUGCGCCGCGCGCGGUGCGGCCGUGGCCACUGAGGACAUGGGCUGGGGGAAAGGACGGCGAUCGUUAGAGGCGUCGUCGUUGGCGGCUACGGCGAUCUCGUCGAGGGAACGUUCCUCGCGGUACCUGCCAUCUCCCCGUCGAGGCAGCGAAGACGGCGCUUGGGCGUCUCUGAUGUCAUGACGGAGCGGUCUAGGGCCCAGGCGUACGCCAGCGGCGGGACAUCGGAGUCCGUGAACUGGGAUCGACGUGCGGCGUUGCGCCUGUCCCACCGACGCUGCUCCCAGUCAACGUACUCCUACGCCGUCAUGGCGCUCUGGGACGAUGACGAGGAGCCGCCGCUACAGAGGUAGUGCAGAAGGCGCCCGUGCGCCUUAGGCAGGGGCGACGGCGAGCGACUCUCCUCCUUGACGAAGCACCGGGGCGGUGGCGAGCAAUGCUCCUCCUUCACACGCCGGGGCGACGGCUAUGACGGCGGGAGCCGCUCCUCCUUGACGCGCCGGGGCGGCGGUGAGAGCCGCUCCUCCUUGACGCGUCGGGGCGGCGGCGAGAGCCGCUUUUGUUGGGGAACGUAGCAGAAAUUCAAAAUUUUCUACGCAUCACCAAGAUCAAUCUAUGGAGUAAUCUAGCAACGAGGGGAAGGGGAGUAAAUCUACAUACCCUUGUAGAUCGCGAUGCGGAAGCGUUGCAAGAACGCGGAUGAGGGAGUCGUACUCGUAGCGAUUCAGAUCGCGGUUGAUUCCGAUCUAAGCACCGAAAGUACGGUGCCUCCGCGUUCAACACACGUGCAGCCCGGUGACGUCUCCCACGCCUUGAUCCAGCAAGGAGAGAGGGAGAGGUUGGGAAGACUCCAUCCAGCAGCAACACGACGGCAUGGUGGUGGUGGAUGAGCGUGGCAAUCCCGCAGGGCUUCGCCAAGCACCGCGGGAGAGGAGGAGGAGGGAGAGGGGUAGGGCUGCACCAAAAGGAGACGUUCUCAUGUCUAUGGCAGCCCAAAACCUCAAUAUAUAUAGGGGAGGGGUGAGGGCUGCGCCCCCAUCUAGGGUUUCCCACCUCAAGGGGUGCGGCUAGCCCUAGAUGGGGCUUGGGGGGCGGCCAAAGGGGGGAGGAGUGCCUCCCAAGUCAAGUGGAGGCCCUCCCCCUUAGGGUUUCCCCUCUCCCAUGCGCAUGGGCCUUGGGGGGGCUGGUGCCCCUGGCCUAUUAAGGCUAGGGCGCCCCCUUACAGCCCAUGCUACUGUAUUGGACGUGGUGGAACAUUUUCCGGACCUCCGGACCCCUCCGGAAUCCUCCGGAAUCUUCUGGAAGCUUCCCGGUACAAUACCGAAAAAACCCGAACUUUUCCCGGAACCCGAACAACAACUUUCCAUAUAUAAAUCUUUACCUCCGGACCAUUCCGGAACUCCUCGUGACGUCCGGGAUCUCAUCCGGGACUCCGAACAACAUUCGGUAACCACGUACAUGCUUUCCCUAUAACCCUAGCGUCAUCGAACCUUAAGUGUGUAGACCCUACGGGUUCGGGAACCAUGCAGACAUGACCGAGACGUUCUCCGGUCAAUAACCAACAGCGGGAUCUGGAUACCCAUGUUGGCUCCCACAUGUUCCACGAUGAUCUCAUCGGAUGAACCACGAUGUCGGGGAUUCAAUCAAUCCCGUAUUCAAUUCCCUUUGUCCAUCGAUAUGUUACUUGCCCGAGAUUCGAUCGUCGGUAUCCCUAUACCUUGUUCAAUCUCGUUACCGGCAAGUCUCUUUACUCGUUCCGUAACUCACAUCAUCCCGUGAUCAACUCCUUGGUCACAUUGUGCACAUAAUGAUGAUGUCCUACCGAGUGGGCCCAGAGAUACCUCUCCGUUUACACGGAGUGACAAAUCCCAGUCUCGAUUCGUGCCAACCCAACAGACACUUUCGGAGAUACCCGUAGUGCACCUUUAUAGCCACCCAGUUACGUUGUGACGUUUGGCACACCCAAAGCAUUCCUACGGUAUCCGGGAGUUGCACAAUCUCAUGGUCUAAGGAAGUGAUACUUGACAUUAGAAAAGCUCUGAGCAAACGAACUACACGAUCUUGUGCUAGGCUUAGGAUUGGGUCUCGUCCAUCACAUCAUUCUCCUAAUGAUGUGAUCCCGUUAUCAACGACAUCCAAUGUCCAUGGUCAGGAAACCGUAACCAUCUAUUGAUCAACGAGCUAGUCAACUAGAGGCUUACUAGGGACAUGGUGUUGUCUAUGUAUCCACACAUGUAUCUGAGUUUCCUAUCAAUACAAUUCUAGCAUGGAUAAUAAACGAUUAUCAUGAACAAGGAAAUAUAAUAAUAACCUAUUUAUUAUUGCCUCUAGGGCAUAUUUCCAACAGUCUCCCACUUGCACUAGAGUCAAUAAUCUAGUUCACAUCACCAUGUGAUUAACACUGACAGGUCACAUCACCAUGUGACCAACACCCAAGAGUUUACUAGAGUCAACAAUCUAGCUCACAUCUCUAUGUGAUUAACACUCAAUGAGUUCUGGUUUGAUCAUGUUAUGCUUGUGAGAGAGGUUAUUAGUCAACGGGUCUGAACCUUUCAGAUUCGUGUGUGCUUUACGAAUAUCUAUGUCAUCUUUGUGGAUGCUACCACGCGCUAUUUGGAGCCAUUUCAAAUAAUUGCUCUACUAUAUGAAUCCGGUUUACUACUCAGAGUCAUCCGGAUUAGUGUCAAAGUUCGCAUCGACGUAACCCUUUACGACGAACUCCUUUCCACCUCCAUAAUCGAGAAAAUUCCUUAGUCCACUAGGUACUAAGGAUAUGUUCGACCGCUGUCAUGUGAUCCAUUCCCGGAUCACUAUUGUACCCCUUGACCAACUCAUGGCAAGGCACACUUCAUGUGUGGUACACAGCAUAGCAUACUGUAGAGCCUACGUCUAAAGCAUAGGGGACGACCUUCGUCCUUUCUCUCUCUUCUGCUGUGGUCAGGUCUUGAGUCUUACGCAAUACUCACACCUUGUAACACAGCCAAGAACUCCUUCUUUGCUGAUCUAUUUUGAACUCUUUCAAAAUCAUGUCAAGGUGUGCGUUCUUUGAAAGUAUCAUCGGGCGUCUUGAUCUAUCUCUAUAGAUCUUGAUGCCCAAUAUGUAAGUAGCUUUUAUCCAGGUCUUCCUUUGAAAAACUCCUUUCAAACAACCCUUUAUGCUUUCCAGAAAUUUUACAUCAUUUCGGAUCAACAAUAUGUCAUUCACAUAUACUUAUCAGAAAUGUUGUAGCGCUCCCACUCACUUUAUUGGAAAUACAAAUUUCUCAUAAACUUUGUAUAAAUCCAAAAUCUUUGAUCAUCUCAUCAAAGCGUACAUUCCAACUCCGAGAUGCUUACUCCAGUCCUUAGAAGGAUCGCUGGAGCUAGCAUACCUUUUAGCAUCCUUAGGAUCGACAAAACCUUUCUGAUUGUAUCACAUACAACCUUUCCUUACGAAAACUGGUAAGGAAACUUGUUUUGACAUCCAUCUGCCAGAUUUCAUAAAUGCAGCUAAUGCCUACAUGAUUCCGACGGACCCAAGCAUCACUGCGGAUGAGCAAAUCUCAUCGUAGUCAACUCCUUGAACUUGUGGAAAUACUCUUUGCCACAAGUCGAGCUUCAUAGACGGUAACAUUACCGUCCACGUCCGUCUUCUUCUCAAAGUUCCAUUUAUCUCGGAUUUCAUGGCUUCUAACCAUUUGUCGGAAUAUGGGCCCACCAUCGCUUCUCCAUAGCUCAUAGGUUCAUCGUUGUCCAACAACAUGACUUCCAAGACAGGAUCACGUACUACUCUGAAGUAUUACGCAUCCUCGUCGUCCUACGAGGUUUGGUAGUGACUUGAUCCGAAGUUUCAUGAUCACCAUCAUAAGCUUCCACUUCAAUUGGUGUAGGUGCCACAGGAACAACUUCCUGUGCCCUGCUACACACUAGUUGAAGUGACGGUUCAAUAACCUUAUCAAGUCUCCACCAUCCUCCCACUCAAUUCUUUUGAGAGAAACUUUUCCUCGAGAAAGGACUCAUUUCUAGAAACAAUUACUUUUGCUUCCAGAUCUGAAAUAGGAGGUACACCCAACUGUUUUGGGUUUUCUAUGAAGAUGUAUUUAUCCGCUUUGGGUUCGAGCUUAUCAGCUUGAAACUUUUUCACAUAAGCUGCGCAGCCCCAAACUUUUAAGAAACGACAACUUAGGUUUCUCUAAACGGUGUCGUCUCAACGGAAUUGCGUGGUGCCCCUUUUAAAGUGAAUGCGGUUGUCUCUAAUGCCUAACCCAUAAACGAUAGUGGUAAUUUGAUAAGAAACAUCAUGGUAUGCACCAUAUCCAAUAGGGUGCAGUUAUGAUGUUCGGACACACCAUCACACUAUGGUGUUCCAGGCGGUAUUAAUUGUGAAACACUUUCCACAAUGUCUCAAUUGUGUGCCAAACUCGUAUCUCAGAUACUCAUCUCUAUGAUCAUAUCACAGACAUUUUAUCCUCUUGUUACGACGAUCUUCAACUUCACUCUGAAAUUACUUGAACCUUUCAAUAAUUCAGACUAGUGUUUCAUCAAGUAAAUACACUCAGCAUCUACUCAAAUCAUCUGUGAAGUAAGAACAUAACGAUAUCCAUUGCAUGCCUCAGCACUCAUUGGACUGUAUACAUCAAAAUGUAUUACUUCCAAUAAGUUGCUCUCUUGUUCCAUCUUACUGAAAACGAGGACUUUCAGUCAUCUUGCCCAUGUGGUAUGAUUCGCAUGUCUCAAGUGAUUCAAAAUCAAGUGAGUCGAAACGAUCCAUCUUCAUGGAGUUUCUUCAUGCAUAUAUACCAAUAGACAUGGUUCGCAUGUCUCAAUCUUUUCAAAAACGAGCGAGUCCAAAGAUCCAUCUACAUGGAGCUUCUUCAUGCGUUUUAUACCAAUAUGACUCAAGUUGCAGUGCCACAAGUAUGUGGUACUAUCAUUACUAUUUUACAUCUUUUGGCACGAACAUGUGUAUCACUACAAUCGAGAUUUAUUUUAGGUGCAAGACCAUUGAAAGUAUUAUUCAAAUAAGCAGAGUAACCAUUAUUCUCCUUAAAUGAAUAACCGUAUUGCGAUAAACAUAAUCCAAUCAUGCUCAACGCAAACACCAAAUCUCGAUGGUAGAGGGAGCAUGCGAUGCUUGAUCACAUCAACCUUGGAAACAUUUCCAACACAUAUCGUCAUCUCACCUUUAGCUAGUCUCCAUUUAUUCCACAGCUUUUAUUUCGAGUUACUAACACUUAGCAACCGAACCAGUAUCUAAUACCCUGGUGCUACUAGGAGUACUAGUAAAGUACACAUUCAUCUAACGUAUAUCCAAUAUACUUCUGUCGACCUUGCCUGCCUUCUCAUCUACCAAGUAUCUAGGGUAGUACUGCUUCAGUGACCGUUCCUCUUAUUACAGAAGCACUUAGUCUCGGGUUUGGGUUCAACCUUGGGAUUCUUCACUAGAGCAGCAAACGACUUGUUGUUUCAUGAAGUAUCCCUUUUUCCCUUGCCCUUCUUAAACUAGUGGUUUUAUUAACCAUCAACAAUUGAUGCUCCUUCUUGAUUUCUACAUUCGCGGUGUCAAACAUCGCGAGUUGCUCAAGGAUCAUCAUCUAUCCUUGAUAUGUUAUAGUUCAUCACGAAGCUCUAAUAGCUUGGUGGCAGUGACUAUGGAGAACCAUCACUAUCUCAUCUGGAAGAUAAACUCCCACUCGAUUCAAGCGAUUGUGGCACUCAGACAAUCUGAGCACAUGCUCAACGAUUGAGCUUUUCUCCCUUAGUCUUCAGGCUUAAGAAACUUGUCAGAGGUCUCAUACCUCUUGACGUGGGCACUAGUCUGAAAUCCCAAUUUCAGUCUUCGGAACAUCUCAUAUGUUCUGCGACGUUUCAAAACGUCUUUGGUGCCACAAUUCUAAACCGUUAGCAUUACGCACUGAACUAUCACGUAGUUAUCAAAACGUGUAUGUCAGAUGUUCCGCAACAUCUACAGACGACGCUGAGGUUCAGCACACCGAGCGGUGCAUUAAGGACAUAAGCCUUCUGUGCAGCAAUGAGGACAAUCCUCAGUUUACGGACCCAGUCCGCAUAAUUGCUACUACCAACUUUCAACUAAAUUUUUCUCUAGGAACAUAUCUAAACCAGUAGAACUUAAAGCGCAAGUUAUGACAUAAUUUGCAAAUACCUUUUUGACUAUGUUCAUGAUAAUGAAGUUCAUCUGAUUAUGAACUCCCACUCAGAUAGACAUCCCUCUAGUCAUCUAAGUGAAACAUGAUCCGAGUUCAACUAGGCCGUGUCCGAUCAUCACGUGAGACGGACUAGUCAAGAUCGGUGAACAUCUCCAUGUUGAUCGUAUCUUCUAUACGACUCAUGCUCGACCUUUCGGUCCUCCGUGUUCCGAGGCCAUGUCUGUACAUGCUAGGCUCGUCAAGUCAACCUAAGUGUAUUGCGUGUGUGCCGAGGCCAUGUCUGUACAUGCUAGGCUCGUCAACACCCGUUGUAUUCGAACGUAAGAAUCUAUCACACCCGAUCAUCACGUGGUGCUUCGAAACGACGAACCUUCGCAACGGUGCACAGUUAGGGUGAACACUUUCUUGAAAUUAUUAUAAGGGAUCAUCCUACUUGCUAUCGUCGUUCUAAGCAAAUAAGAUGCAAAAACAUGAUAAACAUCACAUGCAAUCAAAUAGUGACAUGAUAUGGCCAAUAUCAUCAUGCUCCUUUGAUCUCCAUCUUCGGGGCACCAUGAUCAUCUUUGUCACCGGCAUGACACCAUGAUCUCCAUCAUCAUGAUCUCCAUCAUUGUGUCUUCAUGAAGUCGUCACGCCAACGAUUACUUCUACUUCUAUGGCUAACGCGUUUAGCAACAAAGUAAAGUAAUUUACAUGGCGUUAUUCAAUGACACGCAGGUCAUACAAAAUAAUAAAGACAACUCCUAUGGCUCCUGCCGGUUGUCAUACUCAUCGACAUGCAAGUCGUGAUUCCUAUUACAAGAAUAUGAUCAAUCUCAUACAUCAUAUAUAUCAUUCAUCACAUCUUCUGGCCAUAUCACAUCACAUAGCACUUGCUGCAAAAACAAGUUAGAUGUCCUCUAAUUGUUGUUGCAAGUUUUUACGUGGUUUGUAGGUUUCUAGCAAGAACGUUUCUUACCUACGUAUGACCACAACGUGAUUUGCCAAUUUCCAUUUACCCUUCAUAAGGACCCUUUUCAUCGAAUCCGUUCCGACUAAAGUGGGAGAGACAGACACCCGCUAGCCACCUUAUGCAACUAGUGCAUGUCAGUCGGUGGAACCUGUCUCACGUAAGCGUACGUGUAAGGUCGGUCCGGGCCGCUUCAUCCCACAAUGCCGCCGAAACAAGAUAAGACUAGUAGCGGCAAGAAGAAUUGACAACAUCGACGCCCACAACUACUUUGUGUUCUACUCGUGCAUAGAAACUACGCAUAGACCUAGCUCAUGAUGCCACUGUUGGGGAACGUAGCAGAAAUUCAAAAUUUUCUACGCAUCACCAAGAUCAAUCUAUGGAGUAAUCUAGCAACGAGGGGAAGGGGAGUAAAUCUACAUACCCUUGUAGAUCGCGAUGCGGAAGCGUUGCAAGAACGCGGAUGAGGGAGUCGUACUCGUAGCGAUUCAGAUCGCGGUUGAUUCCGAUCUAAGCACCGAAAGUACGGUGCCUCCGCGUUCAACACACGUGCAGCCCGGUGACGUCUCCCACGCCUUGAUCCAGCAAGGAGAGAGGGAGAGGUUGGGAAGACUCCAUCCAGCAGCAACACGACGGCAUGGUGGUGGUGGAUGAGCGUGGCAAUCCCGCAGGGCUUCGCCAAGCACCGCGGGAGAGGAGGAGGAGGGAGAGGGGUAGGGCUGCACCAAAAGGAGACGUUCUCAUGUCUAUGGCAGCCCAAAACCUCAAUAUAUAUAGGGGAGGGGUGAGGGCUGCGCCCCCAUCUAGGGUUUCCCCCCUCAAGGGGUGCGGCUAGCCCUAGAUGGGGCUUGGGGGGCGGCCAAAGGGGGGAGGAGUGCCUCCCAAGUCAAGUGGAGGCCCUCCCCCUUAGGGUUUCCCCUCUCCCAUGCGCAUGGGCCUUGGGGGGGCUGGUGCCCCUGGCCUAUUAAGGCUAGGGCGCCCCCUUACAGCCCAUGCUACUGUAUUGGACGUGGUGGAACAUUUUCCGGACCUCCGGACCCCUCCGGAAUCCUCCGGAAUCUUCUGGAAGCUUCCCGGUACAAUACCGAAAAAACCCGAACUUUUCCCGGAACCCGAACAACAACUUUCCAUAUAUAAAUCUUUACCUCCGGACCAUUUCGGAACUCCUCGUGACGUCCGGGAUCUCAUCCGGGACUCCGAACAACAUUCGGUAACCACGUACAUGCUUUCCCUAUAACCCUAGCGUCAUCGAACCUUAAGUGUGUAGACCCUACGGGUUCGGGAACCAUGCAGACAUGACAGAGACGUUCUCCGGUCAAUAACCAACAGCGGGAUCUGGAUACCCAUGUUGGCUCCCACAUGUUCCACGAUGAUCUCAUCGGAUGAACCACGAUGUCGGGGAUUCAAUCAAUCCCGUAUUCAAUUCCCUUUGUCUAUCGGUAUGUUACUUGCCCGAGAUUCGAUCGUCGGUAUCCCUAUACCUUGUUCAAUCUCGUUACCGGCAAGUCUCUUUACUCGUUCCGUAACUCACAUCAUCCCGUGAUCAACUCCUUGGUCACAUUGUGCACAUAAUGAUGAUGUCCUACCGAGUGGGCCCAGAGAUACCUCUCCGUUUACACGGAGUGACAAAUCCCAGUCUCGAUUCGUGCCAACCCAACAGACACUUUCGGAGAUACCCGUAGUGCACCUUUAUAGCCACCCAGUUACGUUGUGACGUUUGGCACACCCAAAGCAUUCCUACGGUAUCCGGGAGUUGCACAAUCUCAUGGUCUAAGGAAGUGAUACUUGACAUUAGAAAAGCUCUGAGCAAACGAACUACACGAUCUUGUGCUAGGCUUAGGAUUAGGUCUUGUCCAUCACAUCAUUCUCCUAAUGAUGUGAUCCCGUUAUCAACGACAUCCAAUGUCCAUGGUCAGGAAACCGUAACCAUCUAUUGAUCAACGAGCUAGUCUCCUAGAGGCUUACUAGGGACAUGGUGUUGUCUAUGUAUCCACACAUGUAUCUGAGUUUCCUAUCAAUACAAUUCUAGCAUGGAUAAUAAACGAUUAUCAUGAACAAGGAAAUAUAAUAAUAACCUAUUUAUUAUUGCCUCUAGGGCAUAUUUCCAACAGCUUUUUCUUAACGUGGUGUCCGAUUUGGAUGUCGCGGCUACGCGGCGGCGGAGAGAGUGGAGGGGAUGUCGGCUCCGGCUUCACAGCGAGGGCUGCCGAGAGGCCGCGUCGGCCAGCGCCGCCCCUCCCUCCCUCCCUCCAGUCACAUCGCGUCAUCAAUUCCGGCCUCUGCAUGCUCUGGGCCGGUAUGUAUGCGGCGCGGUAAGCGGUGCGUGCAUCGGAAGGAAAGUGCGGGAGAGGCGGGUGACGAGUUUUUGGUGGGACAGGGCGGUUAGAAGCGGGCUUGAGAGCGGUCCGGACUUUCGCAAACCUCCCCCAUUUUUAUCUCCGGUUUGCACGAGAAAUCGCAUCCGGACCACCCCGCGGAUCAAUACAGGUCGGCGUUGCAUAGCUUCCACGGUCCGGACAGCGCAGUUCGAAAGGUUAUAGGAGGUUUGAGGGUCAGCGUUGAAGAUGCCUUAGAAUGUGGCUGGAUAAUCACCUUUUCCUUUUGUUUAACCAUGUUCAUCUUAUUCCAAUCAUGGCAGAGGCACCGACCUGACACUGUGAAGCAGUGGGGUUUUCCUUCUUUUUGGACCCAAUAUGGAAUUGCAAGGUUCUGUUUUGUUUAUUAUAUAAGGAUUCUUUAAUAAUGCAACGAGGGGUGUGGGCCAGGCUGGAGUUGACUGGCAGGAGACGCCUUUUCCACCCACCCACCCACAGCCACCCUGGCGCCUACUUGUUUACUCGCCGCAUCAUGUGAUUUUUUUGCAUAUAUGUAUUCUCCAUGCUUAUUUAAUCUUGCCAUGUUAUGUGCAGAUAAAAGACAUUCUUCGCGAUCAGCUUUUAUAUCACCGCAUAAUUUAGGUAUGCUCACUUGGAUUGGAUUGGGAGAUUGGUUUUGACAGCUAAUUUGGGGAGAGAGAGAGAGGGAGGGAGGCGUUGGUGGUGUUGGGAUGAGCUGUCUGAGCAGCAUUGAUGCUCCCCACUCUGACACCCUCCACCUGCACUGUCUCCCAUGGCUCCACAUCCCCCCUUGUUUCACACCACUCCAACGAUGCAUCCUGCCCCAUGUGAAAAGCACGCCAGAAAUUAAUGGCUGUGCGUUCCAUAUUUCACCAACUUUUCCCUCGUUGCAUGCUCCAAUCUCAAACGAAUAGCCAUAUAGCCUCCUGUGCAAAAUGCACACCAAACAUCAGGAGUUUGCCACCUAUACUAGGCCAAAAGAUAUAGGGUAAAAAAAGAAUUUCAAAUUUUUGGGUGAGCAUGAAAGACCGAGUCUGCGUGGGUGCACAUGUGUGUGUGGGACUUUCUGAGGCUUUUUGCUGCGCUUGGCGCAAAGAGGAAAAAGGCAGCGGAGGCCGCUCCAUUUCCCUUCCUCCGCUCGCUCUUUGUGUACACAUCCAUCCAUCCGUCACCCCAAGCGAGGCCCCACGCCCACUUUGGACCAACUCCGCCUCCAAAUCCAAAUCAUUAGAAAAGACUACAAAGGAGCAAACGAAAAAAGGGUGGGAAAAGGUGGCACCACCAUCGUCCUACAUUGCAUGCUCUCAGUAGUCAGGAUCCCAACGUACCACCACGGAUUUUACAGGUUUAUGACCAUAUUUUGAUCUUCCUUUAAUGCAAAGGAUUUUUGAAUGAUUUUGUCUGUGUUGGUCAUUUGAUUCGUAGGAUUGGAUUUUCUUACAGAUUACUUUGUACACAUUUCAUCAUGUGUUUUCCUCUUUAUCUGUUUUGACAAUCAUGCAAAUCAAAUACUCCCUCCUUUCUGGUUUAUAGGGCUCAAUUCAAAAAUCUCAUCAACCAAGGUAAAUGGUGAGUGGUGGAAUACUUUUUGUAAUUUGCAAAAGCACCCAAUUAAUGCUCUUGUUUUUCUCAAAAAAUUAUGUUUACCAAUGUAUUAAUUGCAAUGAAUGCAUGCAUAAAGUACAUGCAUUGGUCAAUUUUCUCUUAAUACUUGCAUGCAAUGAUUUAAUGCACCCUGGUAUCUGAACUUGUGAUAGGGAACAACCAAAUUAAGCCUUAUAAAAUGGAAAAACUAAGAUUUUGAGAUAAGCCCUAUAAACCGGAAAAGAGGGAGUAGGCACUAAAUUUCAUGACACCAUACAACCGCGCCGAGAACUAAAUGAGUAGAGUAUGGAUGAAUUUGGACGCCCGUGUAUUAUCGGCAUGUUUGACUACCUUUAUUAAGUAAGCACGUUUCGUUUGGCUAUAUCUGGGUUUUCUUUUCUUUUUUUGAGAAGGAGGAUGACCCCGGUUUCUGCGGUCAUUUUAUUAAUUAUUCAUCAAGUCUGGCUAUAUGUGGUGGAACAAACAUUUUAUUUAGGACAUGGCAAUUUAUUGAUGGAGGGUGCGCUCGACGUAAUAUUACUUUCAUUUACUAUAUUUUGUCGGACACACACAAGGUUUACAUUGUCGCGAUGAAUGUUUUAACUUUGUACUCUCUCCGUCCCAAAAUUCUUGUCUUACAUUUGUCUAGAUACGGAUAUAUCUAAUACUAAGACGUGACUUGAUACAUUCGUAUUUAGACAAAUCUAAGACAAGAAUUUUAGGACGGAUGGAGUAUUCGCUAUGUCUAUAAUCUGUUCAUUAAUUGGACAUAAUCAGCCACCUGCCAUCGACGAAUCAAUUGAAAAAUUCGAAUUAUGGGGCAACAAAAGUGGAAAUGUGCUGGCAGGAAAAAAUGGGAAAUGUGGAAAAGGAAAGGAGACGCCAGUCCCCAAUAUCUUCUCUAGGGUUUAUAGAAUCAUGGAAAAGGGCCAUAAACAAUACCCAAGGGAAACCCCACCCCCUCCCCUCUCCCCUUCCCUGUCUGUCUGUCUGUCUGUCUCCAUCCAUCCUUCUCUCCCCUCCUCCGCCCCCGCUCCCCUGCGCCUCCUGCCCUCCUCCCAACCCCACCCGGCCACCACCUCGCCCCACCCUGCGUGCCCGGCACGUGCUCCUCUCCCUCUUCAACCCUAACUCCGGUGACUACCCGAGCGCGUGCGCGCGGACCACCGGCCAGGCCAAAGGAGCCGCCUUUUCAUUUCUGCCUUCUCGGGAGGGAGGGAAGGAGGGAGGGUUCUCGGGGACGCGCAUGGACCAUGGCGGCGGCAGCGGUGGGGGUGGAAGUGGAGGCGGGGGCGGAGCGCCGUCGAGCAGCAACAGCGGCGGGGGGAGCGCCGGAGGUACGAGCGGAAGCCGUGGCGGCGGCAGCGAUCACCAUCCGCACCACCCAUUCUACUACGCUGGCCCAGCGGAGCCCAACAACGUGCAGCAGCAGCCGCAGCCGCAGCAGUUCAUUGGGUCGCUCGCCAUAACCCCCGUCGUCACCGACCAAGCCCCGGCUUCCUCGGCGGAAAAGAAGGCGGUCGCGCCAGUGACUCCAUCGGCCGGCGCACUGGCGAAGCGGCCAUCCAAGGACCGGCACACCAAGGUGGAUGGCCGGGGAAGGAGGAUACGGAUGCCGGCUCUGUGCGCGGCGCGGGUUUUCCAGCUCACGCGGGAGCUCGGCCACAAGUCCGACGGCGAGACCAUCGAGUGGCUGCUGCAGCAGGCGGAGCCAGCCAUCCUCGCCGCCACCGGCACCGGCACCAUCCCGGCCAACUUCUCCUCCCUCAACAUCAGUCGCGCGGCCUCCGGCACCAGCCGCCCCGCGCCAUUCCCCGCCCUCGCGCUCCACCCCCACCACCACCACCACCAGUCGCCGCACCCUCAGCACGACAUGUCCACCAUGCUGGGUUACCACCACCUGCUCCCGCCGCCGCAGGAGCCGCCCCAGGACGCAAAUAGUCCCGGCUCGUUCAUGAGGAAGCGGUACCGAGAGGACCUGUUCAAGGAGGACGACGAGCGGCAAGAUCCUAACGCGCCCAAGGCGCGCGAGCAGCAGGCGGCGCCGCCCGCCGCAAUGUGGGCCGUGGCGCCGAACAGCGCGGCGCCUGGAGGCGCGUUCUGGAUGUUGCCCGUGUCCGCGAGCCAGGCUGCCGCGGCUCGGCCGACCGAGCAGCCUAUGUGGUCUUUCGGCGGCGGCGGGGGGAGCAGCACCGUGCAGGCGCCGCUGCAGUUCAUGUCAACAAGGGUGAACUACCCUGGCAGCGCCGGCGCGAUGGGCGGCAUUCCCGACACCAACAUCGGCAUGCUUGCUGGGCUCAAUGCUUACGACCGCGGCGGCGGGGGCGGAGGAGGUACGGAAGAAGAGCAGCAGCAGCAGCAGGAGCAAGACCAGCAACAGGAAAUGGAGCAGCAGCGCGACGGCAGCGGCGGUGGCAACGAGGGCGAAGAGGACGGCGACGACGACAGCGGCGGAGAAGAGGAAGGCCAUGGCAACAACAGCUCACAGUAAGCUCGCAUGAUGAAAAACUCUGAAUCCACCAUGAUCAUAUCGCAAUCGUGCUAGUGGGGUGGGCUAGAAUCGAAUCCUGGGAUUGCCUGAGGCCAUCAUUGGACUGCUCACUGCUGGGUUAAGAAGAAGAUUGGAGAAAUGGAUGAUGGGAAGGAAGAAAGCAACUGAAUGCAAGAACAAGACUUCUUGCUAGUCCUUAGGCCUCGUUAUUUUUGGUGGUAUUUUUUUGUCUGUUUAUUUUAUUUUCCUUGUUGGAUGGAUUGAUCCGUGAUGAAUGAUUGGCAUGUUUAGAUGGGUGCGAUGAUUGGUAGUGGUAGUGGGUCCCGACUCAGGAGGGGCCAGGAGGAAGAAACCAGUUUUAUUUGUACAGUUGAUCAUCUUGAUUUGUGCUGCAACUUCAAUUCUUGUUUUAUCUUUCACCAUUGUUUUCAUGUGCUCUAGUUGCACUAGCACAAUUUUAUUCCAGGUAUUUUUGUGUGCUCGUGUCUCUUGCUGUUGUACGAGGGGCAAUGAUCCUGCUUUUGUACAUGCGCUUGCCAAGUCAAUCUGCGGCUCCAAUUGUAGCAGGUGCAGCUAACAGGAGAAACAUAUUUCCUCUCAUUUGUAGAAGUAGUAACAUCUGUAGCCAUCUGCUGGUCACUUUUUAAAUAGAAUUAUAUCACCGCGUCCAUUAAAACACGUGAAACUAGAAUUCAGAAAGUGGAUUAUAUCACAACCAUAGCACCAUUUGUAGCAAAUUCGUGCGUUUGAUGCAGACCCUUCGAAUUCUUAUUUUUAAAUACAAUACAAUCGCAGACGCUCAUAUACAUAUACAUUCAACCCUAUGAAUAUACACACAUACACCCACCUCUAUGGGUACCUCCCAGAUACUGGGGCAGCACAAUAUUUUGAGCAUUGUUUUAAUGGCGUAUUGCAUUUUAUGGCGAGCGGCCCCCCUUUAUAGCAUUAUAGCGACGCCAUAAAGGUAUUGCGAGCCUGGGUCUGUAUGGCGAUUGACCCCCUUCACACCUAUAUAUCGUCGCUAUAGCGACGAGAUACAGACGCCUUUAAAACAAUGAUUUUGAGAUUGAUGAAGUCAUCAUAGACUCGUCGUAGUUGAUGAGAGCGUCUCCUUCAAAGACCAUCUCCAGAAAAUUUAGAAUAAAUGAAGGAAUGUGUCAAGUCUAGAACUUAUCCUGAUGGGUUAGUUUCACCACAAGGAAUNNNNNNNNNNNNNNNNNNNNNNNNNNNNNNNNNNNNNNNNNNNNNNNNNNNNNNNNNNNNNNNNNNNNNNNNNNNNNNNNNNNNNNNNNNNNNNNNNNNNNNNNNNNNNNNNNNNNNNNNNNNNNNNNNNNNNNNNNNNNNNNNNNNNNNNNNNNNNNNNNNNNNNNNNNNNNNNNNNNNNNNNNNNNNNNNNNNNNNNNNNNNNNNNNNNNNNNNNNNNNNNNNNNNNNNNNNNNNNNNNNNNNNNNNNNNNNNNNNNNNNNNNNNNNNNNNNNNNNNNNNNNNNNNNNNNNNNNNNNNNNNNNNNNNNNNNNNNNNNNNNNNNNNNNNNNNNNNNNNNNNNNNNNNNNNNNNNNNNNNNACCCCAUCCUCCCCUCGCAUGAACAAAAAGGCUUUGCUAGUUCAGGGCUUUACUAACAAGGUGGGAGCGGAAGUGUUGGGAUAUCCUCCUCACGUGGGCUGUGAGAAGAUGACCAUUGUAGACUUAUAGGCAGCCCAAAGAUGUGCAAAAGCCCACUACCCACUAGGUUAUGACCUUAGGAUGGGGAUGUUUUAUCCUUCAUCCAGCAAUCACCACGAUGAGUGACGAAAAUCGGAUCAGCCUCCAUUAGAGAAGAAGAGAGAAAUGGAAAGAGAGGAAGGUUGAAAGAAGAAGCAAAGAGAGCUUCUCCCCAAGGUUGUGAUGGUACAAAUCUACUACCUUGUCUUCUUCAAGCUGCGGCUCCACCAUCUUUGAUGAGAUUAUUCCAAUCCCUAGCUCUUGAGCCUCAAAUCUCUUUUUUCUAGAAUAUGCACGGGUGUGCAUAUCAUAUAUUAAUAGGAGAAAAGGGGUGAAGAGCCGUCCAGCAAAGUUUACAUAAAGUUACAAAGUUGCACUGGGCAGCAACCACCUCUCAUCUAGCCUAGGGAACUACUCGCCACUCUUCCACGUAGUGAGGCCAUCGAAGAAGAAAUCAAGAUCCCCUCGUAGAAGGCUAGAUGCUUUUCAUGUCUUCCCCCGCGCUCAAUUUUUGUGAUGGCCUUUAGCAACGAUGGAGUAGCGCCAUCAAAUACCAUGAUGUUGCGGUGCUUCCACAACUCCAAAAGAGUUAAUUAAGGAUCGCCUUCAGAUCAUUCUUUGAGCAUCCCUUGCAACUCCUCGUAGCGCACCACCCUAUGACCUCGCCAUUCACGGUUAGCACCUGAUCGAGUCUACCCAAGACAUUCCAGACCCAAGACCAAAUUGUCCUAGCGAAGACACACGUGGGUAGGAUAUGCCCAGUUGUCUCCUCGUGCUGAUCACAAAGAGGGCAAGCCGCUUGAUGGGGUAGGUCGCGGCGUGCGUGUUUGUCGGACGUCCAACAACGAUUCCGCAUCACAAUCCAGGUGAAGAAACGGCAUUGCAGGGUUGCCUUAUGUCUCCAAACGAAAUCCGCAUAUGAAGCAACCUCCCUCCCGACAAUCUUGGCCGCGUAAGUUGAUCUGACAGAAAACAUUCCCGACGGCUCCCAUGCCCAAGUGAUGUCGAUGUCGCUCCCAUUAAGCUCAACUUGUGCAAUUCUUGGCCAUAAGUGCGGAUAUUCCUCCAUAGCUUGUGGGGUCAGAUUCGGCCCGAUGUCAUGUGCCCACAUGUUGCCAUGCAGGGCCAACAAAACUGUUCAUGAGCCUCUGAUCCUAGGUGCAACCAUAUCGUAAACAGCCGGCACCAAGUUGUGAAUACGGUAACCAUGCAACCAUUGGUCCUCCCAAAAGAUGUCGUUUCCAUUGCCCAGGUCAGCGAUCGUGGCCGCUUGGUAUUCCUUCGCUUCCUUGGACACGCAUAUGUCAAAUUCUCUCCAUGGUCUGUGAUCGUCCGUGCAUUCUAACUCUUGUUGUGUUCAUCCAAGAUUCAAAAAUCUUGAUGUAUGAGAUCCUCUAAUGCUAUCAAAAGAAAAACUUGUUGUAUCCCACAUUUAAUAAUAUUAGAAGAUCAUUUAGGUGGCUUCAGCUCGUGAUUUUCGCCCUUAAAUUUGGGGUUUUCCGCGCAAAAAAUCUGAUAAGCCAUCGAAGAGCCCUAAAAUUCUGUAGAAACCGCAAGUGUUUUUUUUUGGCAGAGGAAGUAUAGUCUUAUACUAUAUGUGUCGGACACAUUUUGCUGUAUCCGUUCAAGCACGAUCAAAGCAGACCCCUCAAGUUGGCACGAGUAUUCUCGAGCUCGUCAUUUCUCAUCAAGAUAAAUCCAAAAAGAACCCAACAUGUGUGAAAGAGCUCAGCAUAGCUGCAAGGAUAAUAACAUUCUCUAGAGGUGCGACAAAAAAGGAUCAGACCGAGAGACGUCGUCUUCGUGGGUGAGACCAGAUGGGAUUAAUUAAGCAUAUUUGAAUAAUUAAUCGAUAAACGAACCCGUCGCUAUCACCCUGGAUGGGUGGUGACUGGUGACAGAGGUUGGAUUAUAUCUACUUAAUUAAUAACUAGUUUAAUGCCCGUGUGUUGCUAUGGAUGAACCGAAAACAUAGUGAAGCACGAUUGUUUCAAUUCCUAUAACAACAAAUUAAUUAUUUCUUCCGCUUCUUUCUUCGUAGGCAUGGUCGUGUUUCUUUAACCACUCCCUCCUCACAUCAUAUCUUUGUCCUUACCCUUCCUUUCCCUUCACCUUUUUUGUCACCAUUGUGUUUGAACCCUCUUCAAAAUGUUGUGUUUUAUAUAUAUUAUGUUUUUAUCAAUUCAAAAUAUUAUUUUAAUAUCUUUUUUUGCAAUGAAUUAGUUGAAAUAAAACUUAAGCAAUUCCUCUCAUAACUAAAUGAAAGGAAACAUGAAUUACAUUGAGUACAGAAACAAAAGAACAAAAUCUUAUUUUCUGAUAAUUAGACCCUCUAAAACAACAUAUACUACCCCCAAUCAUAAAGAAAAUAAGAUAACAGAAGAGAUAUAGUUACUACAAAACACAUCUGACCUUCAGGUUACUUCAUAAAAUCUUAGUUCUAUAUCUGUCAAAUGACUCGGGAGGAGCAUCUUUGCGUUCAAACACUUCUCUGUGAAGAGGCAGCUUGAGUUCAAGGUUGUCCUCUUGGUUCCCAGGAGGAACCCUUUAACAUCCUUGAGAACAUAAAAAUCUUAACAAAGCAAGCACUAUGUGUGUUGUGCCUUCAUCAUGGACAAUUACAAACUGGAAAUUUUGAGCCAGGAUGAAUGCAAUAGAUAGUCUAAGCUCGUACAGCCCAAAAAGCAUAUGAUUUGGAUAACGUCCAAGUUUCAACAGUACCUUGAGCCUAAGACAUUCUUUCUACGUAUAGUUGAAGAUCAAAGCUGCAAGCAUGACUAAAAAUCGAGAGCGAUAUGAUGAGUUUGGAUUGACACGAACAUGAAGUAGGAUAAUCAACAUGGUUGGUUAACAUAAAACUAUGAUGAAUAUUACCAUCACACAAAAUAUGUAAAUAUGUCUGCAUUACUUAGGUUAUGAACAUCUUGUAGCAAAAUGGAACAUAGUGAAAGGUUCUUAUGUAUGUACGUGUUCGACGUCUUCCUCUCUCAUGCUCUCCCGUUUCCUUUUCUCCUACCCAAGUGUCUCCUUGCCAAUCUGUCAAAAAAGCAGCAGCUUAGUGACACGUCGAGAGCGGACAUCAGCCUUGAGGAAGUACUCGUCAAGCUCGAUAUUGACCGAUGCCCACCUUGAUUGAUGACGGCAGGCUGUGAGAACAUGUGACACACCCUGGCUCACCAAAUAUCGUUCCACCGCGGAAGUAGUUCUGCACACAUCAAGACUUCAGACACAAGAAUGAAUGUCAUAAAAAAUACCAGAAGAAGGUGCACAUAUAAAAGUGUAAAAAGGUAUAAGUAGGGAAAUAAUUGUGCGAUAGCUCUGCUGCUUUGAUGAGUGCUUAAGACAGUACACUACCAAAAUAAAACAGUUUAUGUGGCAAUUUGAUUGUCAGAGAAGUUUACAUGCUCAUAAUGUACCCUUCAAGAGAACUGGAAAUUGAGAGGUUACAUUAUUAAAAAAAAUAACUAUCACCCAUAUAGAUACAUAGAUCCGACAGAGCACAAUCAAAUCCCCCCAAAAAAUAAAAUUAUUGUCGCCAUAGGUGACAUACAAAAUGUCGAGAAAGCACAUAGCAAUGGUCAUUUUGGUAGGAAUCAAAAUAUGACACAUUAUUCAGAAAAAAAUUAUAAGCUCAAUGUGCAGGAAAAAUGAUACUAAUUUAUACAUGCACUUGAUAUGUGCACAGCAGGCUCCAUUUGAAAAUAAAGUCAUUUUUACAAUCCAGUUUCAUCUACCAGAUGGCAGAAGCCAUAUGUGUUUGACACUUUACUAAUCAUCUGUAAAUUUUGAAUGAUACCUUCAGGGCCUUGUGAUAAAAAAAGAGAUACUGAACAAUUGGCAUAGAUUCACCGAGGCAAGAGAUUAUCUAAUUAGCACCGUGAUUCUAAAACAAAAUGAUCAAAUUUUUAAUACCGCUCAAUAAGUAUUGCUUCAUCCCCAGAAAAAACCUCAAUUGCCUUUGCAAAAAGCAUGUCCGUAUGUGGAACUCUGUAGUGAAGCUUUGUCUGUCGUCGUGCAAAUUGUGUUGUCUCACCAGCUUGUAGGCCUUUUCCUGAAUAUGCAAAUUCUUUCUCAGACUGUAGAUUUACUCCAACCACAUGCUUCCGAGUUCCCUAGCAAAAAAAAACUACAGAAUACAUAACUUUGCAUCAUAGAAGUAUAAAGCUAUGAGAAGCAUUGUAGAGUACUCUCACUUCAAGCAAAUUAACAUCCACCGUAAUUCUUUCAAAUUUUUCUAAUGAUAUUAUCAUCCGUGUAGUUCUGUUACAAUAUCCAUAGUAUGUCGGCAGUCUGACAAUUAGUAUUCAGGUCCUAUAUACCAUCCAAGAAAAUGCAAACAUGUUUUUCUUCCUGCUGGUAGCAUGUUCCAUUGACUGUUCAAAGUAUAUAUCCUGUGAUGUUUGACUAUAUUUAGAAAAUAAUGCAUUGUCCUAGAUUGAGAUUAAUCAUGCUGUUACAUUGGCAAAUACAGUGUGUACACUGGGAUAUCUUUUCUAACAAUAGCGAAAAUAACAGAUAUUAUCGUGCAACAAUAGCAAUAAAGGAAUCCAAUUGAUCUCAUUGGCAUCCUCAUAUGAGUUGACGCUGUUCAUAACACAGUUUUACCCGAUGAUACUCAACUCAUGGGAGUCUAGGUAUCUUCAAUUUGUAAGCCUGCUCCAGGACGGGAUUCGGCGCUCAGCGCUUUUUUGGCCAUGUACAGGUUGCCUAAUAUGCCAAUUGAGCAGAGCACCACACGGAUGAAAAUCCCAUAUAGCAAAUUCUCACUCCAGAUAUGAGGGAUUCCUCGUGAUAACUACCACCACUAAUGGAAUGGUCUAAACAUGAUUAAGGUAGAAGAGACAACCAAACCUAAGGCUGGAGCCUAUAGCACGUGUCUGGAGACUCCUCGGACACUCUGCCGUUGGUCGAUGAUUGGCCAGUGCGUGCCCGAUCAAAGGGGAGAGGAGGCAGACGGGAGAGCGCACCAGUACGAAGGACUACGACCUCAUCUUCCUCUAUCAGUGAUUAGGCCAGCGCCACCGCUGGCCGCUCCUCCCUCUCUCUUUCUCUCCCCCUCUCUCUUCCAAGGCGGGCACAAGGGAUGGGAGGCAUCCCUCACCUUGAUCCAGAAGGCGUGCAUCAGCGGAUGGAUAGGUGGUGGGGCGACGAGCACAGCCGGCGGCGGCAGCGACUUUUCCUGGAGAGAGAUGGGAUCGGGAUUGGAACUGGGAGCGAGUUGGGAGUUGUGGGAGGCGAAGACAUGAGUACCUGUUAGCGACAGUUUUUCUCUCUCUCUGUAUUCGGUCGGGGAUGGGAGGAAGUGUGGGCUGGUUUCCGGGCCACGUCCUAUGCCGGGUGGGCAGCCUUUUUUACGAGCGGGAGAAAGAAACUAUCGAUCGUAGGUGGGAGUACGAGGUCGAACCAUCACGACGUUCGAUUCUCCUUUAAUAGUAGAGAUAUUGCCCGCCGCGUCAUCUUUCUCUUCUUUCUUCCGGCUCCUCCUGCAUGCGUGGAUCUCGAGGCGCGGCGGGCGUGCUGUGUUCGGCCCAGAUAUUUUGUUCGGCUCCGACUCCUCGUCACCACGCGCGUGGCUCUAGGUCAUGCUUGCUCUGCGUCCACGCUGUCGUCGUCGACAACAACCGACUGGUUAUCAAACACGAAAAUAAGGUCUCUUUCGAAGCCACUGUGCCAUGGCCACGAGUGGGUCGUACAUAAUUCUCUUCUUUUGGAAUUUCAAGGACCGAAUUCUAUAUGCCUAAACUGUGUUUUGUUAGAGCAUCUUUAAUUGGACCAGGCAAAUUUGGCCUUCCAUUUGUUCGCGGAAACAUUAAGACAGUGUCUGGGUGUAUCCGUUUUGAAUUCUCGGCUCUCGAUGCACAUAAUCAUGUCUUUCAAAUUAUCUAGGCACGUGCAUAUGAUUAGUGGGUGGAGAGAAAAAAUGAGAAGAAGGGAAAUAGAUAAAGUGGUUCUGAUGGGGCAUGGUUGAAUCAUUGACCCACCACUGGAGGGGGGUAGGUCUACCAUUCUUCACUAAAAAAAAUACACUUUCAUGAUGAUACGUGUUUGUCACAGAUAGGUCACGUUUUUUGCCAUGCAUGUACAUCCAUGACGAUUUUAUGACAGAAUUAAGAUAGUCAUACCUGCGCUGUCGUAGAAGUGUUUCAUGACCAAAAUUAUCAUCACGGAAGUGUCCACUUCCAUGGCGAUAAAUCGCGCGUCACAGAAGUGCUUCCGUCAAGGGUGACCGACAUAUGGCAUCCACCGUAACGGACCGCCGUUAAGCUAUCGGGUCCGGUUUUGGAUCCGAUAACCCGUUAACAGCCCGUACCAAUGGGAAUUUUCCACGUGUAAAAUUCUGAUUGGCCGGAGGAAACACGUGCCAGCUCGUCAGUGGGUCAGAUAGGCAUCUAUGAUAUGUCGACACGUGCGACGGCCCACCACUGGCCCAUUUAGCUUACAAAGGCUGGCCGUUUGACUUGGUCAAAAGUUAGCGGGCUGGCCCAUGAAAAGCCUGUUAAUGGUCUUUUCGCAAAUAACCCAUUUUACGGCCCGUUAGGGCCUACCCGAAAUCGGCCCAACAAUGUCAUGUGGGCCGUCGAAUAUAACACCAGCCCGUUUCACUUUCGGCCAAUGUAUGGCCCACGACGUCUUUCGGCCCAUAUGAGGCCUUUCGUAUCUUUAGGCCCUUUAGAGGCCCACAGUGACUCUAGCCCAUAGUGAACAGUGAAUUUCUUUGUACCCAUUAACGGCCCAUGAUUCACAUGGGCCAUUUCCAGCCCGUGUUAGCUUUCGGCCUACUGACGGCCCAUACGUUCUUGGGCUCCUUUUCGGCCCUCGAUUACUUCCGGCCCAUUACUGGCAUGUUCCCCUAAUGGGCCAAAUUCGGCCCGUGGAAAAAGUCGGCCCGUUUGUGGCCUGUUAACCCGUGUCGCCGUUUCCAACCCGUCCUAUAUUCUGGCCCAUUAACGACCCGUUAUGUUUGUGACAGAAUUAAGCCUUUGCUGUCCUCCGGCCUAUUAACGGCCCGUUACCGUGUUGGGCCGAUACCAAUUACUCCCAUUUACGGCCCAUGUAGACCGAUUUAUCCGACGGCCCGAGGCCCACCGAUUCUACGACCCUGUUGGAGGCCCAUUUAUCGACGGCCCGUAGGAGGCCCAUGGAUCCUACGGCCUGUAGGAGGGUCAAGGUUACGACGGUCCGUAUAUGGCCCAUGGUUGUUGCGGCCACUAGCAAACCAGGGAAAAAGAAGACUAGGAAAUAAAUAAGCCCGAAACUAACGCUAGGCUAUUAAGGCGAUUGCACAGAUUACAUCCACUGGGCAUCAAAGAUCGCCACUAGUGCAAAUAUAGGGAACACCCUACACUAUACAAAAAUGGCUUGCUGUUUUCUUCAGCCGGUGGCUGCACGUUAAGAACAAAUUUUGUAUCGCAACAAAACAAAUUACAAUUAUAAAACAAAAGCAAGGUUGGCAUAAAAGUUAACAGUGUGGGAGAUAAAUGCACCACCAGAAGUUCAGAAGUUCAGAAGCUCAGUUCAUUUGACCUGACUGUUACGUUUUCAUGUUGCAUUGUCCGAUGGAGCACCAUAACCUUCGCCUUCAUUUCUCCUAUGCUCCUGAAUAACAUAGCAAAUGUCUGAUAGUCUGGUUUCAAAACCAUGCAUAUCUUGACGACAUCGAACAAUGUCUGUCCUUGUUUCACAAAGGGUCUCUGUUAGGUAAUGGACUUGUGUCUGGAGCGCAGAUAUAACAUUGUUUUUAGCUUGCAUAUCUUGAUCAUGAGGCAGUUUGGACGAGAUUGCCUUAACAACCAACCCAGUAUUACGCAGGAACGUGCUUUUGGUACUGUUAGUGGACAGGUACUGACCCACUGCAGCAAGAGCUGACAUUGCAGUUAUAGUUGCCUCGCCACCUUCAGAAGGUGGCGGUUCCACCAUUUUUUCCAUAGAUUGCUGAAAAGUUGAGUUUUUACAUUAGUAGUACCAGAACAGAAGAUAUUAAGGAGGCAACAAAACCAAACAAAAUAGCUUUGGUCUAUAUACAGAACUUAUUCUGGUGAACCCAUGUAAAAUAUUUGUUGUAUUUUACUGCAGAGUACAUAAUAAAACCAGGUUCCAAACAUAUGACCAUGUAUCAUGGCUAAUGUAUUGUCUAUUUCUUCACAUUGCAUUGACAGCUAAGGAUAAAGAGACAAAGUUUAUAAUACGGUAAGCAUAGUAUGACACAAUUCAUACCACAAAACAACUGAGAACAGACAAACAGGCAAUUGUGACGUUGUGUGGGCAAGUCCAGCACGGAACUAGAUUACAGAUCAAGAUCAAAGGAACAUCACUCCUCUCUUUUAAACUUUGUAAGGUGCAAUGAUACGCUAAGACAAUUGUGUAUAAAAUUGAAAAGAGUAAUAGACAUUGGCUGUAAACCAUGCAGUUCAAGGCACAAGUCGGAGUAAGUAGUAGUUAAAAGGCAUGAGGAUUAAGGACUUACAACCGCGGCUUUGACUGGUGUAGUCAUGCCCUUCGUCUUGCUGGUGUGACAGUCCUUGAAGAUUUCCACAACAUUUGGUUCGGGUACUUUUUGGUCCUUGCGGGCCUUCCUUUGCAUGUGGAACAAGUCAAUAUAGAUCUGAUAAUAUGGUACAGCGAAAAGAGUGAAACAACAGCUAAUUGCAAGAGCCUCGCAGUGUGCAAUAUAGCUACGAGAUCCUGUCGUCUGUUGGAAUUUCACUUUCGUAUAGUUGGCCUUGUUCUUUGAACAGUUCACCUACAAGAAGAUAGAUUUGUGAAGCACAUGCGUAAAUAGGACUUCAACGUGUGAUCUGAUCACAUAUAUAUAAUGUACUUGAUACUUUGGAUCAGACCAGUGUUUAACGAGGCCUCUCCAGUCUUCAUCCGAUAUAUUUUCCACUGGAUAUGUUUGGGCAAGUUCACUGUUAGCCUUGCCUUCAAAGUGAGUUUUCCUCAAGUUAUACCGAUACUGUCGUAGAGCAGACUUGAAAACAUGGGUGCAAGCUUGUCUGGUUGCAUCAUCUUGGCUAUCCAACUUGAACCCCAUCUGUUAAAAAUUAUGGGAGUCUCGUUAUCAGCAACCUAGAAAGUAUGCGACAGAGCAAGACGAUAUUACUAGUUUCCAUACAUAACCAUACUUACAGAUAAAUGGUCGAGGAAGGUGUUGAACUGGGUUUUGUCUUUGUCAUUCCUGUACUGAAUCCAUGUUGGGAGGAUACGUACAUGACACCUAACGGCAACCGUUGCCUCUGAUACUAACUUGGCUGACUCUGUAGCAUCACGUGACCUUUUUAAACCUGCCUCAAAUCGGAUCUCCAUUCUUCCUCCUCUAGAUUUAGUUAACCUAUCGAGCAUUAUCCCUGAUGUUUGUUUCCUCUUGCGCCUAGUGCUAGUCCAACAACGAACAUAGGAAGUGUUAGUGUACAUCAAACUGUGAGACUACACAUAAAGAAGCAUGCAACUGUAACUUAACUCCAGCAACUACCUUCUUGCUGUUGAAGCUCACAAAGUUCAUCUGAUCUUGCCAACUCGUCUUGUGUCAAGAGUGCUUCAGAAGUAGUGUCAGGUGGCAAGGGAGCUUGGGAACGUGCUGCUAGCUGAGUUGACCAACGAGUAACUCGUGCAGCUGGUGGUAUUGUGGAAGGUGUUGCAACUAGGGCUAUCUCUGCUUGUUUGGUGGCAGCUAUUGGUUUCUGUUUGGCUUGUUCUGCAGCUCGUGUAGCACGGGAUACCCUGUUUGUACAAUUUUCCGCUGGACUUUGACCUUCUAUUGCACCAUCAGUACCAACAGAAUCUGCAGGAUUCUUCCGCUUCCCUUUCCCUGUCAUUCUGUGUUCCUUCCUCUUCCUCUGUACCAUGUUAAGUCAAGCCGACAAGAAAAACGAAUAACAAUUUAGUUCUUCAGAACAAAUUGAUGCGUGAUACAGACGAACUAAACUUUGAUGUUAGACAACCACAUGAUAGGAGGAUGUAAUAUGUACGAAAAACAGGAUGACAUGAGAUAACCAGAACUAUGAUGUGUAAACUAAGCAGAAGAUAUUUCACUAAAUUAGAAGCAAUGCAAUGGAAGGUAGACACCAUAUGAAAGAUGCUACAAAUAUCGCUCUGCCAAGUUAACAAUGUCUCAUCAUAAAUGGCGUUUAAACAAAUGUGAAGCAGUACAAGAAAUAAAUCAUAUGAAAGAUGCAAACAACAUCACACUACUAAGUUAAAGGUCUCUCGUCAUUAGUGCCAUUGCAUAUUCAAAGCAUUACAUAUUCACAGCUUAUGAUGUGUAAACUAAGGAAAAGGCAUUUCAACAAAUUAGAAGAUAUGAAAGCUAGACACCAUAUGAAAGAUGCAACGAAUAUCACUCUACCAAGUUAAAAUUGUCUUGUCAUAAGUGCCAUUUCAACAAAUUAGAAGUAGUACAAGCUAAAAGAAUGCGAGAUGUAACCUAUAUCACACUCCCAAGUCAAACGUGUCUUAUGAUAAGUGAUUGUUGCAGGUUACACAAUAGUAGUACUUUGAUGUAAGAACAUGGUAUGAUAGACAGAUAUUGUAUGUUCUAGAAACAGGAACAUGUGUCUUAUUCACAAGUAUAAUGUGUAAAGUAAGCACAUGGAAUUCAACAAAAUUAGAAGCAAUACAUGCUAGACAUCAUACAUAACAUGCAACCACAUAUAACAGUGCCAAGUUAGAGGGAGCACCUGUGAUGGUGCACUAGGGGAGACGUGCUCAUCAUCAACACAACUACGUUUAGUGUCUAUGCAUUUGUUGUCUUGCAAAUCUUCUUGGGGGGUGGGGGGGGUGGCGGAGUAGAAUCUGUAGAGGCCCUCCGUUUGGAAGGAGCACCUAUAUCCGCUGCCUUGCUACUUUCCUUCCGCUUUAUUGAUUUUGAAUUGUCAAGUAAAACUGACAAGAAAAAGCAAUAAAAUUCACUCUGUAGAACUCAUUCGUGCAUGGUACUGACAAUCACUACUUUGAUGUAAGGCAAACACAUGAUACCAGGAUGGAAUAUGUACAAAAAAGAGGACGGCAUGGCAUAUUCACAACUGUUUGUGUAAACUAAGCAGAAAUCAUUUCAACAAAUAAGAAGCAAUGCAAGCUAGACACCACAUGAAAGAUGCAACCAAUAUGACUCUGCCAAGUUAAAAGCGUCCCAUCAUAAAUGGCGUUUCAACAAAUUAGAAGCAAUGCAUGCUAUAAAUCAUAUGAAAGAUGCAACUAAUAUCAUACUGCAUAUACUAAAGGUGUCUCGUCAUAUUGAUUCAUGCGGGAUACAAAAAAACAACAGUUUUAUGCAAGGACAUGCUUAAUAGACAGAUGUACUAUGUACUAAAAAUAGAAAGGCAUGUCACAUUAACAGGUAUAAUGUAUAAACUAAGCAGAAUAGCACAUGCAAUUUAACCAGAUUGGAAGAAUUACAGUCUAGACACCAUAUGCAACAUGCAACCACAUAUCACGCUGCCAAGUUAGAGAAAGCACCUGCGAUGCUGGUGUAGGGGAAAUGCGGUCAUCAACUACAGAGCUACGCUCACUAUAUUCAUCUAGCCUUGCUGUUUCUUGAGAAUCAUGUGGGGAGGCUGACACUGCAUUCUUCAAAAGAGGAUCUUUUCUCAAAGUAACCCACUGGGGUGAAUAUCUCAUCAUAAGUGAUUGAUGAGGGAUACACAAGAACAUUAGUUUGAUGUAAGAACAUGGUUAAUAGACAAAUGUACUAGUAUGUACCAAAAACAGGAAGGCAUGUCAUAUUCAAAGGUAUAAUGUGUAAGCUAAGCAGAUGCAAUUUAACCAAAUUGGAAGCAAUACAAGCUAGACAUCCGGCUGGAGUGGUGGGCAUGAUAAUCAAGGACCUGAGAGCCUGGUGGGAGGCGGGCUGCUUCACCACCAUCGUGGCUUUUUAGUUGGCUUCCAGGUGAUGCAUGUCUGUGCUGGGCUUGUCACUGGCUUGGCCAGUUCCCCUGACUAGCUAUUUGUCUUCUGGUGCUCCCGAGAUGGUGGUUCAUGUAAAAAAUAUCUUUCCUUAUCUUAAUAAAGACCAACUUCGGCCUUUCGAAUACAAGGUAGACACCAUAUGCAACAUGCAACUACAUAUGACACCGCGGAGUUAAAGCAAGCACCUGGGAUGGUGGUUCAUGGCGAGCGAGGUCAUCAACUCCAGAGCUACGUUUACCGUCUCCAUCUGCUGACACUGCACCCUUCAUAGGGCUGAAACGUGUCUGGCCUAGCCGCGUACCAAGCUGGAGCGACUUCUCUCUUUUCUUUUCCGCUUCUGUCAAGGCAGCAGAGUCUGAAAUACCCUUGCAUAAAAAUACAAUAGUGAGAGUAUGGGUGAAGUGUGUGCAGAGCUAGUGCACUGUAAAAGUAGCAGAUAGCAGGUGGUUGAAAAAUAAAUGACAGGAGACAUAUGAUAGCUCUACAACAUUGCAUGGCAAACAAAAUUAGAUUCUACUCCGUAUGAUUUUGUAAUAUAUGAUUACAUGGAUGGCUGGGAAAUGCAGGUACUCCUCCAGCACACCACCACAUGUGGUCCUAUCAAAAUAACAGUCGACUGAAAAUAAAUAGGCCAGUCAAUUUUUUUAUGAACCGUCCGAUCUCUAAGGAACGGGCAGAUGGCCUUCGUCUACCUCCCGCCAGUCACUGUUGACCAUCUUUCUCGAACCGCCAGCGACCACUGGCCCAGACCCCUGCCUCCGUAGCCCCGCCCUCUGUCGGUGUCAAAACCGGCGGAUCUCGGGUAGGGGGUCCCGAACUGUGUGUCUAAGGCGGAUGGUAACAGGAGGCGGGGGACACGAUGUUUACCCAGGUUCGGGCCCUCUCGACGGAGGUAAUACCCUACUUCAUGCUUGAUUGAUCUUGAUGAUAUGAAUAUUACAAGAGUUGAUCUACCACGAGAUCGUAGAGGCUAAACCCUAGAAGCUAGCCUAUGGUAUGAUUGUUGUUGUCCUACGGACUAAAUCCUCCGCUUUAUAUAGACACCGGAGGGGGCUAGGGUUACACAGAGUCGGUUACAAGGGAGGAGAUCUACAUAUCCAUAUCGCCAAGCUUGCCUUCCACGCCAAGGAGAGUCCCAUCCGGACACGGGUCGAAGUCUUCAAUCUUGUAUCUUCAUAGUCCAACAGUCCGGCAAAAGGAUAUAGUCCGGCUAUCCGAGGACCCCCUAAUCCAGGACCCCUCAGUAGCCCCCAAACCAGGCUUCAAUGGCGAUGAGUCCGACGCGCAGAUUGUCUUCGGCAUUGCAAGGCGGGUUCUUCUCCAAAUUCCGGAUACCUGUUGAGUAGUGUCCGGCUUCCCAUAAAUGUUGCACUCCUUGGCUUCUGCGCCUAAUAAUGGCUAUCUUCCAUGUGUCGAGCGAAUGCGAGAAGCCAGGGCAUUUUUACAUUUUCCACCCUAGCCAUGCGAGUAAAUCGUCUAUUAAAGAGACGGGGAUUCUCAGAUCCAGAUCACAUCAUCCUCCCAGAGCGAGUAUCCACCGGAGCGCGCCCGGAAAAAAUCCAUUCCAACAUGGCCGGCCAUCGCAGCUCCUCCUCUCGCUCCCGUAGCCCUAAGCCCGGCAAUUGGAAGAAGUGUUCUGCCCCCCAUAGCCAAUUAGUAGAGUUGCAGACCCAGGGAUUUCUCCCUCCAGCGUAUAUGGUCCCCGUUCGAGCCGGGCUCGCCACCUACAAUGGCGGGGAGCAAGCGGAGAGCUUUCCCAACCCAUCCAUGGGGGAGCGGGUAUGCCUUGUCCCUUACUUAUUAAGAGGGCUUGGAUUUCCAAUUCAUCCGUUCCUCCGCGGGCUCCUGGAGUUCUACGGCCUCCAGCUGCAUAAUCUUACUCCCGCCUCCAUAUUACACAUCGCCGGCUAUGUCACCCUUUGCGAGCUGUUUCUGGGCUACGAAGCUCAUUUCGAGCUAUGGAAGAGGCUAUUCUGCCUCGUACCCCGCACACAGGAGGGGUCAAUAUACCAAGUGGGCGGAGCCGAAAUAUGGCGCAUCAUCGGGACCGGAUACCUGUCCGGUACUCCGAAGAAGACAUCCGAGGACUGGCCUUCGGAGUGGUUUUAUAUGGAGGACGUCCCCCUUCCGGACCCUAUUCGGAUGGGCCUUCUUGAGUUCGACAACGCUCCCUUGAAGAAACGCCGCAGCUGGCACCCUCGGAGCCCCCAGGAGGAAGAUAACGGAGAAGUCCUUUACCUGAUGGGCCGGAUAAAAACACUGGCUCAAUCAGGACUGACAAUAAUCGAGGUUAUGUCAAUAUGUAUAAUGCGGGGGGUGCAGCCACUUCAAUAUCGGGGACAACCCAUGUGGCACUUCAACGGAGAAGACGAUGCCACCCGCUGCGGUUUUAAGGGACCGGACUCAGUCGCUGCUCUAGCAAAAAUCCUGUCCGAUUUGUACAAAGGAGAGGAAGAGGAGUUCAUUCGCAUUAAGCCAUGGGAUGGAUUCUCCAUGUACAACCUUCCAAGCUGGGUGAGCUACCGCUUUUUACUCCAGACCUUCCCGCUUUCUUUGUCAUAAAUAUUUACCUUGUUGUUUCAUAGUACGAGCUGCAAAAAGCUGUGAGGGAGGUCCACAGCCCGCCUCCACAACCAGAGGACCCUGACCGAGCCCCCGAUCCCGGACUCGAAGAGGAUCCGGACAUAUUUGUGGAACUGAUUGACAGGACGUUCUAUCAAUUGAGCUGCGAUGAUGCCAUGGUGGCCAUCAUAGCGGAUUAUCCUGGACUACUCCCUGCAUCGCAUGUAAGUUAAACCGGAGUCCCAACUUCCGAGAAGGAUCCCCUUUUCUGCACUUCACCUACCGCACACAUAUGGUGUCUUACAGGGAAGGCCCUCGGGACGCCAUGCCGAACCCGCAGUGAUUCACCAACAAGGGGCACCGAAGCCGGGUAGGCUUAAAAGGAAGGCGGUCAGGACCGAGACGCCGUCGCAGAGGUAUGAUACAGAACCCCGCUCCGUGGUUGUCGUCUUUUAAAAUAUAAUAACGUCCAUGUUUCCUAGUAGGAAGAACGCUCGCCGGACUAUAUCCGGAGAGGUUGCCCACGCCUCCACCAGUCGGGCUCCAGAGCCGGACAUAGAGGCGGAUGCUAACAUGGGGCGAACGCCGGAUGUUCCUCCUAUAGAGGAUGCGGAUAGCCUAUCCGCUACACAUUCCGAAGUGGAGAGCGCUAUGAAUCACAGGCGUCGCCGGGCCGUACUCCGUGACGCAUGUUUCUCCCAAGAGGCGUUCGAUGCCUUCAACUCAGGAAACACGUACAUCCGUGCUGCUCAAAAUGGUCUUGCCAGAGCCACGGACCAAUAUGUAAAGGAUAUAGGGGUAAGAAAAUCUGAUGAUUAUGUAUAUCAGUAGCCCCUAAGACUUGAAACAGUUGACACAACUGAUUUAAGGAUCAUUAUAUGUGCAGGUUCUUACGGAGAAGAAUACCCAAUUGUCUCAAGAGCUGGAAGAGUGCAAAGCCCAGCUACGGGCCGCAGUUGCCGCAAUGAAGGAGUCCGAGAAGGCCCCCUCUGGUAACACUUGUCUCUAUCAAAAGGAAUGACAUGUGCCGGUUAGUAUGCGGCAUGCAUGCAAAUCUAACAAUAGAUUCUGCAGAUGAUCCCGGGGUUAGUCCGGAGGUAGUGCAAGGGGAUGGGCAACAUGCUCAACGACAGUUAAAGGCUGGCGAGCGCGUGCUUAAGCAGGUUAGGCAGGAGAAAAAUGAUCUCCAAGAUGCCAAUAUCCGGCUGAGUGUUGAACUGAAAGAUGUUCGGGCCCAACUUGCUGACUCCGUAAAGGAGAAUAAGAGGCUUCGACGCGGCAUUUUUAGUAAGUGCUUGAACGAACUUUUUAUAGAGUUUGGCGAAGAAACCGGCUAACAGAGUUAUAUCUGUAGGUAUGCUGACGGGUCGUCCCGCAGAGGAAAUGCCCGGGUCUGCAGGUGAUCUUCUGUCAGACCUCUCACAACUACACGAACAAGUUCGGCAGGUGAUGUAGGGCAUUGCCCAAGCCUUGUGGCCAUCCGCCUCCCUGCCAGGAGGCACGGGGGAGCUCGUAGAGAAGCUCAAGGGAGCGCGGCGGCGCUUCCGAUUAUGGAAGAUAUCAGCCUGCCGACAAGGUGCAAGGGAAGCCUGGGCCAUGGUGAAGACGCGAUAUACCAAGGCUGACCCGAACCACAUGGCCGAGGUCGGACCUGUGGGGCCCGAUGGGAAAGAGAUCCCCAUCAGUUUGGUGUAUGACCAAGUAGAAUUAGCCGCAAAGUAUUCCCAACAGGAUUGUAGGCUAGACAGCCUGUUGGAUGGUAUAGAAUUUAGUCAGUCUAAGUGACUGUGUACUUCAAGUGACAUGUAUUGUCCCUAGCCAGAUUGUAAAUCAUUUGUCAUGGCGGACCUUUUCACUUCAACCUCUGGACCCGACAGUCCGGAGUGUAUCCGAAUACCCGCUCAGUUAUGUAAAAACCGGGGUACGCGUGGAAACUAGGCGUAGGGGUCAUAAGUGCUUGAACAGACAAGUACCCAACUAGAUUAUAUUACAUGGAUAGUAAGAAACAUCUUCCAGGGAGAAUAGUUCCGUUAAGGGUUCCUUUCCCUGGGUACGCAUGCCCUAAUGUGCAUGUCCGAACUGCGAAAAGAGACGCAGGAUAUAAACAUCUGGGGGCAUGUAUUAAAAUAAAUAAAAGUCAUAUUUUGUUCACCGACCGAGUAUUCCCUUAAGAACGCUAGCUUUCGGCUUCACCCAGUCUGAGGAACACAUCCGGCUGACCCGGCAGUAACAAUCGCAAAGGUGCUCCCCUUAUGCCCUAGCCGAAUUAACGGGAACGUAGGGCAUAAACACAAGAGCCAGGCAACCCAGCUUGGCCAAAACUUAAGUCAUAUCCAUGCAUAUAAUGGCGAAAAAGGUACAUGUGGAAGAAUAACACAUGUGCGGGGCAUAGAGCCCGGAAAAUAGUUAAGCUUCUGUAUAAGAAGCCCCCAGGUAUAAUGAGCGCAGUUAGCGCGUCAAGAUUGUGUAGUCAAGACACAAUUUAGCCUUUUAAGGCCUUGAAGAAAAAGGAAAAUAGAAAGAAAUAAAAGACAGAUAACAGAUAUGUAAAAAAUUGACGGAGGUAAGGAGACGAACAUAGAGUCUGGCACUAGGCGUAGAACCUUUGGAGUCUGGCUGCGUUCCAUGGGUUUGGCUCGAGUCGAUUGUCCGAUCCAUCCCGCAGACGGUACGCUCCACCGGUCAGAACUUGGUCAAUAAUGAAUGGACCUUCCCAUUUGGGCUUGAGCUUGUUCUUUUUCUUCUCUGGUAGGCGUAGAACGAGUUCACCAACGUUAUAAGUUUUGGCCCGUACUUCUCUGCUUCGAUACCUUCGAGCCUGUUGCUGAUAGAAUGCGGAACGGGCUUUUGCCACAUCACGCUCCUCCUCCAGGGCGUCCAAAUUGUCCUGCCGAUCAAGCUUGGCUUCUUUCUCUUCAUACAUGUGCACUCGAGGUGAGUCAUGAAUUAUGUCGCAGGGCAGUACCGCCUCUGCGUCGUACACCAUAAAAAACGGGUGUAUCCGGUAGUGCAAUUCGGCGUGGUCCGCAGCCCCCAUAGUACGGAGUCGAGCUCCUCUACCCAGUGCGUGUUUGAUUCCUUUAAGGACCGCACUAAUCUAGGUUUAAUGCCGCUCAUGAUAAGACCAUUUGCUCGCUCAACUUGACCGUUAGUUUGCGGGUGAUAGACAGAAGCAUAAUCGAGCUUGAUGCCCAUGUUGCUGCACCAAAGUUUUACCUCGUCGGCUGUAAAGUUCGAGCCAUUAUCAGUGAUGAUGCUGUGGGGGACGCCAUAACGGUGUACAACCCCGGAUAUGAAGUCUAUCACUGGUCCGGAUUCGGUCGUUUUAACUGGUUUGGCUUCUAUCCAUUUGGUGAAUUUAUCCACCAUGACUAAUAAGUAUUUUUUCUUAUGGCUUCCCCUUUGAGGGGUCCAACCAUAUCAAGCCCCCAGACCGCAAAGGGCCAAGUAAUUGGGAUUGUUUGGAGAGAGGUAGGCGGCAUAUGGCUUUGGUUUGCAAAAAGCUAGCAACCGACGCAAUGUUGGACGAGGUCCUGUGCGUCUGCUCGGGCCGUCGGCCAGUAGAAACCUGUACGGAAGGCCUUGCUUACAAGGGCCCGAGCUGCGGCGUGGUGACCGCCAAGUCCAGCAUGAAUUUCUGCCAAAAGUUGCCGUCCUUCCUCUUCGGAGAUGCACCUUUGAAGGACUCCGGUAGCGCUUUUCUUAUAAAGCUCUCCCUCGUGGACCUUGUAGGCUUUAGACCGCCGCACAAUGCAACGUGCCUCGUUUGGGUCCUCAGGUAGUUCCUGCCUAGUUAGGUAGGCCAGGAAGGGUUCUGUCCACGGGGCAAUGACAGCCAUAAUCACGUGGGCGGAAGGUGUUAUUUCGGUGGUAGAGCCUCCGAUUACGUCAGAGUGUUCGGUAUCUAGUGUUGUGGCCAAGUCCGGACUGUUGUUGCGGUCUCUCCUUCCCAUACCACGAAUGGCUUAAACAGCCUUUCCAAGAAGAUAUUGGGUGGGACAGGGUCGCGCUUAGCGCCGAUGCGGGUUAGGAUGUCCGCCGCUUGAUUGUUUUCUCGGACCACAUGGUGGAAUUCGAGCCCCUCGAACCGAGCUGACAUUUUGAGGACGGUGUUGCGGUAAGCCGCCAUUUUUGGGUCCUUGGCAUCAAAGUCUCCAUUUAUUUGAGAUAUUGCGAGAUUCGAAUCCCCACGCACCUCUAGGCGUUGAAUGCCCAUGGUGACUGCUAUCCGGAGACCAUGCAACAUGGCCUCAUAUUCUGCUGCAUUGUUGGAGUCUGUGUAUAAUAUUUGGAGUACGUAUUGGAUUGUAUCUCCGGUGGGGGAUGUCAGGACGACGCCUGCCCCCAGAUCCGCCAGCAUCUUUGAACCGUCAAAGUGCAUGAUCCAAUUGGAGUACGCGCCGUACUCUUUAGGGAGUUCGGCUUCCGUCCAUUCGGCGACGAAAUCGGCCAGUACUUGCGACUUAAUGGCUCGCCAUGGUUUAUAUGUUAUGUCGAACGGGAGGAGCUCGAUAGCCCAUUUAGCAAUCCGGCCCGUGGCAUCGCGGCUAUUUGUUAUGUCGUUGAGUGGUACUUCCGAGGCCACCGUAAUUGAACACUCUUGAAAGUAGUGUCGUAAUUUCCUGGAUGCCAUGAAUACCGCGUAUGCUAUCUUUUGAUAAUGUGGGUACCGUGAUUUGCAUGGAGUGAGGACAGUGGAUACAUAGUAUACCGGCUUUUGAAGUGGGAAUUUAUGUCCGUCCGUCUCUCGUUCGACGACGAGCACUGCGCUCACAACUUGGUGAGUUGCUGCUAUACAUAACAACAUCGGUUCGCCGACAUUUGGCGCGGCCAAGAUUGGUUGGUGGCCAGGAUGGCUUUUAUUUCUUCCAAUCCAGCCGUGGCCGCAUCCGUCCACUCUAAGUGUUCGGUGCGCCGAAGAAGGCGAUAAAGGGGUAGUGCCUUUUCUCCUAAUCGGGAGAUAAAGCGGCUUAAGGCCGCCAUGCAUCCAGUUAAUUUCUGGAUUUGCUUGAGGUCUGUUGGGAUAGCCAACUGUGACAGAGCUCGGAUUUCAGCCGGAUUUGCUUCAAUUCCUCUACUGGAGACGAUGAAGCCCAGGAGCUUUCCGGCGGGCACGCCGAAAACGCAUUUUUCCGGAUUGAGCUUGAUGUCGUAUGUUCGGAGAUUGUCGAACGCGAGCCUCAAGUCGUCUAUUAAGGAUUCGACGUGUCUGGUUUUAACGACCACAUCGUCUACGUAUGCCUCCACUGUUUUGCCGAUCUGUGUUUCCAAGCAUGUCUGAAUCAUGCGUUGAUAGGUUGCACCGGCGUUCUUGAGCCCGAAAGGCAUGGUGUUAAAACAGAAGAGGCCGUAUGGGGUGAUAAAUGCCGUUGCGGCUUGAUCGGACUCCGCCAUCUUGAUUUGAUGGUAUCCGGUGUAUGCGUCGAGGAAACACAAUGAGUCGUGUGCUGCAGUAGCAUCGAUAAUUUGAUCGAUGCGGGGGAGGGGGAAGGGAUCCUUGGGGCAAGCCUUGUUAAGGUCCUUGAAAUCGACACAUAGGUGCCAGGAUUUAUCCUUCUUUGGUACCAUCACCAGGUUUGCUAGCCAGUCCGGAUGUUUUAUUUCUCUAAUGAAUCCGGCCUCCAGUAACUUGGCUAGCUCCUCUCCCAUGGCUUGUCGCUUAGGUUCAGAGAAACGCCGAAGAGACUGCUUGACCGGCUUGAACCCGUUUAGAAUGUUAAGGCUAUGCUCGGCCAGCCUGCGUGGGAUUCCUGGCAUGUCUGAAGGAUGCCAGGCGAAUAUGUCCCAAUUCUUGCGCAAGAACUCCCGUAGUGCGGCGUCUACUGUGGGGUUUAAUUGUGCCCCGAUGGAUGCUGUUUUUGUAGGGUCCGUUGGGUGGACUUGGAAUUUGACUAUCUCAUCCGCUGGUUUAAAAGAGGUGGACUUGGAUCUUUUGUAAAGUAUCACGUCGUCUCUGUCCACUGUGGAGCGCAGCGCGGUUAAUUCCUCGGCCGUGAGGGCUUUGGAUAACGCCUCGAGGGCCAGUGCAGCUGUUUUAUUUUCGGCGCGGAGUGCUAUGUCCGGAUCACUAGUUAGAGUGAUGAUUCCAUUGGGCCCGGGCAUUUUGAGCUUCAUGUAGCCGUAAUGGGGUAUGGCUUGGAAGAUCGUGAAUGCCUCCCGCCCUAGAAGGGCGUGGUAUCCGCUAUUGAACGGGGCCACUUGGAAUGUGAUUUCUUCGGACCUAUAAUUCUCCGGUGUGCCGAAUACCACAUCUAGUGUGAUUUUCCCAGCACAUCGUGCCUCCCGACUGGGGAUGAUUCCUCUGAAGGUCGUGCUGCUUUGCUCAAUGCGGCUUCUGUCUAUUUCCAUUUUUCGAAGAGUCUCCUCAUAGAUGAGGUUUAAUCUGCUGCCGCCGUCCAUGAGCACUUUAGUAAGCCGGAAGCCGUCCACAAUUGGACUAAGGACCAAGGUGGCUGGUGCUCUGGCUGUUCGGAAUUUAGGUUCGUCACUGGCGUUGAAGGUGAUGGCCGUAUCGCUCCAUGGAUUUAUUGCUGCCACAUGGCAGACUUCGGCAAGGCUGCGGAGUGCUCGCUUACGCCUAUUAUUUGAGGCGAAGGUCUCGAAGACUGUCAAUACUGUAUUGUUGUUCUCUACGGGAUGGUGCUCUGCGGUAUUGUUGAUGAGGAUAUCCUCACCGCUCUUGGCCACCUGUCGGAGUACCCAACAUGCUCUAAGGCUGUGUGUUGGUAUAGUAUCCGCUGUACUGUGAAUUUUGCAUGGCCCAUUAAGCCAUCCCUCCAAUACGGUUCCACGCCCUGUAGUGGGCUUUUGCUUCUUUGUAAUUGGGUCGGGCGACUUACGAGAGUGCACCCUUUUAGUUCGGACUGGGGGUUUUGUCAGAGCCGGAGGAUCCCAAAAUUUUGUUUGGGUUUUCCAGGCGCUUUCCAUCGCACAGUACUUCCGUACUAUGGCCGCCAAGUCAGCGAAGUGUGCUAUGUCACGGCGACUUAUGGCGUUGAGGAUUCCCUUGUCCGUGUAAUUAUUGCAAAAGAAUGAAAUUGCGUCUUCCUCGCGACAAUCCUUGACCUUGUUCAUUACAAGGAGGAAUCUGGCCCAAUAGUGGUGUCCUGUCUCCUGGGGCUCUUGUCUAAUGUGGGAAAGAUCGCUUAUAUCUGGGUGGGUGGGUAGAUUUAGGUCCGAACCCUGACCCGAUCUGAGACCCAGGGGCGGAGGAGCUUCCGAUCUUGGAAGUUCGGGCUCCGAGAUGUUGCCCAAUAGGUCUGGCCCGCUGCCUGAUUCUAGGUUCAAGGUUUGGGCCAUGUCCUCCCAUAGACGGGUAUCCGGCUCGGAGAGCUUGGGAAUCUUGACAUAGUUUUUCCUCAAGAUAGAGGAAGAAUCGCCGCAUUGCUCCUCCACCACCGCUAUCUGAUGGGUGACCGGCGGGGAGUUAAUUUCCCUUUGGUCGGGUUUAAGCCCGAUCUGAUCAUAGUCCGUAGCGACUCCCAAGGCGGCGAUGCGAUCCAAGAGCUCGUUCAAGGAAGAGAGCUCCAUUGGAUCCAACUGCUCGGUGAAUUCCAAGCUGACGUGGAGGCUGUUUUUGAUGACCCAAGAAGUCAUCAUCGGCGCAGCGGCAGGACAGGCGGUCAUAACGAAACCGCCUAGUCGGAGAGUUUGGCUUACAGCCAGGGCUCCCCCAGAAGUGAUGUUGUCCUUGACAACAAGAUGAGCCAUCAACCCUUAUGAUGACGACACAGUGGAACUCUCAAUGAAAGCACCAAUGUCGGUGUCAAAACCGGCGGAUCUCGGGUAGGGGGUCCCGAACUGUGCGUCUAAGGCGGAUGGUAACAGGAGACGGGGGACACGAUGUUUACCCAGGUUCGGGCCCUCUCGACGGAGGUAAUACCCUACUUCCUGCUUGAUUGAUCUUGAUGAUAUGAGUAUUACAAGAGUUGAUCUACCACGAGAUCAUAGAGGCUAAACCCUAGAAGCUAGCCUAUGGUAUGAUUGUUGUUGUCCUACGGACUAAACCCUCCGGUUUAUAUAGACACCGGAGGGGGCUAGGGUUACACAGAGUCGGUUACAAGGGAGGAGAUCUACAUAUCCGUAUCGCCAAGCUUGCCUUCCACGCCAAGGAGAGUCCCAUCCGGACAGGGGUCGAAGUCUUCAAUCUUGUAUCUUCAUAGUCCAACAGUCCGGCAAAAGGAUAUAGUCCGGCUGUCCGAGGACCCCCUAAUCCAGGACUCCCUCACCCUCCCCUCGACCUCACACCACCGCCGUGCUUGGUAGCGCCCCCAGGCCAUCCCUUUAGUCCUUGCCGACCUCCAGAUCGGGCGCCAGCAGCUCUAGGCCCCACACGCCCCGAAGAUAAACACUGAGGCGCUGCUUCCCCGGCGUAAUAGGCAGACUAGCGCCUGUUACGCCGGGGAAUGCUUCCGUUAAUUGGGAAUCAACUGACCAGGAAUUGAAAUCCAGGGGGCGAUGGACCUCUAGGUAAGGUGAAAUAGUAUAUGAGGAGAAACCUUGUGCAUCGCGAGUUACUAGGAACAUCUAGUAUGAAGAAGAAGUGGUCAACUAGUGUCUUCUGUGGGAUGAAUACCGUGCAAGCAGACACGUAAGAUUUGCACGAAUAAGGGAAGAGGAGUACCAUUUCUGGUUGCCAGUGUUGUGUCCUUCAUAUGUCACGGCGAUUUUCUUCUUUUUGCCGGGGGAACCGAUGUUUUGGAGGAAGGUGCAGCCUUGGACGAACCCAUGGCCAAAUUGUUGACUGUGUUGCCGUGGCCGUAUGUCAGCGGAGGGGAAGCAGAUCCGAGGCGGCGAAGGACGGCGUAGAAGGAACAACUCUGGUGCGGUGGAUGGUGGCGAAAUUGGAGCAGCAGCGUUGAGGCGCAGGACGACGUGGUUGAACUGGCUCGGGUAUGGACAGCCCAGCCUCGGCUUCAACUACUAGCCGUGGAGGGCGUUGCGGUUGAGGUUGCGGUGGACGACGACGUCGGGGUAUCGGCUCCAGCGUGAUGGAGGAGGGCGGUGGUUGAUGGGUGGGAUGGGGUGGCGGACAGAGGACGCCGGGGUUUCGCGGCUGGUGGAGAGGUAGUUUUGGCACCCACGGAGUACGAAUGGGGAAUCGGACGGGGGGCGGGUGGAGCUAAGGGAGAACCAUGUUUUGGUCUCGGACGCGCUUGUUUUGGGCUUUUUUGAACAGAUGGGACGCGCUUGUUUGAAAUUUGGGGAAAGUACAAACUUUGCCCUCCCCCUCUUAAAUUUCGGACCUACUGCGGGUCGGGGGUUGGAUGGUAAUCCCAGGUGUCCCAAAUAGUGGGCGGGAGUGAUUUCGGCCGCGCGCAUGUGUGCUUAUGCGACCAUUGUGUAUGAAUGUGUUUCGGAGGCGGUUGCAUGGCGUCUAGAUGUAGCUACAAACCUACCCCGGUUUAGACCUUUGGACGCCGGGCUGGUAGGUUUCACGGGUCGGAGUUAGAAAAGUAAUUCCCUUCUACUACCAAACAUUGGUCUCAUGCGGUUUCGGGCGAGUAGAGGCUCUUUUGGCGCUUCGUUUGAAAUUUUUAAACAGAAUCAUUCACGUUUAGAUUACUCUUGAACUUUGAGGAUUGACCUAAAUAGACAAUCUUAAAUUUGACCUUGUAUGUUUAAAACCCUCAUUAAAUUAUCCGCUUCUUUUUGAAAUUUUGACACUUUAAAAUCAUAUAACUACGAUUAUUUUGGAAUGGAGGAGCUAAAUUUGAAUCUAUUUUGUACAUGACUAUAUAUGCUAUUAUGUACAAAAGCAGAGCAAAGAUUGGUGCCCCCAUAAUUUAGGUAUGAUUUACAAAUGCCAUGAUACCGAAUUCAAAUAAUUGAAUGGACUUCAUGUUGAAUUCGAAUUUUUAAACCAUCUUAAGUUGAAUUCAAAUGUAUGCUAGUUCAUAGCUAGCUAUUUAUAAUGUUCAUUGUGUAACUUUCAUAUGUAUAAUGUGCUUUACACACACAACAUGAACUAUACUCACGUUUAUAUUCGAUUGCUAAAGCGAUGCAUUGUCUGGAGUUCAAAAUACUAACUAUGUGGAUCAAUUAUGUCGAAUAAUAACAUAGACAUGCUCAAAUUCGAUAGAAUCUAGAUGUCUGAUGGAUCAAUGACCGUUCCUUACGCGAAUUGCAAAUAUCAUGAUCCCAUCCUAAUAUUUGGAUACAAUUUAUAUCUUUAAUCAAUGUGUACAUCAGUCUUUUACGUGUAGUUUCACUCUCCAUCGGUGGUCUCUCACACGUGCUCACACACUCUCUCUCGAGGUGUCUUUCUCGCGAACAUGCUCUCGAUAUAACCCUCCCCCCUCUCGUAACCAUUUAUGAUUGUUUUCACUAACCUUUAUCACAAGCACUCUUCCUCUCACAAGCAUACACACGCACAAUCCCCAUCGACCCUUUCUAUAUACAUAGACCUGCCUACGUGUCUCCCGCACGCACAUUAUAUUUAGGCCUAUCUCUCAUGCAUUAUCUCCACCUCUCUUCCUAAUCGACGAGUAUGAUUCUAGCAGAGCAUUCUGUAGGACGCCCCUUAAAGUUAGGUUGGAUGAAUAGUAAUAUCAGAGAUAAGGGGUUACCUUAGUCUGAGGACCUAGGGUUAGAAAUCCUAGCCGGCUUUGUCAGUGGACACAGAGCCCUUCACGACUCUCUAUCUUUGUCUUGUACGACUAGUCCUCCAUGGAUCUCCCUAAAUGCGUCACGGGCCGACCAAUGUGGCGCAGGACGGAACCGAACCAAGGGCUUCACCUUGGCCCACCGGACCUCACACGGUGACACACGCUCUGACCCCUGGUCUAGUUAUCUUCUCACACCCACACAUACCAACACAUACACCACACAAAAAAAUUCUCCUCGUGCCUCUAUCCCCUUCCCCUUGAGGCCCUGCCAAAUACAUCAACUACACAUUCACACAUGUUACAUCACGUACCCAUUGAUCUAAAAAGCCCUCUCUUCACGUUUAUUUCGCAUACAACAUUCCUUUGAAUAAAACCACACAAAGUGUGGCCAAAAAAUUAUUUUAGAAUUUCUACAUAUAUACAACAUUAUAAAGUUAUAUGGAGGAGUAUGAACGUUAAUUUGAAUUGCAUGGUGCCCACAAUGAUAUUUAUUCCACACUAUGAAUUUUUAUAUUUUUGUACUAUAUAUAAAGUUAGUCAUAAUAAAGAGAAACGAAGAGCAUCUCUCUCUCCAUCGCAUACACCUCCUCAACGCCCCUUUCACGUACCACACAAACUAUCUCCGGGUCCUUUAAAAGUACGCCCCGAGCACAUUCACACAUGUUUCAUCUUCCUCUCGCGAUAUAUACAAUGACGAUCAUUGUAUUUGAAGCGAAAGCACGAUACGUACAUUGGACUUCAGAAUCCACUCAUUAUGGUCACCAUUUACGUUUUGUGGUUAUUAUACAGUCACAGGCUCACCGUACAACUCUGUAUUUGCUCAAGACACGACUAGUUGACCAGUUAAACGCUCCACGUGGCACCUCUAGUGUUGCAUCACAUUAUCUCACUACCAUUGGGCCCACCUGUCGGCUUGUAUCUACUCUACACUCUUAUAAAAAAUAGAGUUGGUGAUGAUGGUGUGCUUGCCAUCCUGCAAUAUAGGUUGUCCGAUUUAUAUCUGACGGAUAGGAAGGAAACUAUGGCAAUUUUGCAAAAAGGUACCCACACACCUCUCCACAUUUGCAAAUAAGGUCUUCCCUUGUUCAUCCUUUUCUCUCACAAGAUAAACUAGUCAUACAAAUGCAUCUUGAUGUUACGUGCAACGCACGUGCAUCUUGCUAGUAAGAAUGAAAACAAACGACAAAAAAAUAUUGGACGGUGGUUCGAAGUCAUGACCGCGGGCACAGCGGACAAGGUGGCCUUGUAUUGGUAUGUUGACCCGUCUGUUUUAACACACAUGAGCUGGUGUGGUGAUUAUACACACACGCAUGCACACGAACUGCAUGCACGCAACACUCACACGAACACAUGCAGCCACGCACGCACGCAACACUCACACGUAGACACGCAGCCACGCACGCACGCAACACUCACACGCACGCAUGCAUGCACACACCACACGACCAACACACAUUCUCGCGCUCAAGUGCUCAACCUACACGUGCAUGCGCACACAUCAGGCCCUGACAGACACAUACACAACCAGGUGGUUCCCGCGCACGGGUUGGAGUCUUGUCGCGCCUGCGUAAAUUUGCGUUUAUCUGACCUUUUUCCUAUGCGAACUGACAGGUGGGACCCACAAGGAACGUGGUCAAUUUAACUAGUCAACAUGGUGCCACUCAAACUAUUUGGCUGGUCAAUAGAGUGCACUCCGAUGCUGAGCGGUGAGCAAGUGACCGUAUAAUCACCGCAAAACGUAUAUAGUGACCGUAAUGAGCGUAUUCUGAAGUCCGGUGACUGUAUUACGUUUUUCUCUCUGUAGGCCCUCCAAAACUACAUCUCUACACGUUCUCGCAUGUUACAUCUAACAACUAUGCAAUACAACACUACUACUACACUCUAACACAAUAAAUCAUAUGUGUUUUUAGUUUUACUAGAUAUCAUAUUGUUACUUAAUUAUUCAGUUUGCAUACAUUAAAAUUGCCUUUGAAAUGAAUGGCCAGUAUCAUCUACCACGCGGAAAAUCCCGCCCUUUCCUGUUUAAUUGGGUUUGUAUCGAUGGAUUGUGUGAAGCAAAACUAUAGUACUAUAGUACUAUACAGUACAAGUAACAGUUCACUGGGCCGCCGUGUCGUGUACUCCUCCGUCAUAAGAGUGGAGCGAUCGCUUUCAUAAAUGUUCUAGUCCCUUUCGCCGACAUGUGGGACAUCAAGCUACCGGGUCCACGUGCCAUACCGAAAUACAAUGCAGAGCAGCAGGGGUGAAGCACCCCAGUCAUGGCGACGGCGUAGUAAUGAGCAAUGAGGCGUCAAAUCACAAAGCUGCACCUUUCCCGUAGUUAAGUUGGAGGGACGAAGUAAUAAUGCUAAAAAAGAAGUUGGAGGGACAAAGCAACCAUCAUUUCACUCGUUGCUGAAUCCGCUUCUCCCUCAUCUUCUUCAAGUUAACCACGUGUUGCUUCUGCCGUUGUUCUGCCUCAUGUGGGACGCGGAUCGGCUUGGUAAAGCACUGACACGUGGGACCGCAUGUUAGCAAACCGCUGAUACGUCUCCAACGUAUCUAUAAUUUUUUAUUGUUGCAUGCUAUUAUAUAUUCUGUUUUGAAUGUUUAAUGGGCUUAUUUAUACACUUUUAUAUUAUUUUUGGGACUAACCUAUUAACCGGAGGCCCAGCCCAAAUUGCUGUUUUUUUGCCCAUUUCAGUGUUUCGCAGAAAAAGGAUAUCAAACGGAGUCCAAACGGAAUGAAACCUUCGGGAGCGUGAUUUUUGGAACAAACAUGAUCUAGAGGACUUGGAGUGGACGUCAAGCAACCAACAAGGCGGCCACGAGGCAGGAGGCGCCCCCCCAGGCGCGCCCUCCACCCUCAUGGGCCCCUCGUGGCUCCACCGACCUACUUCUUCCUCCUAUAUAUACCUACGUACCCCCAAACCAUCAGAAGCGACCACGAAAACCUAAUUCCACCGCCGCAACCUUCUGUACCCGUGAGAUCCCAUCUUGGGGCCUUUUCCGGCGUCCUGUCGGAGGGGGCAUCGGUCACGGAGGGCUUCUACAUCAACACCAUAGCCUCUCCGACAAUGUCUGAGUAGUUUACCUCAGACCUUCGGGUCCAUAGUUAUUAGCCAGAUGGCUUCUUCUCUCUUUGGAUCUCAAUACAAAGUUCUCCUUGAUUCUCUUGGAGAUCUAUUCGAUGUAAUCUUCUUUUGCAGUGUGUUUGUCGAGAUCCGAUGAAUUGUGGGUUUAUGGUCAAGAUUAUCUAUGAACAAUAUUUGAAUCUUCUCUGAAUUCUUUUAUGUAUGAUUGGUUAUCUUUGCAAGUCUCUUCGAAUUAUCAGUUUGGUUGGGCCUACUAGAUUGAUUUUUCUUGCAAUGGGAGAAGUCCUUAGCUUUGGGUUCAAUCUUGCGGUGCUCGAUCCCAGUGACAGUAGGGGAAACGACACAUAUUGUAUUGUUGCCAUUUGAGGAUAAAAAGAUGGAUUUUAUAUCAUAUUGCAUGAGUUUAUCCCUCUACAUCAUGUCACCUUGCUUAAAGCAUUACUCUGUUCUUAUGAACUUAAUACUCUAGAUGCAUGCUGGAUAGCGGUCGAUGUGUGGAGUAAUAGUAGUAGAUGCAGGCAGGAGUCGGUCUACUUGUCACGGACGUGAUGCCUCUAUACAUGAUCAUACCUAGAUAUUCUCAUAACUAUGCUCAAUUCUAUCGAUUUCUCAAUAGUAAUUCGUUCACCCACCGUAAUACUUAUGCUCUUGAGAAAAGCCACUAGUGAAACCUAUGGCCCCCGAGUCUAUUUUCCAUCAUAUUAAUCUCCUGUUAUUUCCAUUACUGUUUACUUUGAUUUCUUUACUUUUACUCUUUAUCAUAAAAAUACCAAAAAUAUUAUCUUAUCAUCUCUAUCAGAUCUCACUCUCGUAAGUGACCGUGAAGGGAUUGACAACCCCUUUAUCGCGUUGGUUGCGAGGUUCUUAUUUGUUUGUGUAGGUGCAAGGGACUUGAGCGUGACCUCCUACUGGAUUGUUACCUUGGUUCUCAAAAACUGAGGGAAAUACUUACGCUACUUUACUGCAUCACCCUUUCCUCUUCAAGGGAAAACCAACGCAAUGUUCAAGAGGUAGCAAGAAGGAUUUCUGGCGCCGUUGCCGGGGAGGUGUGCGCCAAGUCAAGUCAAGAUUUGACUCCCAACAACAUGCCAUUUUUGGCGCCGUUGCCGAGUCUGCACAAGUCAAGACAUACCAAGUACCCAUCACAAACUCGUAUCCCUCGCAUUACAUUAUUUGCCAUUUGCCUCUCGUUUUCCUCUCCCCCACUUCACCCUUGCCGUUUUGUUCGCCCUCUCUUUCCGUUCGCCUUCUUCCCAUGUCUUUUUGUUUGUGUUUCCACGUGCCUUCUAUUUGCUUGCAUCUUUUCUUGCUAAAAAUCUAUUGAUAUGGAUCCACUUAAAGUGUUCUACUUGGAUCAUCUUCGAUCCUUAUGCGCUCGUGCUGAAACCCCAACUAGCAUAGUUGAUGGGAAAUCUUUAGAUGAGCAUGCUCAUUUUGUGCGUCACCGUUUGUCUGAAAAAGGGAGACUCUUAUGGGAUCAAAUAAACAGAUUAAUGUGUUAUGCUUGGAAUCUUUGUGAAAUUUAUGAUUUUACUUGUUGCUCUCAAAACUUUAAGAAACACCUUCCCUACCAAUGUGAGUUUAGUGAUAAUGGAAUCGUAUCUUCGUAUGCUAAGGGUGUUUAUAAUUACUAUGAUGUUCAACAAAUUGAAGAAUUUGUUGCUUUUAAGGGUGCUUAUGAAAUUGCUUCUUUGAUUGAAACGUAUGAUGCUACUCUUUACAAAUUUGAAAAUUUUGCCAUACUUAAAUAUUGUUAUGAUAAUUAUGCUUCCAAUGCCUAUGUUAAACCAUAUAUUGAGGACUCCUCCGCUGUCCAAGAAGAGGCUAAUAUUUUGCAGGAGUCUAUGGAGGAAGAAAAUAAUGAUAUGCAUGAAUCUAUAGAUAAUUAUGAGUCCGAUGAUCUGAUUGAAAUAUCCCUUGAUGAACAUGAUGCUUGGUUUUCUUGUGGCCAUGAUGCCAAUAUUUAUAAAGAUGAAUUUGCUAUAGUUCCAUAUGUUAAACAUGAGAUCGUUGCUAUUGCACCCAUACUUGAUAGUUCCUUCGAUGAAAAGCAUGAUCGCCAUGAUUUUACUAUAAAUUCUCUUGAUGUCAAUCGUGCUAAUAAUAUGCAAAACCCUAAGCUUGGGGAUGCUAGUUUUGCUAUGUCUACUACUUGUUGCAAUGAUCAUGAUUGGGGUGAUUCUUCUUUUGAUCUUGAAAAUUUAUUUAAGCCCCAUGAUGAAUAUGAGAUUGAUAAUAAUGUUUGCAAUAGUAUUGAAAGUGGGUUUGGAAGAGUGUCAACUUUAGAUCCCACAUAUUUGGAUUUUGAUCAAUCUUAUGAAGUUUUUGAUAAAAGUGGGUUUGGAGAGGUCAUGACUUUAGCUAAUGUUAAUCCCACUAUUUUGGAAGAGUGUCAACUUUGCAUACAUGUGGAUCGUGUUAAGAAUAUGUUUUGUGAUAGCUAUAUUGUUGAAUUUUCUUAUGAUCCUACAUGUAAUUAUUAUGAGAGAGGAAAAUAUGGUUGUAGAAAUUUUCUUGUUACUAAAUUACCUCUCGUUAUGUUGAGAUUGCUAUUGUUUCUUUCCGCUUCCUUGCGUAUGCUAGUUUUUGCUUGCCUUGAUAAUUUGUUUGCCUAUAAGAUGCCUAUGCAUAGGAAGUAUGUUAGACUUAGAUGUGUUUGUCACGUGUUUUAUGAUGCUCUCUUUGUGCUUCAAUUCUUGUCUUUCUUAUGAGCAUCAUUGAAAUCUCAAUGCCUAGCUAAAAAGGCUUCAGAGAAAAGCGCUUGUUGGGAGACAACCCAAUAUUUUUCCUUCCUGUUUAGUAAUAAAUAAUUCAUCUAGACUCCGGUUAGAUGUUAUUUUAUGUUUUAAUUAGUGUUUGUGCCAAGUGAAACCUAUAGGAUCUGCUUGGAUGAUAGUUAUUUGAUCUUGCUGAAAAUUCGAGAAACUUUCUAUUCUCGAAAACAAUUGUUAAAAAUUAUCAAAACGUGAUAAAAUACUGAUUCCAAUUUCAGUAGAUCAAUAAACAAAUUAUAUAGGUAUUCCUAUUUUGGUAGAAUUUUUGGAGUUCCAGAAGUUUGCGUUAGUUACAGAUUACUACAGACUGUUCUGUUUUUGACAGAUUCUGAUUUUCGUGUGUUGUUUGCAUAUUUUGAUGAAUCUAUGGCUAGUAAAAGAGCUUAUAAACCAUAGAGAAGUUCGAAUACAGUAGGUUUAACACCAAUAUAAAUAAAGAAUGAGUUCAAUACAGUACUUUGAAGUAGUAUUUUGUUUUAUUUCGCUAACGGAGCUCACGAGAUUUUCUGUUAAGUUUUGUGUUGUGAAGUUUUCAAGUUUUGGGUAAAGAUUUGAUGGAUUAUGGAACAAGGAGUGGCAAGAGACUAAGCUUGGGGAUGCCCAAGGCACCCCAAGGUAAAUCCAAGGACACCAAAAAGCCAAAGCUUGGGGAUGCCCCGGAAGGCAUCCCCUCUUUCGUCCUCAUCCAUCGGUAACUUUACUUGGAGCUAUAUAUUCACCACAUGAUAUGUGUUUUCCUUGGAGCGUCUUCUAUGAUUUGAGUCUCUGUUUGUUAGUUUGCCACAAUCAUCCUUGCUGUACACACCUUUUGAGAGAGACACACAUGAUUCGGAAUUUGUUAGAAUACUCUAUGUGCUUCACUUAUAUCUUUUGAGCUAUAUAGUUUUUGCUCUAGUGCUUCACUUAUAUCUUUUAGAGCACAGCGGUGGUUGUAUUUUAUAGAAAUUAUUGAUCUCUAAUGCUUCACUUAUAUUAUUUUGAGAGUCUUAAACAGAAUGGUAAUUUGCUUUAAUUGUGAAAUUAAUCUUCCAUAUUGAGUUCAUUGAAUAUCAUGAGAAGUUAGAUACUUGAUAAGUGUUUUGAGAUAUAAAGGUGGUAAUAUUAGAGUGUGCUAGUUGAGUAAUUGUGAAAUUGAGAAAUACUUGUGUUAAAGUUGGCAAGUCCCGUAGCAUGCACGUAUGGUAAAAAUUGUGUGACAAUUUUGACACAUAGGUGUUCUUUUAUUGCUUUCCUUAUGAGUGGCGGUCGGCGACGAGCGAUGGUCUUUCCCUACCAAUCUAUCCCUCUAGGGGCAUGCGUAGUAGUACUUUGCUUCGAGGGCUAAUAAACUUUUGCAAUAAGUAUAUGAGUUUUUUAUGACUAAUGUGAGUCCAUGGAUUAUGCACACUCUCAACCUUCCACAAUUUUCUAGCGUCUACGGCACCGCGCAUUGCCCUUUCUCACCUUGAGAGUUGGUGCAAACUUCGCCGGUGCAUCCAAACCCCGUGAUAUGAUACGCUCUAUCACACACAAGCCUCCUUAUAUCUUCCUCAAAGCAGGCGCCAUACCUACCUAUCAUGGCAUUUCCAUAGCCAUUCCGAGAUAUAUUGCCAUGCAACCUUCCACCGUUCCGUUUAUUAUGACACGCUUCAUCAUUGUCAUAUUGCUUUGCAUGAUCAUGUAGUUGACAUCGUAUUUUGUGGCAAAGCCACCAUUCAUAAUUUUUUCAUACAUUUCACUCUUGAUUCAUCGCAUAUCCCGGUACACCGCCGGAGGCAUUCACAUAGAGUCAUAUUUUGUUCUAAGUAUUGAGUUGUAAUUGUUGUGUUGUAAGUAAUAAAAGUGUGAUGAUCAUCAUUAUUAGAGCAUUGUCCCAUGUGAGGAAAGGAUGAUGGAGACUAUGAUUCCCCGACAAGUCGGGAUGAGAUUCCGGACUAAAAAAAGAGGCCAAAGAAAAAAAAGGCCCAAAGAAAAAAAGAAAAAAAAA
rnacentral:lncRNA from 1 species